rnacentral:lncRNA from 1 species
UAACAUAAAUAUUUAGAACUUCAUUAAGGAAAAACAUAAAGUACAUAUAUAUUUGGAAUGGAGUACACAAGAGGGGUACCAAAGGGUUAUCCAAAUUAUGAUUGAGGUUGAAUUAAAGAUGGUGCCACAUAUAUAAAACCAUUAUCCUUAUAUAUUUUGAAGAGGUAGAGUGUUAUGAUUUUAAGGAGCUGGAAUUGGCUUCUUAAAAGACAAUGGUGGUAGAAAUGGUUUCUUGAAUUUGGGAUCAAAUGGUAGUUUAGGAAUAGACUUCUUCAACAAAGGCUUUGGUUUUAAGAAUUCCUCUGACUCAAUGGUAGGGAUAGGCUUAACAAAUGGCUCUGGAACAGGUUUAAGAACAGGAAUUGGCUUAACAAUUGGCUUUGGAACAGGUUUAAGAAUAGGAAUUGGUUUAACAAAUGGUUUUGGAACAGGUUUAAGAAUAGGAAUAGGCUUAACAAAUGGUUUAGGAACGGGUUUAAGAAUAGGAAUAGGCUUAACAAUUGGUUUUGGAACAGGUUUAAGAAUGGGAACAGGCUUAACAACAGGAAUUAUCUUUGGUAUUGGCUUAACUUUGGGAAUAGGUUUUGGGAAAAUACCUUUGAAUUUUGCUUCUUCACUGGGAAUAGGUUUUGGUGUUGGUUUCUUAUAGAANGGAAUUGGAAUAGGUUUAGGUUUAAUGAGAGGAAGUGGCUUUGGAAUAGGUUUAGCAAAUGGAAUUGGUUUAGGAAACANUCCUUUGAAUUUUGAUUCUUCAUCAUCAUGUCCUUCUCCAUUUACUUUUUCUAAAUCUUCAUUCACAACNAUCCCAUUCUUGUUCACUUCAUUUCCUGCAUAAAAAAUGCAGUUAUAUUAAAUAACAAAACGAACACAGGAAUGAAGUUCAUGAGGGAUUAGUGUCUAGUUUAAUAUAUUUUGAAAACUUACUAAAAAAGAAUAAUAAGCACAAACCUGAAAUUUGAGUAGUGGAAAGAACAGAAGCUAAGUUGAGAAGGAGCAACAAGGGAAAGAAGAAGCACAAGAACAGUUUUCUCAUUGUUAAAACAACUAAUGAAGCUAAAAGGAGAAAUGUCUGAAGGCUUGAGUCACAAGCUGCUGCAUAAUCACAUUAUUUAUAAUGUCUAUCUUUCAGGAUUUUUCUUAACAGCACCUACAAGCUUUGAGUUGAUUUGCCAGUAGUCAUUUUCAUGGUUUGAAAUAUGGUUAGAUUAUGUUAAUUAGGAUGAUAAUGUGGGUGGUUGCAGCUUUGAUGUUUGUUUAGAGAGGUCAAUAGCGUUUAACACCUUUGUUUUUGGUAUGUUAAUUAAUGAUGGAUGCAGGCUAUCAGCUUAUAAAUAUGAAAUAUAAGUGUUUAUAAAUUCUACCAUUUUCGCAAUUAAACAAACAUAGUAUUUUUCUUGCUAUAAAGUUUUUUUUCUGUUCAGCAUUUUACUUCUGGAAACAAUAAAAAAGAAGAGAAAGAACUAAUUUGGGAGGCUCAUUUAAAGGAGGGAGAAUCGAUGUAUUAUGACAGCAGCAACAACAACGGUGUUAAACACUUUUGACUUCUAUAUUCAAAGGCUUUUUACCAAAACCUACAUAAGCCUAAACCAAAACUAGUUCCCAUUAUUAAGCCAAUUUCUUUUCUAAAACCAGUUCCAAAAUCCCAUGAAAUAUUUGACAAUUCCAAAAUAUUUUAAAUGAGUUUUUUCUUAGAGAAAAAAUUACCAACCUCUAUACAUAUGAUUUAAAAGAUAAUGUUCGACAGCGUUGUGAAAUACUGCAGUUUUGUUUAUUCAAGUACUGUUUUUAAUCAGUGCACCAAUUCAAAUUUAUCCAAAUUUAUUGUUCUUUGGAUUGAGUGUUUAAAUUUUAUAUAUACUAUACAAAACAAAUUAAGAAAAAUCGUGUGCAUUAAAUAUCAUUUACACAAUUCACGACCAAAAAAACAUAGUUUUCAAGUACAUUUUGACUAGAGUUGAUUUAACCGAACCUAAGUAAAAAAAUUACUAUGUUAAAAAAUAUUUAAAUACUUUUUUAAUAAGUACAAAUAUUUAUAUUAAUAUCAAUGUUAGACUAACCUCAAUUUAGCCUAUAUUAUUUAAAAUAAAUAAUGUUGACAUCUAUUUAAUCCACGUUAAUUUAUAUAGUAUCAAUAUCUACGUCUUUUGUAAAUUAUUUUUUAUUUAAAUGUUCAAAUUUAAAUGUGACAUUUUUUUCAUUCAUAAUUUUUUUCCCAUUUUUUAUAUAAGUCUUCUUAUACUCAUCUUUUAUAUUCACAUUCAUUUCAGUCAUUUACAUUAAUAAAUAUCAUCACAUAAAUUUCUUUCACCAAAAUUCAUCUCAUUUAUCCAUACUCAUUUGUUCAUCUACACACAUCUUUUUCAUCUUAACUCUAUUUCUCAUAAUAAUUCACACUAUUCUUCUCAUCUUCGGCAACACUCUUCUCAUUUUCUUUACUAAUUCAUCUACUCUAUUCAUACUUUUCUCCUUAGUUCUUUUAUUCACCCUCACAUCAUUCAUUUACAUUCGUCUUCUUCAUCCAUUUUUAUCUCUUUCAUCAAUUACAAAUUUGUUAUAUAUUUUUUUUUUUAUUUUGUUGAAAAAGUGUGAUUUUUUAUGCUAAUUGUGGCCUUAACUAGCAUAGAAUAUCAUAUUUUCUAUAUCAAUUGUUCUAAGAACCGACAUAGAAACUGACUUUUAUUAAAGACUUUCUUAUUCUUCAAGUAAACUUUCCAUGGUGGUUUUGAAUUGGGCAUGUUACAUAUGAUUUUUUUCAUAGGUAAGAGGAAAAUAAUUUACAUACGAAUUCUCCAUAUGUAACGUUGGCGCCUUUGGGAGGGAUAUUUUUGAAGGAUAUAUCUUAAUGUAAGUGAAAAAAUAUUUACCUACUGAUUUUCGUACGGAUUUUGAAAUAAUUAAUAAAUAAAAAAUAAAAAUGAGUCAUUGAGAAUCUGAUUUUGCAAAUUACUCACACUACUCGAAUCCUCAUUCUUUGGCUAUCAAAUCGUCACAGUUGCAACCUCGUUGUUCUGGCCAUCUGUUAGUGUUCGUUGUGGAGUUGGUCAAUUAGUAAGUAAUGUUGGUUAAUUCGUAAUUACCUAAAUUUGUGAAAUCCAAAAACCCUAAUCCUUUUUUUUAUGUUGGGCACAAUAUUGGUGUGUGAUUUGGUUCGUGUAUGAAACCCUUUGGUGCAUUGUUAGGAGAUAUUGAUUGAGCAUUUGGUGUUGCGUUUAGUGAAGAUUCAGAGGCCUUUUAAGGUAUGUUUCAUUUUAUGCAUUUUCUGAUUCAAAAUAAAAUUUUAAUUGCUAGGGUCCUUAGCAGACACAUCUUUGUCAUUCAACAAGAGAUUUUGUGCAUAACAGACACGUGUUAGUUUCUACUAACUUUAUCACAUUCUCUAUUAUAUUUUAUCUUACAUUUUAAACCUCAAGUAUGUAUUUAAAGCAAUAAUUUAUUCAUUUAACAAGAAGAUUUUCAAAUAAGAUUUUCUCAGGCAAUAUCUGAUGUUGGUGUCUCGAAAUGUAGUUGCUUAGAUCCUGCCGAGAAGAAAAGAUUGAGAAAAAACUGUUGGUUAGAGACUACAUGUAGAAGAUAUGACGGACGUGUAUAUGGAAUUGGAAAUAUCAGUUCUCAAAAUGAUUGUAUUGAUAAUUAUAUACGACAAACAGAAGCUUUUUCUAGUCAACAACCAAAUGUAUAGAAGACUUUAUUCAACUUCAAAUGCAAAUAGCAACCCAUGACAAACAUAUUGGAUAAAUGAAUUCUCAAUUUCAAAUUUUAUUGGUGCCAUCAUGUAACACCAUCUGUCUCCAGCAACCGCAAUUGCACAAGAACUUUUUCAACCACAAAAUCGGUCAAACAAUCAUGUGCAACUAGAAGAUCAACCACAAGAUGAACAAAAUGAUUAUCAUGAUUGUUAGCAUUAGACAUGUUAAGAACAAGAUAUUUGAUUAUCUAUACGACUCUAUUACAAUGUAAUUUAUAUAGUUGACAAUCAUGUUUUUUAAUAUAACAAUAUUCCUUUAUGCAAUAGAAUAAUAUUUUUGUAUUGUCAAAUAGUUGAUUGAGAAUUGGAUGUAUAUGUGAUGGUUAUUUUCUUAUGUCCAGAUCUGUCAAUCAUACAACCAAACUGAUUAUGUCACUCUGUUAAUAUCCGUGUAUAUAUAUAUAUAUAUAUAUAUAUAUAUAUAUAUAUAUAUAUAUAUAUAUAUAUAUAUAUAUAUAUAUAUAUAUAUAUAUAUAUAUNNNNNNNNNNNNNNNNNNNNNNNNNNNNNNNNNNNNNNNNNNNNNNNNNNNNNNNNNNNNNNNNNNNNNNNNNNNNNNNNNNNNNNNNNNNNNNNNNNNNNNNNNNNNNNNNNNNNNNNNNNNNNNNNNNNNNNNNNNNNNNNNNNNNNNNNNNNNNNNNNNNNNNNNNNNNNNNNNNNNNNNNNNNNNNNNNNNNNNNNNNNNNNNNNNNNNNNNNNNNNNNNNNNNNNNNNNNNNNNNNNNNNNNNNNNNNNNNNNNNNNNNNNNNNNNNNNNNNNNNNNNNNNNNNNNNNNNNNNNNNNNNNNNNNNNNNNNNNNNNNNNNNNNNNNNNNNNNNNNNNNNNNNNNNNNNNNNNNNNNNNNNNNNNNNNNNNNNNNNNNNNNNNNNNNNNNNNNNNNNNNNNNNNNNNNNNNNNNNNNNNNNNNNNNNNNNNNNNNNNNNNNNNNNNNNNNNNNNNNNNNNNNNNNNNNNNNNNNNNNNNNNNNNNNNNNNNNNNNNNNNNNNNNNNNNNNNNNNNNNNNNNNNNNNNNNNNNNNNNNNNNNNNNNNNNNNNNNNNNNNNNNNNNNNNNNNNNNNNNNNNNNNNNNNNNNNNNUCUUUAGUAAAGGAAAACAAGUUAAUGAAUUUCUACCAAAAAAAAUUAAAUGGCCACGGAGCAAUAUUACGUGGUGUCUCAGAAUGUAAAGGAAGGAUGUUCAUAAGUCUUGGUGCAAGUUGUGCCAGUCGGCUGUAAUAUAUAUAGUGAAGAUAAUGAAAUUAAAGAGAUUAUGAAUGAAAUUUUUUUCGGAAGGUGAACAUGUCAAUGACUCAACUCUUUACAAAAGUAAGUAAAUUGUUUAAUAAUGAGUGUUUUUUUAGUUGGAGCUAGUGCAAAGAUGACAGAGAAAAUGUUUGAGUGAGAGAGAUGAAGGAGAAAGGGUUGAGAGAAAUGAAGGAGGUAAGUAAGGGUUUGGGGUUUCUUUUUUCAGUUUUGAGAAUGAAAAUUUUUAAAAUAAGACAAGUGUUUGAUUUUUUUUAAUUGGGGCUAAAGUAGGGAUGACAGACAAAAGAUGAGAGUGAAAGAGAUGAAAGAGAAAGGGUUCUCAGGGAUGAGAAAGGUGGGUAAGAGUUUAGAGGGUUUCUUUUAUUAUUUUUUUAAUUUUGAAAAUCAAAAUUAUUAAAAUAUCCUUAACCUUAAAACUUAAUUCAUGAUAUAUAAGGGUAUUUUUGUCUACUGAAAUCCGGUACACAUUGCUAAAAUGUACCAACUGAAAAACAGGCGUACGCAAGUUAGCAAACCCCAUAUAUAUAUAUAUAUAUAUAUAUAUAUAUAUAUAUAUAAUUUCUUAGAAAAUGAUAUUUUAACACCAUUUUUGACACUAUUUUGACAUUGCACACGUGUCAAAAUGUGAUUGGAUGAUUUCAAAUUAAAAAAGUUGAGACAGGGGUAUGUUUGGAAGAAAAAAACCAAAGUUUGUUUUUUAAUUUGAAAUCAUCCAACCACAUUUUGACACGUGUGCAGUGUCAAAAUGGUGUCAAAAAAAUGGUGUUAAAAUUUUAUUUUCCUAAUUUCUUACGGAUUUAUCUAUAACGUUACCUACGAUUAUUUUAUAUGACUUUUUGUCUGUGUAAUUCAUAGCUAACACUGUUUUAUCUUUGGAUUUUCGCUUUUAUACAUACAAAUUUUAGUCAUAAAUAACUAAAAAAAUUCUUGUAGUGUAUAGAAAGUGUUUUUUAAUCAAUAUGAAAAUCUUCGCUCCACUAAUGUCAAAACAACAAGAAUAUUACGUAGACUCUUACUCAAUUUUGAUUACCUAAAUUUUUUGCAGAAAAAAAGGAAAAGAGAUAAAUAGCGUAAUCAAAUUAUUUAUUAUACUCAAAGUCAAAUAGUUUAUUUCAUUUUUUUACGGUUAUCUUUUAAGUUAACAUCAAAACUGAGAAAACUGAUAUGUUAUUGUUAAUAUGAAUUUCUUUCAAUAAAUUUAAUUUAAAACCGAAAAUUUGUUUGAGUUUCAAUCAUUAGUUUUAAUUAAUAGUAUUUCUAAAAUAUUCAAGAUAUUUCUUACAUUUAAUUGAAACUGCCUUAAACUCUAAUUGAUUUGAUUUCCAAUUCGAUGUUUUACUUUAACUUAACAUAUAUUCAUUCAACUUUCAACUUUGGAAAUAGAAAAUCGACCCAAGUUCUUAGCUUUCAUACACUAUUUUCCACAAAAGACUUGUCGUUUUCGUUCUACUCCAUCUUUUCAAUCUCUCUUCUUCAGAAGUUCUCAAUGGUGGGUUUAGUGUGGAGAUGAUUCAUCAUGACUCAUCGAAAUCACCAUUCUGUAACUCCACAGAAACUCAAUUCCGACGAGUUGCCAAUGCCCUGAGCCGUUCCAUUAUCCGUGCGAACCAUUUCAACAAAUCCUUGGUGUCUGCAAACACACCCCAUGCAACUGUAACCUCAGCCGUAGGAGAAUACCUAAUGAGUUAUUCAAUCGGAACCCCUCCAACACAAGUCUAUGGAAUUCUUGACACUGGUAGUGACAUUACAUGGCUGCAAUGCCAACCAUGUAAGAGAUGUUACACCACUCACUCGUCUGCCAAAUGAUGUUUACUCCAAGUUGGAAUCGGCUGUUGCAAAUGCAGUUAAGUUGCAGCGUGCUAAGGAUCCAAAUGAUGUGUUGAGCCUGUUACAAAGCUACAUCUGAGAAUAUAAAUGCACCAGUGAUCACAGCACAUUAAUUUUAGUGGUGUAAAUGUGAGUUUGUAUGGUCUCAACACCUUCAUUAAAGUGGCUGAUGGUGUUAUGUGCUUCGCUUUCGUGGCUGGUGAAACUGCUAUCUUUGGGAACUGGGCUCGGCAAAACGUUUUGGUUAGCUAUGAUCUUCAGAAGAACACAGUGUCCUUUAAGCUCGUGGAUUGCACAAAGCAGUGAUUAUUGAUUCUCUAUUCUCUUUUAUUUGUUUUACCAAUGAACAGUAUAAAAAUUAAUCAUACAUAACUUUUUUUUUAAAUAAACGCUAUGUAUAAAUGUACAACACAAUAGAUAACGUUUAUUGCUGUCUAUACAAUUUUUUAGCAGUGAAAUAAAUCUAUUUAGUAGGCUAAGUAUUUCAAGAUCUAGUUGUCUUCUUUAAGAGAAGAACAUAGAGAAGGUGAAAUCAAAUUUCUUUAGAUCACAUGCAGAUAUUUUAACAAAAACUCUCCAAAAAAUCAGAUUUGGAACUUUAAGAAAUAAAUUAGAUGUAUGCAACUAUUGAGACAAAAAGGAAAUUUGUUGAAACUAUGGUUUAUGCAACAUGCAUAUUUUUUAUUUAAUUUUGUCUUUAUAUUUAGUUGUGAGCAGUUCUCCCUGCACCUCACCUCCUUCCUUCUUCCUGUACCUUCAAAAUUAUCUUUCUGUCCUUAAUUUAAUGAAAAGUCAAAAUGCAAUUAAUGAAAAUUAUACCUUCUUAACUUCCAACAACUUUUCUGUCUGAGGGUAUAAACCCUAGCAUGCACCUCCUUUGUUGGUUACAUCAGGAGCAAGAAUAGUUUUCUUAUUCACUGUUUUAUUGAGUUGAGAGUUAGUGAUUCUGUGGUGGUGAACCUUGUUGGUGAACUGUGUGCUUGUGUUGGUGAUAGCUGGUGCGAGGAGGAAGAGGAAGUGCGAGGAGGAAGAGGAAGCUCGCAUAGGUGAUGCGAAGAGGAAGACGAAGGUUAGAAAUGAACAUUGUUAACCGCCUUUCGUGGUGCGGUUAACCUUGUCGCCGUUCGAACGGCGUUUACUAUUCGCCGUAAAUCGAACUGCGUUUUUUACUAACCGCAUUUCGAAAUGCGUUUUCCUGUGCCGCAGUUCGAACUGCGGUUUUUCCCAACCGCAUUUCGUAAUGCGUUUUAUGCCAACCGCAGUUUGAACUGCGUUUCUCCCGUGCACCCCCAAACCAAACCAACCGCAGAUCCAUCGGCGGUUGGUUUCAGACGCUGAUCGAGCUGCGGCACUCCAUAACCGCAAAACGACUUGCGGCACUCCUUCACGGCCUCGCACAAUACACACAGAAAAAUCCAUCCAUUACCAGAUCUACAUCUACCAGAGGAGAAAUACUAACAUUACGACAGAAAAAAACUUCAAACACUAUCCAACUACUCUGCUACGCUGACAGCCCAAGGUCAAGAUAGCACCAAGUUACGAGCACGGAGGGAUGCAGUGGUUGGAGGGAGGGGGGAUGCACUGGUUGGAGGGAGGGAAAGGGAGGAAGACUGGUCAAGGGAGGGAAGGGAAGAUGAAAAUAGGGGGUGUAGGGUUUUUUUUUGAGUUGCGGCAGAUAAGGUUACUUUUUAUAAAUCCAAUGAAUAUGGUCACAGAUAUAAGAGUACAGUUAGAAUUAAAAGUGAAGUAGAAGGUGGAGGAUGAGAUCCAGGAGGUGCAGGAAGGAUUACUCUUGAGUUGUUUGGCUUUUUAGUUGUAAGAGAUUUUAAUCAUGAUUUACCAAUAUUCAUGCAUAAAAGUAUGAGAUAUCAUAUUUACGUAGUUACUUUGCAGGUCUAUAAAAUGAGCAAAUCAAUAAAAUUUAAAUCGUUUUUUCUGCCUAAAGAAAAGCAAUAACAAAUUAACAGCACAAGAAUAACUUUACAAAGACACUUGUAUAACAUUUAAUUAGUCAAAUUUUUCGAAUUUGCAAUUUUUAUAUUGUUGUCCCUUGUACCAUCAAAAUAAAAUACACCGAAUAUAUUAAUCCCGAUAUGAAUGUACAAACUAUAUAUAAUAUUAAUUCAUUAUUUUAAAUAUACUGAUUUUAAUAUAUUAAAAAAUAUUUUAAUAUAUUUUUAAAUAUAUCUAUAUAUUUUUAAGCAUACUAAUAUUAUUUUAUUAUUCGUGUAAAGUAAUCAAUUGAUACUUUUUAUUUAGAAAAAAAUAAUCUAGGAACAAAAGUCAAAUUGGAUUAAAACUUUUCAAAUAAUUACAAAACAGAGUAAACUGAAAUAGUAUAUUUAUUUAUUUCAUUCAUAUUUUUAGUUUAUUUGUACAAUUGUUUAAUAUUUUCCAUUAAAAAAUAAUCAAAAUAAAUAAUAAUAAUAAUUAUAUACUAAUAGUAAGACAUUAUAUAAAUAAAAUAAUAUUAAUGAGUCUAAAUAAUUCUUAUAAUAAAUAGUGAUAUUAAAAAAAAAAGUAAAGGAAGAAAAAAAAAUAGAAAUAACUUGGAUUAAAGCACGUAUAGCUGUCUUUAGAGAAAAAUGUGGGGCAAAAAUAAAUUAUAUUCGUUUCUCUUUUAAGAUAAAACAUGUUAAAUUGAUUGAAUAUAACAAAAGAUCUCUAAAUCUUAUAAAUAAUAAUGUCUUAAAAAACAACAUAGAUUACAAGACUCGUAUGAGUUGAUGUGUUUGUGGUGUAUUCUUCUCAUGUCAAGUUAUAUUUAUCGAUAGAAAAAUGAGGAGUUAAAUCUAAUAAAUCUUAUAAAUGUAAUUUUAAAAAAUAUAAUUAUAAAAGUUAAAAAUUGUUUAACCAUAAAUAUAUAAAUAGCAUUUACCAUAAAAUCAGUAGUACUAGCAGAAAAAUUAUUUAUUUAUUUUUAAAUUAUAUUAAAUAUUUAUAGCAUUUCUAUAAUUUUUUAGAUUUAAUGUGAUUUCAAUAUUUAUUAAAACGAAUAAAUGUGGUCUUUCGUUAAAUUAACAAUCCACUUUUUCUUCUUCUUCUUCAUUCUAUCAUCUAUUCUUUUUAUUUAAACAAGAUUAAUCUUGUGGAGUUAAUCUAAUUAUUCUUCUUCAAUUAGUGUUUUUCUCUUUUUCCUUUUAGCAUCUAGUGGAGUUGAUCUGGUAAAGGAUUAAUCCAAAUGACCAUCCUGUAAAAUUUGAACAAUUGUUUGAAAUAUUGAAAUGUAAAUGUGUAAUUAAAUAAAAAUUAAAUUUAAAAAUAAUUUUAUAUCUUUUAUCUUUAAAAUAUUAAACAUAGUCUUACAUAUCUUAACCCACGUUAUAUAUUUGAAGGCUAUUUGCUUUUUUGUAAUGUAUUUAUUAAAUAAAAUAAUAAAUACGUAAUUAAAUAUUAAUUUUUUAUUCGUUAAACCUUCUAUCUUUAUUAACAUUUUUUUAUAGUUUUAUAAAAAAACAACUUCUUUUCUUAAUUAUUAUAUAAAAUAUCAUUUUAUUAAACGUAAUAAGAAGUCAAAUUAAACAAGAUUAUUUUCAAUAAAAGUAAUAUAUUUAUAUACAGCUAAGCAAAUGAGCUGUUUUGAAUUGAGAAGAUUAAUAGAGAUGGUAUUAAUUAAUAGAAAUGUUUAUUUAAAUUAAAUUAUAUGUUGAAUAAUUCCCACGACUGAUUUAUGUUCUAAGUGUUUUAUAUAAAGAAGAGUUAAGUAUGUUUUUAUUGUUUAAAUUUUUAUACGAAAUUAAAAAUAAUAAAUAUAAUUUUUUAAGUCAAUUACGUUAAAUUACUUUUUAUGUUUUAAAAGUAUUUUUCAGUAAAUAUGAAAAUAAAAAAUUUAUUAAAUAAUAUAAACAAUUCAAAUAUUAACAUAUAAUGGUAUGAAAAUAAAAGUAAACUUUAAAAUUUAAUAAUUUUAAUGUCACUUUUUAUUUUAUAUACGUAAAACUAAAGAGUAAUAGUAUUAUAACACAUUUUUACUUUUAUUUCACACUUAGUAAAAUUAUAAAAUGGAUAUAUAAUUGUAAAUUUUUGUAUUUUUUUAAGAAGAGUGAUGAUAGUAUGAUAUACUUUUAUAUUUAUUUGACACAUAAUAUAAAGAUAAAAUGGUUAUAAAAUUGUAAACUUUUGUAUUUUUUAAGAAAGAAAAAAAGUAAAAAAAUAAGAAAAGAUAAUAUGAGAUUAAUGUAAAAAAUUUACGUAUGAAUCACUUCUCAAAACUAAAAGACCAAUGAGAUUACUCUGAAACACGACAUUUCAGUCCGCGUCCAUGACUAUGAGUGGUUGUCAAAUUUGUUCUCACACACGCUUUAAACGUUGAAUGUAUCACUAGAAUCUUAUAAAUUGUGACUCGGAAUGUGCUAAUAUUACAAAUUUGAAGACUUCGAUAACAACAAUGUCACGUUCCUCAACCCUAGUUCUUAUUGUUCUGCUGUCUGUUCACAGCAUCUCUUCCUUAGAGGCUCACAGAGGAGGGUUCAGUGUGGAAAUCAUCCACCGUGACUCAUCAAAAUCACCGUUGCAUCGUCCCACAGAAACUCAAUUCCAACGAGUUGCUAAUGCUGUGGGUCGUUCCAUUAAUCGUGCCAAUCAUUUCAACCAAAACACGCCUAGGGCCAAUAUAACCCAAGAUGAUGGUGAAUACCUUUUGAGCUAUUCAGUUGGAACCCCACCAUUUCAAGUUUAUGGUAUUGCUGAUACAGGAAGUGACAUAAAUUGGUUGCAGUGUAAACCUUGUAAACCCUGUUACAACCAAACCAGUCCAAUAUUUGAGCCUUCAAAAUCCAGCACAUACAGACGCCUUUCUUACUCUUCUAGAAUAUGUAAAUCAGUGAAAGGUACCACUAGAGAUGGAGACAAUUGUGAAUAUACCAUUUCCUAUGGUGAUGGGUCAAUGUCACAAGGAGAUCUUAGUGAGGAUAUCUUCACUUUAGACUCCACCAAUGGCUCUUCAAUCCAAUUUCCAAGAACUGUCAUAGGAUGUGGACGAAGGAACACUGUGUCCUAUGAAGGGAAAAGCUCUGGUGUACUUGGCCUUGGAAGAGGACCUGUGUCCUUGAUAUCUCAAUUGGGUUCUUCAAUUGGUGGAAAAUUUUCCUAUUGUUUGGCACCAACGUCUAAUACUUCUAGCAGACUCAACUUUGGAGACGCUGCUGUGGUUUCUGGGAAAGGGACUGUAUCAACUCCAAUAAUCUCACGUGGACCAGUAUUUUACUACCUAACAUUGGAAGCAUUCAGUGUUGGAAACAAGAGAAUAAAGUUCGGAAGCUCCUCGUCUGAAUCUGAUGGAGAGGGAAAUAUCAUAAUUGACUCAGGUACAACACUCACUCUUCUGCCAGAUGAUGUUUACUCAAAGCUGGAAUCAGCAGUGGCACAUGAAGUUAAGUUAAAACGUGUUAAGAGUCCAAAUAGGCAGUUGAGCCUUUGCUUUGAAAGCAGUUUUGAUGAUCUGAAAGCACCAGUGAUCACGGCACAUUUUAGAGGUGCAGAUGUGAAGUUAAAUGCUGUCAACACAUUUGUUGAAGUGGAAGAAAGGGUAGUGUGCUUAGCUUUCACGUCAAAUAACCUUUCGAUCUUUGGGAACUUGGCUCAGAUGAACCUUUUGGUUAGCUAUGACCUAGAAAAGGAAAGAGUCUCCUUCAAACCCACAGACUGUACUAACCAGUGAUUGUUGCUUGUUUUACUUAGUAUCUGUCACUGGACUGAAUAAAAAUUUAUAUUUUAACUGAUUUCAUUCCAAGAUGAGUCAGAUUUUUGACAAACAUAUAUGAAUAUUGCAACUUGUUCAUACUAGAGUUUACAAUUUAAAGAGAUGCAAACAAGAAAAAUGAGUCAAGAUAAUGGAAGAAGAUCAAAUUGCAAAUAUUUCCACAAAGGUGUUAUCAAUACCAAUGUUUGAACCAAAGUGCGUUAUGUUUAAGGAUACCAAAUUUACAACAAAGAGAAGUAUUAAAUCGUAAUGAAAAUUCUAGAAUAAUAUAGAAAAUCUUUGAAAUGUAAUGUAAAUUUUAGAACAAUGUAGAGAAGUCUAAUAUAGGAGGUAAUUAUCGAAAACAUUGUAUAUAGAAUGAUUUAUGGGUCUAUAAAUAUAUAUGUACAGUAUCAUUUGAUGCAUGACAACAACUACAUACACAACUGCAAAAUAUACUUUGUCCAAUUACUACUUUCACAUUUUACUAUCUUCAAAAUUUUUCUAUAUCUAAUCAAUUAUUUAUUUCACAAACUCAAAAUACUACAUUAUAAAUCCAGACUUGGAUUAGUGUUAUUAAACAUUGGUCGAAUUUGAUAUGGAGUAAUCAUAUAUCCCUCCUUUAAGAAGCUUGGUCUUUUGGAAAUUUUUACACAAAAAAUUCCCAUGGAAUACAUCUCAGCUCCAUGUGUCACCUUUUGUCAUAAUAGUCAGAAAAAGAAAAUAAAAUAUUUACUUUUGAACUACAAAAUUGUUGUUGUGGUUUCUGGAACCAGUUGCAGGUGUAUUUAAUUGUAUUCGAAUUUCACAUCUUCAUUAUGAUGCUACUUACAGAAAAACGAUAAAAAAAAUAAUAAGAGCCAAUUGUUUUCUUUUAUAGACAAUAAUUAAUAAUAAAAUUAAAGAAGAGUUAAAUAUGUUUUUAGUCCCUAUACUUUGGGGCGAUUUUGAUUUUAUUCCCUCUUUCAAACUAAGGUACAAUUUAGUCCUUCAACUUUAGAAAACUCUGGUUUUAGUCAUUUUUAUCAAAUUUUUUUAACUUUAUUUACUGUUUCAAACACGUUUCAUUAUAGCAUUUGGAUUGUUUACACUGUUUGACACAUUUUUGUUUGGAUUGUUAACAUUGAAGCAAAAAUGUGUCAAACAGUGUAAACAAUCCAAAUGCUAUAAUGAAACGUGCUUGAAACAGCAAAUAAAGUUAAAAAAAUAAUUGGUAAAAGGGACUAAAACCAGAGUUUUCUAAAGUUGAAGGACUAAAUUGUACCUUAGUUUGAAAGAAGGACUAAAACCAAAAUUAUGUCAAAGUAUAGAGACUAAAAACAUAUUUAACUCAUUAAAGGAUGAAACAUUAGGAAUGUGUUAAUCUAGAUACGUAAAAUAUUAGAAGAUAAAUAUACAUAAGGAUUUGAAAUCUCAAUUAUCCCAUUUCCUAACAUUAAUAAUAUAUUACAAAAAUAAAAUUAUCCCCACAUGACAAAAUUUAUCAAAUAAACCAAAACAACAUUAAAAUUUUAUCUUUCUACCUAAGGUAGAGUUACAAUAUUACCAUGUAUGAUUCUUUAGACAGCUCAGGAAAUUUAAAGAAAAUAGAAGCUACUAUGAAAAAUCUAUAAGUACUUAAAUUGUACAUAUUUAUUAUUGACUUAAAUUUUAUGAACAUAAUUUGUUUUAUUAUUUAUGAAAAAUGCUUAUGAUAAAUAAAAAUUAUUGCCAAAUGCUAUUAAUAAUAUAAAAAUUAAUAAAACAACAUAUUUUAUACUUUCUUUUUAUUAUUUUUUUAUACACCAUGUAAAAUAUAAUACUAAGUUUUUAUUUCAAUAAUUAUUAUAAAAUCUAAUUUAUUUUUUAUUAACAUCAAAAAACUAGUUAUAUGGCAACGUGUCAGGUUAGGCAUGGAUAGUACCUACCCGCAACCCGACCCGAAAAAAAAAAAUUCACCUGUUACCCAACCCACUAUCCGCACGGAUACCCACUUAAAGAAUAUUCGCGAAUAUUUUAAUAACUCCAGAUACUCGCAAAUAUUUAAAAAAAUAUAGUUUUAUAAAUUAUUAAAAUAAAAUUUAAAUAGAAUUACAAAAAAUAUAUAAAAUAUAAUAUAAAUUAAAUUAAAAUUUAACUUUUGUUUUAGUUGAAUUGGUCUGAGGGAGGGUCGGUCCUUCCCGAGAAUGACAUCCACUUCCAUGGGUUGUUGACCUACUCCGACGCUCAAAUCAGAUAUGUUUCAGAAAAAAGAUAUUUGUAUUUUAUUAGGAUAGAAAAGGAUGAUUACCAAAACAUCAAUUAUAUAUUUAUAGGGUCUGUGUAUUUAGGCAACCAAACCCAAUAAUCAAUAAUCAAUACUGUGUAUUUUGUAGAGCCUAAGACAAUAUGACCUAUUAAUACUUGUUAAUUGUCCAUAAAUGACAAUUAAUUUCGAUCGGUAUAGUUCAUAUAGUACAAUUUUAAUUAAAUUUAACCUUGAAAUAUAUAAAUUUAUGUUAAUUUUAAUUAAAUUUAACUUAAUAAAAUAUAAAUUGAAUUUUUAUUUUUAUUGUUUACGGGUAGCAGAUAUCCGCGGGUACGAAUAGUAUAAAUACCCGCACCUGACCUAUUUAUAAGCGGGUAUUAAAAUACACGCUAUCCACGAGAUUUGGGGAGUAAAUAUUCGCGGAUAUCAACUAUCCGUAGCGGAUUUUAUACACGCAUAUUCGCGGACGUAGAUUUUUUUGUCAUUCCUAAUUAAAUGUUUCCACUAAUUAUAUAUCUAAUUUUAGUCGUUGAAGCUUAUAUUUAAUUAUUGCAUCAAACAAAAUUCUACAUUUAACAUCAUUUCUAAAAUUUAGAAAACUUCUCUUGAACCUCCAAAUUAAUUUUCAAAUUUAUAUAAAAUUAAUUUUUAAAUAACUUUUUCUGUUUCAAAAUAUCCUUAAGCAGUUUUAAGUAUAGAAGAGUUUUAAGUCUGUCCACAUGUUUAUUCACAAAUAUAAGUGUUUCGGAUGUAAGGUCGAGUAAUUUCACAAUACACAUUUACAAUAAUUUACUUUCGUUCGAUAUUAUCGUUUGUCCACACAAUUUUAUGUGCUUAAUAAUGCGUGUUCGUAUCUUAAGGUUGAGAGUAGUCUUUAUAAAGAUGCACUAUUCACCAACCUUAAGCGAGAAUGGCAGUGGUCCUCGGGGGACUCGUUGUUCACCAAUUCUCUUAAUGACUUUCCUUUUGAUCCGUGUGGUAGUGGUUCCGUUUUAAGGAACUCGUCGUUCAUCGUUCAGUUAAGUUAGCAUUGGUUUACUUUGAAACUUGUCGUUGGCCAACUUGGUUCUUGUACAUUUAAACUUAAUUUGAGCCAAAUUCCUCAUAAUAUACAAUUGUCGCGAAUACAUACAUGGAUUUAUAGAAAAGUAUUUUGGAUGAAUUUCUUAUUUGAUCAUUGGAUUGCAAUAGUAUAAAUAUACAAAUUGGUAACCUAAUUGAAAAGAUUAAAAUGUAAGGUAAUAUAGUAAUAUAUAUAAAAUGAUGCAGAGGGUGUGGGAAUGAUAAUAAACUAUAUUUAAAAUGUUCAUAUAAUUUAAAUUUAAAAAUAUUUUCAACCAAAGGUUAUUGAAGGUACAUUUAAAUGGUAGAUUAUAAAUAAAGCUUGAAAUUAUGACAAUUUAAGUUAUAAACGAGAAGUUCAAUAUGGAAAUUACUAAGAAGGAAAAUAGGUUAGGUAAAAAAUUCAAAUGCAAUUGUGAAGGUAAACAGUAAGAAAAGUAAAAAUUUAACAUGGUAAUCAAGAAUGUGAGAACAUUCUCUCUUUUAAUCGUUUUUACUUUGAACGUUAUCAAAAUUUUGUAAAUAUGAUCAUUUUCAUCUUAAAUUGCAUAAUAAGAAAAUUUAUGCAUAGAUAACAUUUCUAACAAUUUUAGAAUUAUGAAACGUAUAUGUGUUUAUAAACUAUAAAACACGCAUAUAAAACUAACGGCUUGAAGAAAGGACAGUAGAAAUGAUUUUGCAAUGUAUAUCUUAAGUUUUCUGUUUCUUCAUUCCAUUUGGUUAAGGUUUUCUUUUUUUUCUUUUCAAUUUCUUAUAUUUAUUGUAUUAAUCUUUUUCAACACAUCAAGUAAAUAGUGGCAGAGAUUGCAUAUGAUUUUAAAUUCUAUUAAUAUAAUAUAGUUAUGUAUAAGACUAUUAUAUACGUGCAAUAUGUAUAAAAGGGAAUGUUGAUAUAGUUGGAAUUGUUCAUAAUUCAUUUAUAAUAUUAUAAUAUGUAUAUAUUUGUGUGUUGGUUUAAUAUAAAUAUUAUAAUAGAAUUAUGAUUUAAUAUAACUAUUAUAAUAGGAUUAAAAACAAGUAUAAAAGAUUUUAGCAUUGAUUAAUUUAGAGUAAAUUUGUGGAGUUGUUACUUUUAUAACUUGUGAUAAAUGAGUUAAUGUAUGCUUAUGUAUGAGACUUGUGUGUGGUUUGAAAGAACAUGAUUGUGGAAUAGAAUGAUAUAAUUGAGUAUGAAUUGAACAUCUCAGGAUGAGAUGAUUGAAAGUGAAGUGAGGGGUGUUGUUGUUGUUUGUAUAAUGUCAGGAGCUUUGAAAUGGUGUGUCUAUCCCUACACUCAAAGCAUUCUUCAUACUCAAAUAAAGGAGAACAGUGUGAGUGGUGAGAGUAGAGGAAGGUCCUCGUCUAUAGUCUUGGAGUUGUGUUGGGAUGGGCCAACUGAACUAUGCAAGUGCAAAGACGAUCAAUAGUUAGACAGUUAUACCAAAUCCGGAUGAGUUGUGUUGAGUGUUUGAUGCAUAGGCCGAUUGGUAUGCCUUACUUGUUCUUUCAUUUGAAAUUAAGCAUAAAUGAUCUUAAAAUGUUUUAAAAAAUUAUUAUCAAAGUAUCAUUAUCUAAUAAAAUAUUAUGUGAUGAUAUUUAAGUUGUGCAGUAAUAUUAGAUAAUUAUUAUCCCACAUAAUUAACAGAAAAAAUUAAUUACAGAAACUCAAUUGAAAAAAUUUUAAAUUUUAGAGACUAGUAAUUCAAAAAAAAAAAGUUUAUUAGAAACUGAAUUAAAAUUUUCUAGCAGAUAUUUAACUCCUUAUUAAGUAAAAAAAAAAAUAUGCCAUGGGGACAAAAUAUAAAGUUAUUAACACUUAUAUUUUUUCUCUAUAUGAUUAAUGUUUGUUCAUCAUUUCAGUUAUAGAAUUAAUGAGCAAUUAAUAAUUAUUAUUAAGUGCUAAUUAACAUUGAUGAUUUUUGUUCCAUAUGAUUAAUGUUUGUUCAUCAUUUCAUUUAUAAUAUUAAUGAGAAAUUAAUAACUGUUAUUAAAUGCUAAUAAUUACCUCGCGCUUCUUUCAAAUCUUAAUUUCUGAAAUUUUCCCAUGCUCGAGUCGAGUCGCAAAAUAAAAAAUUCACUUACAACCCACUCACUAUCUGUGAGGAUAACUGUUUUAAAAAAAUUUUAAAUAUUUUAAAAUUGGUGGAUAUUCGUAAAUAUUAAAAAAAAUUAUAAAUUUAAAAAAUAAUAUUUAAUUAAAAUUAUUAAAAAUAUAUAAAUUUUAUAUAAAUAAAAUAAAACAUAAAUUUAAUUAGAUUUUAAUUAAAUUUAAUCUUAAAAAUAUAAAUUAUUUUUAUUUUAAAUUAAAUUUAAUUAAAUAAAAAUAUAUAUUAAAUUAUUAUUUUUAUUUUUUACAGUGAUGGAUACACGCACGUCGGAUAGUAUAAUAUGCAAACACAACUUGUUAAUAAGCAGGUACCAUCACGAACUUUAUCCAUAGGUUUAAUGGCUUCUUUUCUCUCCAGUUUGGUUGAAGUUUGUCAAAUUCGUCCCCUUUUAAAAAAAUGUUAAUUUCGUCCCCAUAUAGAAGAAAUUUGUGUCAAUCAAGUCAUCUCCGUUAAAAAUCAUUGCUUUCAAAACUCACUUUAUCCACUGCAAUAUCAGGGAUCGGACACAUGGAGUGGAUAUUAUUCAAAACUCACUUUAAGUUUUUAACACCAUUAGUUUGUAUUUUUAACACCAUUAGUUUAUAUUUAACGGAGAUGACUUGAUUGAAACAAAUUUUAAAUUGACAUUUUUUUGAAAGGAUGACAAAUUUGACACACUCCAACCAAACUGACUGAACACAAAAGAAGCUUUUGUCAUCUUUAAAUACAAUUUAUUUCUUAACCGCUUCUCGAAAAGUGGUUAAAAAUUCAACGAUCUUCGAGAGUCAGUUAAGAUUCAAAAGUAGACAAAUGUAUUUUAAUUAAGAAAUAAACGUAUUUCGAGAUACAUUGAAACGAUUUCAAAAUAUUUUUGUAUUUCAAAAUAAAUUUAAGAAAAACAUGUAUUAAUUUUAAAUUAAAUAAAAUAAAAUAACAAAUAAUAAAUUUUGAAAAAUCAAAAUAAAAUAACAAAACAAUUAACAACGAAAUAUAAUUGCAAUAUUUAAAUAACGAACUAAAAUUAAAUUAAAUAAUUAUAAACAAAAUAACAAAAAUCAAUAUAGAAUAAAAUAAAAAUAUUGUUAUUUUAAAUUGUAUCUUUUUUCGUUAUUUAAUUUUAAUUGUUAAUUUUAUGUUUUGUAUGUUUUAAUAAAUUUGCAAUAUUUAAUAAUUGAUAUUAAAUCAUUUUUUGUUUGAAAUUAUAAUGACUUUUGUUUUUCUCUAUAAUCGUGUUAAUUUAAUUUUAGUUGAUUUUUUGUAAAUUGUCUAUUUUAAAUACACGAACUAAUAAAAUAAUAAUAUAUAAUCUGUUCUUCAAAAUUAUUAAAAUAUUAUAGUCUAAUCUUUUAAGUAAACUAAACAUUCGAGUUGUCUUAUUUAAAAGAAAAACAUUGAGAAGGUGAAAUCAAAUUUCUUUAUGAUAUAUUAAAGAUCAACUGCAGAUAUUUUAACAAAAACUCUCCAAAUAAUCAGAUUUGAAACUUUAAGAAAUAAAUUAGAUGUAUGCAACUAUUGAGACAAAAAGGAAAUUUGUUGAAACUGUGGUUUAUGCAACAUACAUAUUUUUUAUUUAAUUUGUCUUUAUAUUCAGUUGUUUGGCUUUUUAGUUGUUAGAGAUUUUAAUCAUGAUUUACCAAUAUUCAUGCAUAAAAGUAUGAGAUAUCAUAGUUUACGUAGUUAUUUUGCAGGUCAAUAAAAUGAGCAAAUCAAUAAAAUUUAAAUCAUUAUCUCUCCACCUAAAAAAUGCAAUAACAAAGUAACUGUACAAGAAUAACUUUAGAAAGACACAUGUAUUACAUUUAAUAAGUCAAAUUUUUCGAAUUUUCAUUUUUUAUAUUGUCCCUUGUACCAUCAAAAUAAAAUACACCGAAUAUAUUAAUUGUGAUAUUAAAAAAGUGAAUGAAAUGUACAUACUAUAUAAUAUUAAUUCAUUAUUUUAAAUAUACUGAUUUUAAUAUAUUAAAAAAUAUUUUAAUAUAUUUUUAAAUAUAUCUAUAUAUUUUGAAGCAUACUAUUAAUUUAUUAUUCGUGUAAAGAAAUCAAUUGAUACUUUUUAUUUAGAAAAAUCUAGGAACAAAAGUCAAAUUGGAUUAAAAAUUUUCAAAUAAUUUCAAAACAGAGUAAACUCAAAUAGUAUAUUUAUUUAUUUCAUUCAUAUUUUUAGUUUACUUGUACAAUUGUUUAAUAUUUUCCAUUAGAAAAAUAAUUAAAAUAAAUAAUAAUAAUUAUAUAAAAAUAGUUAGACAUGAAUAAAAGAAUAUUAAUCAAACCAAACAAUUCUUAUAAUAAAUAAUAUUAAGACUAAAGUAAAUGAAGAAAAACGUAGAAAUAACUUGGGUUAAAGCACUGCCUUAGAGGGAAACAUUUUCAAUGAACUAAACAAAACAAAAUUAUAUGCAUUUCUCUUCUAAGAUAGAACAACUCGUUAAGUGCAGUAAAGAGUCUCCAAACCUUAUAAACAUCAAUGUUUUAAAAGAUAAUAUAGAUCAGAAAACUAAAAACACUUUUAAUAAGUUAAUGUGUUUGUGGUAUAUUUUUCUCAUGUCAAUAAGUUAUAUUUAUAGAUAAAAAAAGUGAGACUUUGGAGUCAAAUCUAAUACAUUUGAUUUAAAAAAUUAAUAUAUAUAUAUAUAUAUAUAUAAUAAAGUUAAAAAUUGUUUAACCAUAAAUAUAUAAAUAGCAUUUAUCAUAAAGUCAAUAGUCUAUAAAAAAUAUGACUAACAAUAAAAUUAUUUCAUCUUCAAGUUAAAUCGAUUAAAUAUAGUAAAGGAUCUUUAAAUCUUAUGAAUACUAAUAUUUUAAAAGAGAAUAUACAUAAGAAGUCUUUUUGUAGAAUAUUGUUUUUUCUUGAUUGGGAAGAUGGUUUGAUCUUCAUAUAUGAGAAACCUUGUUUGCAUAUCAUUUUCUCUAUUUUGUCCCCUUUUUAUUAAUCUAAUUAUUCUUCUUCAAUUAGUGUUUUUCUCUUUUUCCUUUUUGUAUCUAGUGGAGUUGAGGUGGAAAAGGAUUAAUCCAAAUUACCAUUCUGUAAAAUUUGAACAAUUGUUUGAAAUAUUGAAAUGUAAAUGUGUAAUUAAAUAAAAAUUAAUUUUAAAAAUACUUUAUAUCUUUUAUCUUUAAAAUAUUAAACAUUGUGUUACAUAUCUUAACCCACGUUAUCAUUUGAAGGCUAUUUGCUUUUUUGUAGUGUAUUUAUUAAAUAAAAUAAAAUAUAUAUUCUCUAUUAAAUGGACCAGCUAUUUACUGUAUUUAUUAAACAUGAUAUAUAGUUAAGUUACUACGUAAUUAAAUAUUAAUUUUUUAUUCUUUAAACCUUCUUUCUUUAUAAACAUUUUUUUAUAGUUUUAUAAAAAACAACUGCUUUUCUUAAUUAUUAUUUAAAAUGUCAUUUUAUUAAAAGUAAUAAAGAGUCAAAUUAAACAAGAUUACUUUCAAUAAAUGUAAUAUAUUUAUAAACAGCUAAGCAAAUGAGCUGUUUUCAAUUGAGAAGAUGAAUAGAGAUGGUAUAAAUUAAUGGAAAUGUUUAUUUAAAUUAAAUUAUAUGUUCAAUAACUCCCACAGCUGUCUUAUAUAUGUUCUAAGUGCUUUAUAUAACGAAGAGUUAAGUAUGUUUUUAUUAUUUAAAUUUUAAAACCAAAAUUAAAAUUUGAUUCUAAAAUUUUAACACAUUUUAGUCUCUAAAUUCUAAAAAAUGAUUAAUAUAAUUUUUUUUUAGUCAAUUACGUUAAAUUGUUUUUAUGUAUUAAAAGUAUUUUUCAGUAAAUAUUAUAGUAAAAAUUUAUAAUUUAAAUACUAACAUAAAACACAAUACAUUUGAUUAUAAAAAAUUUAACUUCAUUUAAAUUAAAAAAUCACAGUCAUUGUUUUUUAAAUUUAAAAAUGACAAUAUAUUAAAAUUUUGAAUGUAAAAAAAUUUCAAUUUUAUAUUAAAAUUUAAAUAUUAAAAAUUUAAACCAAUUCAGAAGGUCCUUUCUCUAAAUAUUUAACGCGUUACACCUCAAACUCAUACAACACAAUACUUGUCUACAUGUAUGAUGAUUUAUUUGAAAUAUAUUUUACUUAUAUUUUUUAUACUAAACUAGUGGGCGUGAGCUUAUUUCCUUUUAUGAUGAUAAAAAUAAAUAAUAAAAUUAUUAGUAUUUUAAUUAUAAAAAUGAAUACAAAUAAUGUUUAAAAUUUUAUUAAAGUGAUUUUUAUUUAUCUUGUUCGUAUAUUUUUAUUGUAAAUAAUUAUUUUAGUUUUAAAAUAUGGUUAAAUUUUAAAAAUAUAAAAUAAAAAAAUUAAAAAUAGUCAUUCUAAAAAUAAAAUUUAUAAAGCAAUUAUAAUUUAAAAAAGAUUAAGGAUAAAUAUAUAUAUAUAUAUAUAUAUAGACACAUAAAGAAGAAUUGUCUUUAUAUAAUAAUAUAGAAAUAAAAAUAAACUUUAAAAUUUAAUAAUUUUAAUUGAGUUUUAACUUUUAUAUAUAAUGACUAACGUAUCAUAACACAGUUUUACAUUAGACAAAAAAAAGUAUAAAAUGGUCAUAAAAGUGUAAGCUUUUAUAUUUUUCAGGUAGAGUAAUAGUAGUAUGAUACACUUUUUCAUUCAUAUUUUUUACACAAUAUAAAGAUAAAAUGAUUAUAAAAGUGUAAACUUUUGUAUUUUUUCAAGAAAAAAGAAAGUAAGAAGUAAGAAAAAAUAACAUAGAAUAAAUGUAAAAAAUUUAUACGUGUCAAAAUAUUAUUUUUCUUUUAAGAAAGAAAAGAAUAAAAAGUAAAAAAAUAAGAUGUAAAAUGAAUGUAAAAAAUUUAGAUUUGAAUCAUUUUGGACAAUAAUAUUUUGACAACAUUUUUUGACAACGGAACACGUAUGUGUUGUCAUGUAUGUGUUGUCAUGUAUGUGUUGUCAAAAAGUUGUUAAAAGAAGUUUUUCUAAUCAUUUUUCAAAACUAAAACACCAAUGAGGUUAGUCCGAAACAUUUCAAUCCGCGUCCAUGAAUUUGAGUGGUUGUCAAAUUUGUUCUCACACACGCUUCAACAAACGUUGAAUGUAUGACUAUAGAACCUUAUAAAUAGUGACUAAGAAUGUGCUUACAAUACAAAUAUGAAGACUUUGAUGACAACAAUGUCACUUUCCUCAACCCUAGUUCUUAUUCUGCUGUCUCUUCAGAGCAUCUCUUCCUUAGAGGCUCAUAAAGGAGGGUUCAGUGUGGAAAUCAUCCACCGUGACUCAUCAAAAUCACCGUUGUAUCGUCCCACAGAAACUCAAUUCCAACGAGUUGCUAAUGCAGUGGGUCGUUCCAUUAAUCGUGCCAAUCGUUUCAACCAAAACACACCUAGGACCAAUAUAACCCAAGAUGAUGGUGGAUACCUUUUGAGCUAUUCAGUUGGAACCCCACCAUUUCAAGUUUAUGGUAUUGCUGAUACAGGAAGUCCCAUGAUUUGGUUGCAGUGUAAACCUUGUAAACCCUGUUACAACCAAACCAGUCCAAUAUUUGAGCCUUCAAAAUCCAGCACAUACAGAAACGUUUCUUACUCUUCUAGAAUAUGUAAAUUAGUGGAAGGUACCACUAGAGAUGGAGACAAUUGUGAAUAUCACGCUGCCUAUGGUGAUGGGUCAGAGUCACAUGGAGAUCUUAGUGAGGAGAUCCUCACUUUAGACUCCACCAAUGGCUCUUCAAUCCAAUUUCCAAGAACUGUCAUUGGAUGUGGACGAAUGAACACUGGGCCCUAUGAUAGGAACAGCUCUGGUAUAGUUGGCCUUGGAAGAGGACCUGUGUCCUUGAUAUCUCAAUUGGGUUCUUCAAUUGGUGGAAAAUUUUCCUAUUGUUUUGCACCAACGUCAAAUACUUCUAGCAGACUCAAUUUUGGAGAUGCUGCUGUGGUUUCUGGGAAAGGGACUGUAUCAACUCCAAUAAUCUCACGUGGAGAAGUAUUUUACUACCUAACAUUGGAAGCAUUCAGUGUUGGAAACAAGAGAAUAAAUUUAGAAAGCUCCUCGUCUGAAUCUGAUGGAGAGGGAAAUAUCAUAAUUGACUCAGGUACAACACUCACUUUUGUGCCAGAUGAUGUUUACUCAAAGCUGGAAUCAGCAGUGGCACAUGAAGUUAAGUUAAAACGUGUGAAGGGUCCAUAUAAGCAGUUGAGCCUUUGCUUUGAAAGCAGUUUUCAUGAUCUGAAAGCACCAGUGAUCACGGCACAUUUUAGAGGCGCAGAUGUGAAGUUAAAUGCUGUCAACACAUUUAUUGAAGUGGCCGAAAGGGUAGUGUGCUUCGCUUUCUCGUCAAGUAAAGGUGCCGUCUUUGGGAACGUGGCUCAGGUGAACCUUUUGGUUGGCUAUGACCUAGAAAAGAAAAGAGUCUCCUUCAAACCCACAGACUGUACUAACCAGUGAUUGUUGCUUGUUUUACUUAGUAUCUGUCACUCGACUGAAAAUAAAAAUUUAUAUUUUAACUAUUUUUGUUCCAUUUUAUUAUUGAUAACAGAUAAUGAGAGAAAACAAAAAUAUGUUAAGAACCUUUGCCAACGAAUGAACAGACUAAAGGAGUUGUUUUUAAUUUUCCCAGAUGGGUUUGCAGGCAUUUUCUAUCAGAAAUAAUACAGCAUUAUAGGGGCUUAUAUGUAUAAAUAUUGCCAGGUCUGAACUUUGACAAACAUAUAUCAAUCUUGCAACUUAGUCAUACUAGAGUUUACAAGCUUUGAAGAGAUGCAAAACAAGAAGAAUGAGUCAAGAUGAUUAAAUUGCAAAUAUUUUUAGAAAGGUGUUAUCAACACCAAUGUUUGAACCACUUGUGUUAUACCAAGUUUACAACAAGGAGAAUUAUUAUACCGCAAUGAAAAUUCUAGAAUAAUAAAAAAAAAUUAUGAUAGAAGCAGUGAAAUGUAAUGUAAAUUUUAAAAUAAUGUAAAAUAGCAUAAGAUAGGAGGUAAAUAUAGAAAAUCUACAAUAUUUUACAUAAAUUAUAACUAAUAUAACUAACAUUUUCUAUAAUAAUAUAUCUAUAUAUAUCGUUUGAUGUAUAAUAACAACUACACAUACAAGUACAAAACAUACUUCUUCUAACUACUACUUUUACAUUUAUUAUCUUUAAAUUUCUUUUCUUUUACAUUUAUUAUCUUUAAAUUUUUUUUCUUUUACAUUUAUUAUCUUUAAAUUUUUUUUCAAUAUCUAAUCAAUUAUUCAAUUCACAAAUUCAAAAUACUAAAUAUUAUAAAUCAAAACUAUUUAUAAUCAAUGUAACGUUAGAUGAGUCAACGUAAGUUCAUCACUAUUUUUAAAUUAAUUUUUAAUUAAAACAUUUUAUUGUCAAUUAAACUAAUUAAUGUUUUUAUAUUAAAUUUUAUUUAAUUUAAUAUCAAUUUAGAAAAUGUUAAAUAAAAUUUACUUUUAAUAUUAAUUUAAUUUACGCUAAUAUGACUGGUCUAAUAAAAUAAUUUCAAAUAAAAAAUUCUACAAUGUCUUUGUCUUCAAUAAAAAUAACACACAAAAAAAAAACAUUUUUUUCUCUGUGAAUUAUUUUUUAAUUAAAAACAAAAGUGUGAAAUGUAAGUAUAGUGGAAAGGUCACUGUAAAAUGUUGAUAUAAAAAAGGUUUAAUACCUAUUUUGGUCCCUCUUUUGGGAGGGUUUGUUAAAGUGGUCCUCCUUUUUUUAAAAAUUUCACUUAAGUCCCAGUUUUUGCAAAAACUGAACAAAUAGGUCCUUUUUGGUAACGGCGUUAACUUUGUUAACGGCAAAGCUGUUAGGUGACUAAUAUAUGAUGAUGUGACAUUGUUAUGUGUUUUAAAAAAAUAAAAAAUAAUUGUGACAUGUAAAUUAAAAUAGUUAGGGUUAAUUUAAAAAAUGAAAUUGGGAUAACCUAACUAUUUAAUUUUUUAAUUUAAAAAUUACAAGCACAGAUAAACCCAAAUUAAAACCCUAGCCAAAAUCAUGGAAUCAAAAAUCUGUAGAGUGGAUUCAAGAAACCUAAAUCAAAACUCUUGUCGCGAUGUCGCCAAAAUAUCAAUUCAAAUCCCUAAUUAUUUACAUGGAGACUGACAAAGCAGAAAGUAAGCCAAGCAUUGAACGUGAUCGUGGAGCUUUUCUCACAGCAGGAAGUCUUCGGCUGAAAAACAGCUUCAUACCCAGAAUGGACUUCCCAGUUGUCUGCAAGGAAAAUGCAACGCUGAAGCAAAUAAUGGAGCAUACCACAGAGACUAACAGCAGUUUCAGCUUUCUAGGCAAUGAGGAGGAGCAAGUUACAUGUUUUCUCACAUUGAGGGAUAUAAUUCUGUAGUUUGCCCCACCAUGUGUUAAUUCAAAGUUGCCAGUUGAGGGAUAUACCCAGUUGUCAUUCCCACCAUGUGUUAAUUCACAUUGAGUGAUAUACCCAGUUGCCAUUGCCACCAAGUUGCAGUUUACCCAGAAUGUCGAACAAUUCAAAUCCCUAAUUAUUUACCCCAAUUUCAUUUUUUAAUUUAACCCUAAUUAUUUUAAUUUACACGUCACAAUUUUUUAUUUCUUUAAAACACAGAACAAUGUCACAUCAUCAGAUAUUAGCCACCUGGCAGUUCUGCCGUUAACAAAGUUAACGUCGUUACCAAAAAGGACUUAUUUGCUCAGUUUUUGCAAAAGCUGGGACUUAAGUGAACUUUUUAAAAAAGGGAGGACCACUUUGAACAAACCCUCCCAAAAGAGGGACCAAAAUAGGUAUUAAACCUAUAAAAAAUAAGACAUAUUAUAUCAAACCUUCUUGGUCCUCGUAUUUGUGUGAAAAUCUCAGUUCGGUCCUCAAGUUUUGAACUGUCUCAAUUGGGUCAUAUUUUUUGUAAAAAUACACACAUUUUACCCGAAUCGUUAACUAAUCUCAAAUGGCGUUAAAUUUAGCCGACGUGGUAGCCAGAGGACAUGCUGACGUGUAUUAUUUAAUUAUAUGAAUUAUUUUUUAAAAUAAGCAGUGUUUCACGUGGCACCAUGCCUAUUAUUUAGUUUAUUUGAAUUAGGGAUUUUAUUCAUCUCUCUGAGAAUUAGGGAUUUUACACAGAUUAUCUCGUCGGCUCAAAAAAUAAAGUCACCGGAAAACUCGCGUAACCAGUGCAAUCAGUCUCAGCCUUUUCUGCAAAUGAACCAACUUGGUAACCUAUAGGUUCAUCACCAACCUUUAAGCUAUUUAUUCCACUGAUAGCAGAAGAUAAUUGUUGCACAGUGAGAUCAGUUAGCGAUUGGGGUAAAAUGUGUGCAUUUUUAAAAAAAUUAUGACCCAAUUGAGACAAUUCAAAACUUGAGGACCGAACUAAGAUUUUCACACAAAUACGAGGACCAAGAAGAGAUUAAGCCAACACGUCAGCAUACCACGUCAGCUAAACUUAACGCCGUUUGAGAUCAGUUAACGGUUGGGGUAAAAUGUGUGCAUUUUUACAAAAAUUAUGACUCAAUUGAGACAGUUCAAAACUUGAGGACUGAACNNNNNNNNNNNNNNNNNNNNNNNNNNNNNNNNNNNNNNNNNNNNNNNNNNNNNNNNNNNNNNNNNNNNNNNNNNNNNNNNNNNNNUUUAUAAUUUUAUAAUUUUAUAAUUUUAUAAUUUUAUAAUUUUAUAAUUUUAUAAUUUUAUAAUUUUAUAAUUUUAUAAUUUUAUAAUUUUAUAAUUUUGUAAUUUUGUAAUUUUGGUAUUUUGUAAUUUUAUAAUUAUAUAAUUUUAUAAUUUUAUAAUUUUGUAAUUUCAUAAUUUUAUAAUUUUAUAAUUUUAUAAUUCUUUAAAUUUUUUAAAUUUAUAAUUAUUUAAAUUUAUAAAUUUAUAAUUUUACAAUUUUAUAAUUUCAUAAUUUUUUUGUUUUUUUAUUUAUUUAACUUUUUCAUUUUUGAUUUUAUAAUUAUAAUUUAUAUAAAUUAGAAAUAACUUUUAUUAAAUACACUAAAUCUUUGACAGAGAUCUCAUAAGGUCUUUUGUAAUAAAGUAUUAUGUGAUGAUAUUUAAGCAGUGCCUUAAUAGUAGAUAAUUAUUAUCCCACAUAAUUAACAGAAAUAUUUAAUUACAGAAACUCAAUUGAAAAUUUUAAAAUUUUAGAGACUCAUAAUUCACAAAAAUUUAUAGGAAACUGAAUUAAAAGUUUCUAGUAGGUAUUUAAAACUUAAUUAAGUAAAAAUAAAUUAUGUGACGGUGACAAAAUAUAAAGUGAUUAACACUUAUAUUUUUUCUCUAUGAUUAAUGUUUGUUCAUCAUUUCAUUUAUAGAAGUAAUGAGCAAUUAGUAAUUAUUAUUAAAUGCUAAUAAUUAACAUUGAUGAUUUUGGUUCUAUAUGAUUAAUGUUUUUUCACCAUUUCAUUGAUAGUAUUAAUUAGAAAUUAAUAAUUGUUAUUAAAUGCUAAUAAUUAACUAAAACACCAAUGAGUAACUCACGCUUAUUUCAAAUCUUAAUUUCUGAAAUUUUCCUCCAAAAGGUAAAAUCAUACUGUCCUAAUGCUUGUUCUCACAAAAUUCAUAAAUAAUUGACAUAAUUUUUUUCAAAAAACUAAAGAAAUUCUAAACUAAGACGUUUUAAUUCAAGAAUGUUUCUCUAUGUACCUAUUUUUCCUGUACUUUCAAAAUUUUAUACAUUUUAAAAGAAAAAUUUAAUUAAAAUCACAAAGAAGUAUAUAAAAUUUAAUAUAAAUAAAAUAAAAUAUAAAUUAAAAUUUAAUUUUAAUUUAAAUUAAUCUAAUAAAAUACAAACUAUUUUUAUUUUAAAUUAAAAUUAAUUAAAUAAAAUAUAAAUUAAAUUAUUAUUUUUAUCUUUUGCAAGUAAUGGGUCUCCAGAGGUCGGAUAAUCUAAUAUCCAAACACAAUUCGUUUAUAAAUGGGUAUUUUAAUAUCUGUUACCCGCAAUCACGGAAAGUAAAUACUUUUUUGAUAUAAUCGCAGAUUUUUUUGUCAUCCUUAACUACAUCCUUUUAUUUCUUUACCAACUUUCGAAAAUCGAUUAAAAAUUUAAUAGCUUUUGAAAAUCGAUUAAGGUUGCAAAAACAUGUUUUUUCUUAAUCUUUCGAAAGUCGAUGAAUGUAUUUCAUCUAAAGAAUAAACGUAUUUCAAAAUACCUUGAAACUAUUUUGGUACAUGUCCUUAAGCGUAUUUUGAAAUAAGUUUAAAACAAUAUAUUAAUUUUAUAAUAAAAAAUAACAAAUAAAAAAUUUUGAAAAAUCAAAAUAAAACAAACAAAAUAGAAAAGAAAAAUAAUUAACACAAUUUCAAAUAAAAAAUAACAAGUAAAUACAAUUAUAAUAUUUAAAUAAUGAACUAAAAUUAAAUUAAACAAUUAUAUAAAAAAAAUCAAUAUAAGUAAAAUAAAAUUAUUGUUAUUUUAAGUUUUAUGUUUUUCGUUAUUUAAUUUUAAUUAUUAAUUUUAUGUUUUGUUUGUUGUAAUAAAUUUGCAAUAUUAAAUGAUUGAAAUUAAAAUAUUUUUCUAUUUAAAAUUAUAUUGAUUUUUAUUAUUUCUCUAUAAUUUUUUAAUUUAAUUUUAGUUGAUUUCUUUUAAAUAUUGCAAUUGUAUUUGGUAAAUAUUUUUUAUUUAAAAUUGUUAAAUUUUGUUAGUUUUCUUUUAUUUUGGUUUUUCAAAAUUAAUUUUUUGUAAAUUUAUUUUAUUUUAUUAUUUUUUAAUUUAAUAUGUUUUUUUAUACGACUUAUUACGUUUAAGGAAUAAACGUUUUUCGAAAUACAUUUUUUUUUUGUUUUCAAAAAGAGAAAAAGAAACUUUUAUCAGUUUUUGAAAAGAGCAGGAGUACUUUGACACGCACAAAAGACAAAUUACUUUCAUUUGACACGCUAAACAAUAAUAUUUUAAUUAUAAUUCUAUUAUUUUUUAAAUUUAAAAUAAUAAUAUAUAUUAUUAUAUUAUUAAAAGUAGUGUCAAAUGAGUGUUAUUUUUCUAAACCGUGUCAAACUAUCUUUUCUCUUUUGAAAAUUAUUCAACUCUUAACGAAAACUAAUUAAAAGAUAAAAUAGAAUGAAGAGAGAAGAGAAAAAUUUAAAAAAAAAAUAAUAAAAAAGUUGUAUUUUUGGAAGUGUAUGAAAAAGGAAAGGAACACUCCUAACUCAUUACUUAUUCGAUGAUAUAUCUUCUCUCUGUCAUACGAACUCUCUAUAAUGCAACACAAAACAUAAAAUAACAUGUAUAAUUUAUUCUAGUUAGAGUAAGUAAUAAUAAACAAGAAAUAAUCACAUCUUAGUGCAAUCUGUUUGCUUAAAAGACACAGUAUUUUUUUUCAGAUCAUAGCCAACCAAAAGGUUUUGCUGAGCCAAGUUUCCAAAGACAGCAGCACCAUUUUGAGUUGGCUGAAAAGCCAAGCACCAAACCUUAUCAGCCACUUCAACAAAGGUGUUCAUAGGAUGCAGCAACACAUUAGCCCCUCUAAAGUGUGCUGUGAUCACUGGAAUAUCUAGUUUAUACAAUGUACCUCUGUAGCAGAGUCCCAACACAUGAUUUGGAUCCUCAACAGGCUUCAGUUUAACUGCAUGUGACACUGCUGAUUCCAACCAUCUGUAAACAUCAUAUGGCAAAAGUGUCAGUGUUGUACCUGAGUCAAUAACGAUAUUUCCCUCUCCUCCAAAUCUAGACAAAGAGCUUCCAAAUUCUCUUCUAUGUCUUCCCACACUGAACCCUUCUAGCCUUAGGUAGUAAAAUACUUGUUGUGGUUUAGAAAACAAUGGGGUUGAGACAGUUCCAUGUCCUUGAACCACAGCAGCAUCUCCAAAAUGCAGUCUGCUACUUGCAUUGGAAGGCAGAGUUUCUGGGACCAAACAAUAAGAAAAUUUCCAACCUACUGAAGAACCCAAUUGAUUUAUAAGGGACACACGUCCACGUCCUAGGCCAACUAUGCCAGAAUUUUUCCCUUUGAAGUGCAUGCUAUUGUUAUGGCCACACCCUAUUGCAGUUCUUGGAAGUGGGAUGGGAGACCCAUUGGUGGAGCCUAAAGUGAGGGUCUCCACACUCAAAUCUCCAUGUGAGAAUGAACCAUCACCAUAGCUGAUAUCAUAUUUACAGUGUUUGGUGAUGCUAGAAGAGGAGCAAGAGGUACCUUGCACAGAAUGGCAUAUGGUAGAAUUGCAACGGAUGGUUUUGUAUGUUGUGGACUUUGAAGGAUUAAACACAGGUGUGGCUUGACUGUAACAUUUUCUACAUGGUUUGCAUUGCAACCAAAUGAUGUCACUGCCUGUAUCAAGAACUCCAAACACCUUACGGGGUGGAGUUCCAACUGCAUACCUCAUCAGAUAUUCACCAAAAUCUGGUAUCACAGUUGCACUUACUGUGUUUGGAAACACCAUGGAUUUGCUGAAAUGGUUGCCACGGUUUAUGGAACGACGCAGAGCAUUGGAAACCCUUUGGAAUUUUGUUUCUGAGGAACUAUAGAACGGUGAUUUUGGUGAAUCACGGUGGAUUAUCUCCACACUGAAUCCACCAUUUAGAGCUUCUAAGAAAGAGAGGUUGUAGAGACACAGAAGAACAAGAAGAGAAGAAAAGCAUGACAUUUUCUUCAUCUCUAUAAAGACAGUAACUGCAAGUAGUUCCUUGUGGCUUUUUAUAAGGUUUUGGAGUUCAUGUGUGACUGAGAGAGUUGGUGGAAUUGUUUGAGAAAAUAGUGUGCAAUUUUUAGGGUUUUAGAUUUUGUCUUUUGUCAUCAAAAUAUUUCAAAUCGGUUACGUAUUAGAUCAAAUAUUAAACGUAAUAUCUCUUAUAGAAGUUAACUGAAAUGAAAAUACUGGGAAAUUCUUCCCUUUUAAAAUGUCUAGAGUUCAAUUAAAAGUUGUAAGAGCAAUAAUCUUCUGUGGAAUUACAUAAUUGAUAAUUCAAUACAUAUAUUAAGUGUGAUUUGGCUAAUUUUAAUUUAUAAUUUUACUGAAAAUUUAUUAUUUUAUCUUUUUUGUAUAUAGAAUUAUGACAUUUGAAAGGUAAUGGAGAAUUAAUUAACUUUAUAAGACUAUCCUAAAGUUAAGAUUUUUAUAUGAAUGUGAUCAGCUAGAGUUCACAUUUUAUUAAUAUUUAAUUGUAAUAAUAAAUUUAAAUAAAUAAAGAAUUAUGAACAUACUAAACUUAUAUGAAAGCUUAAUUAUUAGAGAAAACGUUAAUAAACAUGUUGAGAUCCUCUUAAUAUAAAAUAACAUCAUAAGAAAAUUCUUAUAAAAUCAUUAUAUUGUAAGUGUUUUAAGGAUUUGACACUUUAACUAUGAAUAUGGGUUUUUGAGUAUUUAGCAUUAAUUAUAUACAUUUUAAUAAAAUAUUAUCAAUUUUUUAUUUAAAAUAUAGAUUUUUUUGUGAUUCAUAAAUAAUUAGAGUCCUCUAAUUAGGUUAAAAGCUUAUUAGUAAAUUGUACCCAACGCAAAUUUGAAUCUUUGUAAAUUUUAAUAUGGACAAAAUUAAACUAGAUUUAUUAAGAAUAUGACUUUCAAUCCGUUGAGAGCUAUAAUAAAAGAAGUAAAGAAAAGAAUUUAAAAUAUUUAUAUUUAGUAUGCAUAUUAAUAUAACAUUUCAAAUUUUCAUUUCUAUAUGUUAGUUUAUAUAUAUUAAUUAAUGUAUUUAUUUUAUCAUUAUAUAAUAUAACGAUUUUUUAUAAUUGUAAUAUAUCUUUACAUACCAAAUGUAUAUAAUGUAAAGGCUGUUUGUACACGCUUCAAGUCUUUAAUUUUAGUAAUAUUAAUCUUUUUUAAGGGAUAAUCUUACGCUUAAGUCAGACAAGUAUGUGAAAAAGUAUUUAAUGCUAAAAUAAAUGAACUUAAUUAAUUUAUCUCAUAUUACGUGUUAUUUAUACUAUUCUUAUGACUUUUUUACCUAGAUGAGUAUGAUCCAUACAACUAAUUAAUUACUUUGAUUAGUCUUUGGUUAAUCCAUCUACUUAAUAAUCACCUUAAAUAAAUUUUCCACAUGAGGAAUAUAUUUGGUAAUCUUUAGUCGGUCAUGUCGUCAUAAUAUACUAAUUGGCCGACUAUGAUUAGUAGUCAGACCAUUAGAGCUUACUACUUCAAAGUGUACCUAGUCAUGUCGUCUAUUCACAUAGUUCAGACAAUAAAUUUAAGGAUGUUUAAACAAGUAUCCACAUGUUUAUGAAGAAAGUACAUUAUAAUUGUUAUUUUAGUAAUUUAAAUUUAAUUUUAGUCUUUAUAUUAAAAUUAUUAAAGAAAAAUAAAAUUAAAAAAAAUAUUUUUUUAAAAAGAAAAUAAGUGAGUAACCUUGUUUAAUCCAUGAAUUUAUUAUGGACUGAGUCAGAAUAUUUUUUAAAAGGUCACUUAUAAUCUAUUUUAUGAGCUUUAUCAAUAAUAUAAUUAAUUAUCUCUCAUUUUUCUUAUAUAUUUUAAAUUAAUAUUUAUAGUCAAUUUAUAAUUAAGAAAUUUUCCCAUUAGGUAAUUUACCUCAUUAACCCAUCUCAUUUGUCACCUAUCCCAAAUGAUGGUGUUUUUGCCAUUUUCCUUUUUCGAAAAAAUCGACAAGUAUAUCCUUAGCAUCAUCACACCACAUUAAUGGCAUUUUGGUAUUUUUCGUCUUUCUCCCUUUAUCCCUCGUUUUUUAGUUGAGACUAUAGUGGUAAACUACAGGUGGUAUGAUUAUGAGCCUGUAUAGGGAAGCUAUAGGUGGUAUGAUUCUGAGCCUGUAUGGGGAAGCUAUAGAUGGUAUGAUUAUGAGCCUGUAUGGAGAAGUUACAGGUGGUGUGAUUAUGAGCCUGUAUAGGGAAGCUACAGGUGGUAUGAUUAUGAACCUAUAUGGAGAAGCUAUAGGUGGUAGGGUUAUGAACCUGCAUAGGGAAACUAGAUGUGGUAGAGUUGGAUACAAGAGAUAGAUCAAUGUCCUUUGUCAGAACUGCUGCAGCGGAAUUGUUAGCGUGGAAUAACAAACCAAGAGGGUUUUUAAUUCAAACGUGUGCCUUUUAAUUUCUACUCAAUUUAUCUUACUACGCAAAUAAUAAAUAUAAAUAAAAGAGUAAGGUUGAGAGAAAUUUGCAUAGAUGAAUUUUAUAUUGGUUCGGAUCUUACCAAUCCUACGUCUAGUCGCUUAUCUCAAACCGAGAUAAACAGUUCACUAAGCGCAAAACAAUUACAAAUUACAAUCACAAAGAAACAAUUUGUAAGAGUUUAGAAACCACCUCUCUUGAUACCACAAGAGAUGAACCUGCACCUCCUUUGAAUCUUCACAAAGGAUGNNNNNNNNNNNNNNNNNNNNNNNNNNNNNNNNNNNNNNNNNNNNNNNNNNNNNNNNNNNNNNNNNNNNNNNNNNNNNNNNNNNNNNNNNNNNNNNNNNNNNNNNNNNNNNNNNNNNNNNNNNNNNNNNNNNNNNNNNNNNNNNNNNNNNNNNNNNNNNNNNNNNNNNNNNNNNNNNNNNNNNNNNNNNNNNNNNNNNNNNNNNNNNNNNNNNNNNNNNNNNNNNNNNNNNNNNNNNNNNNNNNNNNNNNNNNNNNNNNNNNNNNNNNNNNNNNNNNNNNNNNNNNNNNNNNNNNNNNNNNNNNNNNNNNNNNNNNNNNNNNNNNNNNNNNNNNNNNNNNNNNNNNNNNNNNNNNNNNNNNNNNNNNNNNNNNNNNNNNNNNNNNNNNNNNNNNNNNNNNNNNNNNNNNNNNNNNNNNNNNUUGAUUUAAUCGAUUAAAACCGUGCGUUUUUUAUUCUGAACAACAAAUAUAAAAUAUGAAGGUACAAGAAUCAAAACCUACUACAAAUCUAAGUCAUAAACAUUUAAACUACAAUUAUUACAAAAGCUUUUAAUAAUAAAAAUAAGUCUUUAAAGGAUCUUCAUGAAUCUUGAUAUAUCUUGACUUGAUUUAGGCAUCAUCAAAACUUCAUCUUCACCAUUUUGCUAACAUUCUCCCCCUUUUUGAUGAUGAUCAAAAACUCCUUUGAAUUAAAGCUUUUGGUAAUAAUCUGGAUAAAAACACAACUCAUGAAAGACAAGGACAUUAAUGAAUAACAAUAAGCUUUAAGAUAUUUUCUCCCCCUUUUUUAUCAUAAUUAAAAAAUUGUGUUUCAUGUUCUCUCCUUAAGAUAAUACUCCCCCUUAAUAAAAGCAUGUAUGCAUAAGAGCUAAAUAUAUUUCAAAAUUAAGGAUUUAUUCAAACAUACACAAUAGGAGAUUUAAAAAAAAAAAUAGGAUAAAGAACUUAAAAAAAAAUCAUACAUUGAACCAUAUAAGAUAGGAAUUUUAAAGCAGAAAAAAAUAUGGCUAAAUUUUAAAAUGCAUCAAAUGAAAAAAAACACAAUCCUAAGAAAUUUCACAAAUUCCUAGAUCUAUUCUAAUGUUACACCUUUAGAAAUGUCUCCAUAAUGAUAAUUUGUUGAGAUCUUCGUAUUGAGGAUUGUCAUCAUUCUUCUCUUCUUUUGUUGUCUUCUACAAGUCUUCAUUAUUACCUGCAUCUGAUUCAACUGACUUAAGAGGUUUUGUCUCAAGGUCCACAAUUUUAUCAAAGACAACAAGCUUGGAAUAAAAAUUUUCUAAAAUUUUGUUUAAAAAAAGAUUAAAUCAAAAACAGUUAAAAUUUUAAAUUUAAAAUUUAAAAAUGCUUGGCAUAAAAUUUUCUCAAAUUUUGUUUUUUUUUUAAAUUUUAAAUGUUAAAGAAAAUUAAAUUUUUUUAAAAAAAAAUAAAAGUUGAACAUGGUCUUUUAGGUUAUAUAAAAAAUAAUGAAAUCAUUUUACAACCCAAACAUAUCUACCACUUGGAACACCAAAAUGCUUAAUUUACAUUUAUUUGAGGUAUGACCNUUUUUCAUACAAUAAAAGCAUGAUAUAAAGUUUGUGUUCCUAUAAAUUGUUCCUUUUUCUACCUAUGUUCUANGGGUUCUAUUAUUAUGCUUAUUUUUAAUUUUAGGAACAUACUUAUUUUUAACAACCUUAUUUUCAUUAUUUUUACUGCAUUCUGCUAAGUUGUUUGUUCUAGCAGUUUCUUAAAAUUUUCACAAGAUGCACAUUCAUCACUAUUAGUAAAUUUACCCUUUUCAAAACAUAAAACUUUAUUUUUCAAAUCUUUAUUUUCUUCAAAAAUAUUCUCAAAAUUUAAUUUUAAAUUUUUAUUUUCUUCAAGAAUAUUUUCAAAUUCUAAUUUUAAAUUUUUGUUUUCUUCAAAAAUAUUUUCAAAAUUUUUAUAUUAAGUUCAUCAUUUUCGAAAGACUUACCUAGUCCAAUGGGGUGAUUUACGAUAUUUGUGAAGCGUUUUUGAACAUCUGAUAUUGUUUCUCCUUGCUUCAUCGUGAACAUUUCAUAUUCUUGGAUUAUAGUAUUCUUUUUCUCUCUCUUCACGUCAUAUGUGCCUUCGUGGGUCACUCUCACCACUUCCCACAUUUCUUGAGUAGUCUUAAAAAUAGAUAUCCUGUAAAACUCAUCAACGGUUAAGGCAAAUGAAAUAAUAUUACGAGCUUUUACAUCAUUUUGAAACCUUUUCUUUUCUUCAGCAGUCCACUGAACACGGGGCUUUGGUUCCUGCAAAUUGUUAGUAGGAACGGACAAACCAAAUGCAAUAACAUCCCAAAUCUCACAAUCAAUAGACUCAAUAAAAAUUUGCAUUAUAACCUUCCAGAAUGCAUAGUUUUCACCUGUGAAUAAAGGUGGUCUAUUUAUAGAAGCACCCUUUGCAAAAGUUUGAUAUGAUCAUGCCAUUUGAAUAACUAUCAAAUCAAGCUUUGAUACCAAUUGUCAGAACUGCUGUAUCGGAAUUGUUAGAGUGGAAUAACAAACCAAGAGGGUUUUUAAUUCAAACAUGUGCCUUUUAAUUUCUACUCAAUUUAUCUUACUACGCAAAUAAUAAAUAUAAAUAAAAGAGUAAGUUUGAGAGAAAUUUGCAAGAUGAAUUUUAUAUUGGUUCGGAUCUUACCAAUCCUACGUCCAAUCGCUUAUCUCAAACCGAGAUAAACAGUUCACUAAGCACAAAACAAUUACAAAUUAUAAUCACAAAGAAACAAUUUGUAAGAGUUUAGAAACCACCUCUCUUGAUACCACAAGAGAUGAACCUGCACCUCCUUUGAAUCUUCACAAAGGAUGNNNNNNNNNNNNNNNNNNNNNNNNNNNNNNNNNNNNNNNNNNNNNNNNNNNNNNNNNNNNNNNNNNNNNNNNNNNNNNNNNNNNNNNNNNNNNNNNNNNNNNNNNNNNNNNNNNNNNNNNNNNNNNNNNNNNNNNNNNNNNNNNNNNNNNNNNNNNNNNNNNNNNNNNNNNNNNNNNNNNNNNNNNNNNNNNNNNNNNNNNNNNNNNNNNNNNNNNNNNNNNNNNNNNNNNNNNNNNNNNNNNNNNNNNNNNNNNNNNNNNNNNNNNNNNNNNNNNNNNNNNNNNNNNNNNNNNNNNNNNNNNNNNNNNNNNNNNNNNNNNNNNNNNNNNNNNNNNNNNNNNNNNNNNNNNNNNNNNNNNNNNNNNNNNNNNNNNNNNNNNNNNNNNNNNAACAACAAAUAUAAAAUAUGAAGGUACAAGAAUCAAAACCUACUACAAAUCUAAGUCCUAAACAUUUAAACUACAAUUAUUACAAAAGCUUUUAAUAACAAAAAUAAGUCUUUAAAGGAUCUUCAUGAAUCUUGAUAUAUCUUGACUUGAUUUAGGCAUCAUCAAAACUUCAUCUUCACCAUUUUGCUAACAUCCUUCGUGAUAAUGUUGAGAAUUUGAAGUGACUUUGUGUUUAAAGAUGAUGUUGCUAAGGAUAACGUUGAUGGCAUAGUAAGUAUAUAGUUAAUGAGAAUGUUAAUGAUUAUCAUGAUGAUUCUGUUAGUAGGAUAACGUUGUAGAUAAAGAAUUAUUGUUAAGUUGAUUUGCUUCUUAUGUACAUAUUUUAUUGUUAUUGGUUGUGUUAUGGUAGUUUAUCCAUAUUUGUUUGUGUUAUGGUUAUGUGUGUGUCUUGCGAUGAUCAUAUGACUUUUGGUUAUACGGGAGAAGAUGAUAUUACAAAUGCUCCAAAAGCCUAAUAGAGAUGCGAAAGCGGGGAGCAACUUUGGGGUUAUUUUAUAUCUUUGAGUUAAGCAUUUUAAAAUAAUGUAAAUGGACUGAAUUUAUUUUCUUGGUUAUUUUAUCAAUUUCAAAACUUUGUAAUUGGAUUAUAGUUUUGGUGAAGUUAGAACUUUAGUUUAAUUCCGCAAUGUUUAAAUAUUGAAAUUUUAAUUUGGAACCAUUUUUCAUGUUAAGAGGAUUUUGAAACAUCUUAAAUUGGGGCGUUACAUUUUGUAGUAUCAGAGCGUGGUUUUCGAAAAACCUUUGGGCUUUUGGAGAGUGAGUCCGUCUAGCUUUGUUGUGUAAUUAUGAUAUUUUGUGUAAAUGGUGAUCUUAUAUGUUUGUGUUAUAUAUAACUAAGGAUGUUGAGCCCGACACUAACACCAAUUCCUAUCGAUGCUACCGUUGAGCUCACACAGGCUUUUCAACAGAUAGCAGAGGUUUUACAUGGACAACAUGCGCAACUAGCACAACUAACACAAUAGGGGCAGUAGGUUGAGCAAACACCCAAGCAUCGGGUGGGCAUGAAUGACUACUUGCAUCACAAUCCUUCAAAAUUUAAUGGGAAGGCUACGUUGGACGAGGUCGACGACUGGAUUUGUAGUAACAAGAAGAUUUUUUAGGCGGUUAAUUGUUCUGAGGGGCAAAAACUGGUAUUUGCUACCUACAUGCUAGCUGGAGAGGUUGAGUACUUGUGGCGAGGUAUGCGGUUAGAGAUGGAUGCUCGUAAGGAGGCCAUCAGUUAGGAGCAAUUCAGAGCAGAUUUCAAGAGAUUUACUUUCCGAUGAGUGCUAAGUUGCAACAUAAAGGAGAGGUCAUGACCUUGGUACAAGGGAACAUGUUUGUGCAGACCUAUAAGGAACAGUUUGAGUAUCUAGCUAGAUUCUAUAGUCAGAACGUGAGUGAAGAAUGAAAGUGUAGAAAGUUUAAGAGAGGCUUGCGUCAUAACAUAUUGAAGGCAUUUAUUCAUUUAAAAAUCAAAGAAUUUCCAACGCUAGUGGAAGAGGCCCUGGUGGCUUAGCGAAUGGAGGAGAGCCAUCAUCGUGUGGCGAGACCUCAAAAGGGUAGUUUCUCAGGAGAUAGAAAUCAGAAGAAGUCGUAUGCUAGGCCACAAUAGGGAGGUUUUGGAGGCUUGAAAUGCUUCGAGUGUGCAGGUCCUCGCAUAAGGAGGAAUUGUCUGAGACUGACAGUUUCAAAGCCCGAGGAGAGGAAAUGUUACUUUUGCCAUAAGCCUGGACACUUUGCAUCUUCAUGUCCAGAGAAGAAGAUACCAAAAGCGUCGCCACAGACACAAAACUUUUCUGGAGGGAAGCCGAAGGCAGUAGGACGAGUCUUUGCCAUGACGGGGGCCGAGGCGUCUCAGUCAAGUAACUUAAUACAGGACACUUAUUUCUUGAAUGGUAGAUGUGUUCAUGUUCUUUUUGACUCGGAUGCAACACAUUCGUUUAUAUCCUUAUCUUUUUGUUGAAUAAAUCAAUUUUCUAGGGCGAAAAUUAUUUUAGGUGGGGUGAAUGUAAGACCCAAGAAAAUAUAAGGCUUAUGUUUAAUAAUGUAAUAAGACUUGAGUAAUUUUAAUGAAAGUUGCACAUUAUCAUAAAGUGUUGUGUAGCUCAAUGGGCGAGAGCUCUUUGAGGUGUUGAAUGAUUAUGUGUUCUAGUCUUGAGUAGAACAUAAAGUUUAUGUUAUUUAAUGGUUUUGUUAAUGUAAAUGCAAGAUAUUUUAUUGUUUGUUUGUUACAAUUAUGAUGUUUGAAAUUCUCAAUGUGAUGUGUUAGCUUGUUGGUAGAUUUGUUGUUUAGGAUUGAAUGGUUGUGAGUUCAAAUACUAGGGAGAGAGGUUUAUGAGAAACCUUUUUAUUGAAAUUUUAUUUUAUUUUCCUAAGGAACAAUUACUUUUAAGUUUUAUUUUUAAAAAUAAAACAUUAGAGAGACUCUAGAGGAGAAAAAUAUUGUUUUGGAAGAGAGCAGAAGGAGAGUCUGUAGAAAAAAGUGUGAAAGCCUAUUAUUGAUUGAUCUUUAUUGUUAAAGUUCUAUAAUUAGCUAAGGUAUAGGAAACUUAUUUUUUCUUUAUUGUAUGAUGAAUGUGAACAUUUUCUUGAGUAUCUUUUAUGAUUAUGAAAAGGCUUAAUACUCCUGAUGGUCCCUAUUUUUGUCAAGUGCUUGGUCUCCGUUUUUUUUUCCUGUUCAAUGUUGUCCUAAAGAAUGUAAAUUUUGUUCAAUUUGGUCCUUUUUGCAAACGCCGUUUAAAUCGUUAACGACAGACAGUCCAGGUGUGCACAACAGUGUUGAGAUGACAUUUAACUAUUGUUACGUCACUAUCUUCUUCAACCUUCAGCCUACCGAACCCUACCACCACCGAACCCUAACGCCGCCACAAAGAUCAUCCAAAGUAACCAUGUCGUCGUGAAGUCGUACCUGCAGAGAACCAUGGCAGCCAUCACACGCAACCUCCAUGGCUACCACCAUCAAAGUCGUAAUCUCCCCCAAAUCACGAAACCCUGAUCUCGAACUCCAUUCAAAUCUCCAUUCUCGUGCAUCAGCCAUGAAUCAUCCAAAUCGAGAGCUUAAUUGUCAACGCGACAAUCCUUGCCAUUGUCGUGCAAAGCUCCAAGGCUAUAAUCUUCUCCAACCUACAGAGAACCACAACAAAAUCCAGAAAAAUUCCAAAUCAAAGAAACCUAGAAUCGCGUCCCUGCUUGCCUCCACCGGCGACCAUGAGUGCUUUCUUACACAACUAGGUUCGUCUUCUUCAUGCUACCAUGAGCCACACAAUUUGCGAAAUCAUCCUCCAUUGAAGCAAAGUGAGCAGCGUUUUCCUUCUUCUCGUGGUGCAGACGCAGGUUUCCCCCAAUGCAGAACCCUAAUUUUGGGGUGGGGGCUGAAGACUCUACUUUUGGUGACAUGGCAGUAAUUAAAUGUCACAUCAACAUUAUUGCGCAUAGCUGGCCUGUUUGCUGUUAACGAUUUAGACGGCGUUUUCAAAACAGACCAAAUUGAACGAAAUUUACAUUCUUUAGGACAACAUUGAACAAAAAAAAAUAAAUAGAGACCAAAACGAACGCAUUUGACGAAAAUAGAGACAAUUAGUGCUAUUAAGCCUUAUGAAAAAACUACCUUUACAUUUUAAAAGAUAGUUAAUUUAAUUGAAUGCUUAAUAUCAUGAUUCAAUAUUUGAACUUUGAACUUUUAGUUGAUCCUUUUAAUCAUAAAUAAAUUGUUAAUGCGUGUAUUAUUAUGUUAAUAUCUGUUUCAAAUUCAAGUAAUUUAGUAUUCAAACAAUUGAAUUAUAUAUCACGUAAUUAAAUGCUAUAAGAAUUCACGUAUUGAAUUUAUUUUAUAAAAAUUCACGUAUUGAAUUCAUUCUUUAAGAAUUCACGUGUUGAAUUCUAUAUCCGAAGAGAUUAAAGUUUUUUUUAUAAUAUAACGAAAAUAGGGUUUCAUUUAAUUGAAAUUAAAAUCAAAAUUUGGGUUUUGAAUAUUCUUUUAAUUAGGGGUUAAUGAGAAUUAGGGUUAGUUAUCAGCCACCAAGUUAAUUAUUGCCUUAAGUCCCCAUUUUUCUUUUCUUUUUCUUUCUGUUUCCACUUGGGUUUGAACCAAAUUUAGGGUUCAGUCCUUAUUUUCUUCGAGGGGUCACUUGAGUGAGUGUGUCUCAUUCUGUCCUUUUUCUUUCUCCCUCAUCUCAAUCAAACCAGAAGCUUGAAGCAAGCUUCUACCUUUCUCUCCACCACGAACGAACCAUCGUUGGGGCGAGGAUGAUUUGCGUCUUGAGAAGAGGCAACGACCUCACAACAGCGUUGACGGAGCGAACUCCUUUCUUGUCGACGAGAGCGCGGUGACGGUGCGGCAAAGGCGCAGUAAGGGUGCGAUGUUCUCUCCAUAGCAGUGUGCGCCGCAGUGGCGGCUCUCCAAGGCUUCGAAGGCGUUCUCGUAGCGGUGGGAAUCGAAAAAGCCUCCUGACCCAGAAUUGACGGGGGUUGAGUGUGGACAGUGUCGCGGUGGCGAGGGAAAGGCCGGUGACACGUUGCGAGGAGUACUAGCGCGACUGUGGAGUGAAUCGUGUUCCCGAUCUAGAAAUAUUUGGGUUACUGUUUCACGUUUGGGUUGUUUUUUUUUAUCUUCUUUGCAGGUCUGGGUUUCCCCAAUUGGGAUUAAAGUUUCGAUUGAGGAAGUUAGGGUUUUGAUUUGGGAAAAAUUCUUUUUGAAAUCGGAUUCUUUCGAAUGAUGUGUUCCAUGGUGGUUGUUGGAGUCGAAGUCAAGCGAGUGGCGUCGUGGUGGUUGUAGCUAGGGUUUGCGGUGGCAAGCUGUGUUGGGCUAUUGGGCUUGUAGAUUAGCACUGGAUUGUGGUUUGUACUGGCAGUUUGAGGUUGAGCUGGUAAUUUUGGGUUUGGCUAACUGUUCUAACAGAAACUUAAUUAAUAAAAUAAUCAGAAUUGAGUAGAAACUUAAUCAGACCCAGACCCAGUGUUGAGUAGCAACUUAAAUAUUGAACAAUUUAAUUUUGUUAGCUAUGUUUACAGGUAGGAGGAAAUGGAAUGCACUGUAGUAUUAAAAAUUAUCAUGAAUUAUUAAUUAAACUGAAUUAUUAAUUGAAUUAUAAAUUAUAUUAAUUUCAACUGAAUUAUUAAUUUUAAAUUUGAAUUAUUAAUUUUAAAUUAAAUUAUAUUAAUUUUAACACUAUAUUAAUUUUAAAAUCUGAUUUUAACAUUAUCUAAUAAUAAAAUAAUUUUAUAUUAUAAUUUGAAAUUGAACCAUAUUAAUUGCAAGUAUUGUAAAAUAAUUUCUUUUUUUUUAUAUAAAAAGUUUGAUAAGGUGGAUGUCACUGCUCAGUGAUUUAAAACUCUAUCAUAGUGAUUAAAUAAAAAAUUUCUUUUUUAAUUUGGAAUAAAAACUCUGUCACAGUCAUUUAGUCUAGCAUAUUAAUUUGCAGCAAACCACUGGUAAAAAGCAUUAUUACGCGUCCCUUUUUUUUAUUAUUUUUUUUACAUUAAAGACUCUCCCUUUAAUGACACUAUAAAGUUAGAGUUUAAACAUAAUUUAUUUUACACUGUUAAUCAAUUAGAAAAUACAACCGGGUACAUUUUAAUGUAUUUAUUAUAAAAAUUGAAAAGAUUUAUUACAACAUUAUGUUUUACUAGAAAAAAACUAUAUUUAAUUUUUUUUAAAACAAUCUGAUUUAUUAUUAACUAUGUAAUGAAAAAGUUGAAAGAAUUAUUUUAAAUUAUUUUUUGAAGCAUUCGUAUAUACAUAUUAUGCAUUGAUUUUUUUUCCAUAAUUAUUAUAUAACAAUUUCACAUGAUAAACAACGUACAAAUCAAAUCACCAUAGAAAGUUUACAGAAUUAUAAUAUAAUAUAGAUAAGUUAUUGUUGGUCAAUCUUUCUUACAGGUCAUGAUUGGACGAAUUCAUAAUUAUUGACUUUAAUUAAUAAAAUUAAAUAAUAAAGGAAGAGAUGAAAUUAUUAAGUUAUAAUAUUAAUUGUUAUAAUUAUAAGAAGAAAAUUAUUAUUAUUUAAUUGGUAAGUAAUUGUAAUCAAAUUAAUUUAUUGGAAAGAGAAAUUAAUUUGAUUUGAAAAGGAAGGUAAUUGAUAUUUUUAGAUUAAUUGUUAAUCAAAUUAAUUAAAAAUUAAUUAUUUUGGAAUUAGAAAUUAAUUUACUUCCAAAAAGAGAAGUAGUGAGAUUUUAAUGAUUAAUUUUAAAGUAAUAAUGGUUUAUUAUUUUGGAUUGAGUUGUGAUUCUUAAAAUAUUAUAAAAAUUUAUAUUGUCUUUACAUAAGACUAUAUAUUGAUGUGCAAGUGAUGAAAAAGGAGGUGUAAAUAGUAUUUAUUUUGACUAUGGUUUAUGGUUGACUUUCUGUAUUGAGUGUUGCAAAACCAAUAACUGGAGAUGCAUAGAAUGAGGUACGAAAUUUAAUGUUUUAAGAGUGCAGUUGAGGUCUUGUUAGUGAUAUACACUUGAAGAGAGGGAUGUGUCUAUCUUGUACUUAGUAAAUCUUGAGUUUUGAAUUAUCUAUCGUGCGUUAUGAGCCUGUAUGGAGAAACUACAAAUGGUAUGAUUAUGAGCCUGUAUGGGAAAAAUACAAGUAGAAUGAUUAUGAGCCUCUAUGGGGAAGCUAUAGGUGGUAUGAUUAUGAGCCUGUAUGGGGAAGCUACAGGUGGUAUAAUUAUGAGCCUGUAUGGGGAAGCUACAGGUGGUAUGAUUAUGAGCCUGUNNNNNNNNNNNNNNNNNNNNNNNNNNNNNNNAAGCUACAAGUGGUAUGAUUAUGAGCCUGUAUAAGGAAGCUACAGGUGGUAUGAUUAUGAGCCUAUAUGGGGAAGCUACAGGUGGUAGGGUUAUGAACCUGUUUGGGGAAGCUACAGGUGGUAAGGUUGGGUACAGGAGACAGACCAAUGUCCUUCGUGAUAAUGUUGGGAAUUUGUAGUGAUUUUGUGUUCAAAGAUGAUGUUGAUAAGGAUAACGUUGAUGGCAUAGUAAUUAUAUAGUUAAUGAGAAUGCUAAUGAUGAUUCUCUUAGUAGGAUAACAUUGUAGAUAAUGAAUUAUUAUUAAGUUGAGUUGCUUCUUAUGUACAUAUUUUAUUGUUAUUGGUGUGUUAUUGUAGCUUACCCAUAUUUGUUUAUGUUUGUGGUUAUGUGUGUGUCUUGCGAUGAUCGUAAGACUUUUGGUUAUAUGGGAGCAGAGUAUAUUGCAGAUGCUCCAGAGGCUUGAUAGAGACGUGAGAGCGGGGAGCAACUUUGGGGUUAUUUUAUAUCUUUGAGUUAAGCAUUUUUUUAGAAAUAAUGUAAAUGGACAAAAUUUAUUUUCUUGGUUAUUUUAUCAUUUUCAUAAGUUUGUUAUUGGAUUAUAGUUUUAGUGAAGUUAGAACUUUAUUUUAAUUCCACAAUGUUUAAAUAUUGAAAUUUUUAAUUUGGCACCAUUUUUCGCGUUAAGAGGAUUUUGAAACAUCUUAUUCUAAAUAUGAUUUGUGAUACCCUAAAUUGGAGCAUUAUAGUUGAUACUGACAUAUUGAAAAUGUAGUUUGAUAUGCCUACAUGUCAAACUACAUUCAAAUGACAUGCACACGUGUUGUUAUAAAUUAAUUUUUCCUAAACAAUUAGUUAUGUUGUUGGAGGGCAGUUUGGGAAAUGAUUUUUGAAAAGGGUUAAACGAGUAUUUGUUAUGUAAUGUAAACAGAUGAAGAUUAAAGAUCUAGUUAUUUGAAUGCAACCUAGGAUACAUGUAAUUUAGGGAGAUGGGAAACUAAAGUUAGAGCUUCGGUUUCGUUGAUGGUUUGAAAGGAAGGGGAAGUGAAGGGGAGUUAAAAUUAGAGGUAAAGACACUUUCCUUGAUUCGGCUUGGUUUGUGCUUCGUGCAUAGUGAAGAGAGAGAAAAGAAAAGUAAAAAAAUAAUAAAUUAUGAUAUCAUGGUACACUUUUAUAUUCAUUCGACACAGAUUACCAUUUUUUUAAGAAAAAAAAAAGUAAAAAAUAUAAAAGGAUAGUAUCAAAUGAACGCAAAGAAUUUAGGUAUCUCAAUCAAUAUUUUUAUAAAUAAUAAUGUAAAAAAAAUAGUUGAAUUUGUAAUUUUGGAGGUUUAUGAGGAAGGAAGGUAGCACUCCUAGCUCAAUACUUAUAUGAUAAUAAUAUAAUUUAUUCUACUUAGAGUAAAUAAUAAUAAACAAGAAUUAAUCACAUCUUAGUGCAAUCUGUUUGCUUAAAGGACACUGUAUUUUUUUUCAGAUCAUAGCCAACCAAAAGGUUUUGCUGUGCCAAGUUUCCAAAGACAGCACCGUCUUGAGUUGGCUGAAAAGCCAAGCACCAAACCUUAUCAGCCACUUCAACAAAGGUGUUCAUAGGAUGCAGCAACACAUUAGCCCCUCUAAAGUGUGCUGUGAUCACUGGAAUAUCUAGUUUAUCCAAUGUACCUUUGUAGCAGAGUCCUAACACCUGAUUUGGAUCCUGAACAGGCUUCAGUUUAACUGCAUGUGACACUGCUGAUUCCAACCAUUUGUAAACAUCAUCUGGCAAAAGAGUCAGUGUUGUACCUGAGUCAAUUACGAUAUUUCCCUCUCCUCCAAAUAUUAACAAAGAGCUUCCAAAUAAUCUUCUAUGGCUUCCCAAACUUAACCCUUCUAGGGUUAGGUAGUAAAAUACUUGUUGAGGUUUAGAAAACAAUGGGGUUGAGACAGUUCCAGGUCCUUGAACCACAGCAGCAUCUCCAAAAUUGAGUCUGCUAGAUACAUUGGAAUUCAGAGUUGCUGGGACCAAACAAUAAGAAAACUUCCAACCUGCUGAAGAACCCAAUUGAUUUAUAAGGGACACAGGUCCACGUCCUAGGCCAACAAUGCCAGAAUUUAUCCCUUUGAAGUUGAUGCUAUUGUUAUGACCACACCCUAUUGCAGUUCUUGGAAGUGGGAUGGGAGAUCCAUUGGUGGAGCCUAAAGUGAGGGUCUCCACACUCAAAUCUCCAUGUGAGAAUGAACCAUCACCAUAGCUGAUAUCAUAUUUACAGUUUUUGGUGAUGCUAGAAGAGGAGCAAAAGGUACCUAGCACAGAAUGGCAUAUGGUAGAAUUGCAAGGGAUGGUUUUGUAUGUUGUGGAUUUUGAAGGAUUAAACAAAGGUGUGUCUUGUUUGAAACAAUUUCUACAUGGUUCGCAUUGCAUCCAAAUGAUGUCACUGCCUGUAUCAAGAGCUCCAAACACCUUACGCGCUGGAGUUCCAACUGCAUAACUCAUCAAAUAUUCACCAAGAUCUGGUAUCACAGUUGCACUUACUGUGUUUGGAAACACCAUGGAUUUGCUGAAAUGGUUGCCACGGUUUAUGGAACGACGAAGAGCAUUGGAAACCCUUUGGAAUUUUGUUUCUGAGGAACUAUAGAACGGUGAUUUUGGUGAAUCACGAUGGAUUAUCUCCACACUGAAUCCACCAUUUAGAGCUUCUAAGAAAGAGAGAUUGUAGAGACACAGAAGAACAAGAAGAGAAGAAAAGCAUGACAUUUUCUUCAUCUCUAUGAAGGCAGUAACUGCAAGUAGUUCCUUGUGGCUUUUUAUAUGGUUUUGGAGUUCAUAUGUGAGAAAACAGUGUGCAGUUUUUAGGGUUUGAAAUUUUGUCUUUUGUCAUCAAAAUAUUUCAGAUCGAUUACGUAUUAGGUCAAAUAUUAAAGUUAAUAUCUCUUAUAUAAGUUAACUAAAAUGAAAAUGUUGGGAAAUUCUUCCCUUUUAAAAUGUCUAGAGUUAAGAUUAAAAGUUGUAAGAGCCAAUAAUCUUCUGUCGAAUUACAUAAUUAAUAAUUCAAUACAUAUAUUAAGUGUGAUUUGGCUAAUAUUUAAUUUAUACCUUUACUGAAAUUUUUUUAGUUUAUCUUCUUUAUAUAUAGAAUUAAUAUAUUUGAAAGGUAAUGGAGAAUUAAUUAACUUUAUUAAUAUUUAAUUGCAAUAAUAAAAUUAAAUUAAUAAAUAAUUAUGAACAUACUAAACUUAUAUGAAAGCUUAAUUAUUACAUCAUAAGAAAAUUCUUAUAAAAUCACUAUAUUGUAAGUGUUUUAAGGGUUUGCCACAUUAAAUAUGAAUAAUGGGUUUAUGAGUAUUUAGCAUUAAUUAUAUACAUUUUAAUAAAAUAUUAUCAAUUUUUUUUAUUGAAAAUAUAGAUUUGUUUUGUGAUUAAUUAAUUAUUAGAGUUCUCUAAUUAGGUUAAAAGUUUCUUGGUCAAUUGUACCCACCAAAAAUUUGAAUAUAAUUUUACUAUUUGUAAAUUUUAAUAUGGACAAAAUUAAACUAGAUUUAUUAAGAAUAUGACUUUUCAGAUUGAAUCGGUUGUAAGUUAUUAUAAAAAAAGUAAAAAAAGAAUUUAAUAUUUAUCUUUAGUAUGCAUGUUAAUAAAAUAUUUAAAAUUAUCAUUUCUAUAUAUUAUUUUACAUAUAUUAGUCAAUAUAUUUAUUUAUUUUAUCAUCAUAUACAUAUUAAUAUAACAUUUUUUAAUAAUUGUGAUAUAUUUUUAGUAAACCAAAUGUAUAUCCUGUAAAAACUCCAAAAAUAUUAUAAACGCUUCAAGUCUUUAAUUUUAGGGAUACUUAUUUUUUUUAAAAGUUAUCCUCUCCAAACUGAGUAGAGAAUUGUGCUUGCAAAAGAUAAUUUAAUGUUCAAAUCAAACAAGUAUGUGUGAAAGUACUUAAUUUUGUAAUAAAUGAAAGUAACUAAUUUAUCUUAUGUUACGUGUUAUUUAUAUUAUGCUUGAGUUUUUUUACCUAGAUGAGUAUGAUCCAUGCAAUUAAUCACCUAAGUAAGCUUUCCACGUGAUGAGUAUACCUAACCAAUCUAUAACUAGCCAUAAUGUACUAGUUGGUCGACAUUUAGUCAACCAUACCACUAUGGUUAGUGGUUAGACUAUAAGAAAUUACUACUUCUAAGCGUACUUGGUCAUGCCAUCUUUUCAAAUGGUUCAGAGCAUGAGAUUUUAGGAUGUCUAGACAAGUGUCGACAUAUUUAUGAACAAAACACUUUAUAAUUAUGAUUUUAGUAAUUUAAAUUUGAUUUUAGUUUUUAUAUUAAAAAUAUUAAACAAAAAUAAAAUUAAAAAUAACAAUAUUUUUUAAAAAUUGAGUGAGUAACCUUUUUAAUACAUUAAUUUAUGAUGGACUAAACCAAACUAUUUUUUGAAAGGUCAAUGAUAAUCUAUUUUGUGAGCUCUAUCAUUAAUAUGAUUAACUAUCUCACAUUUUUCAUAUAUAUUUUAAAUUAAUAUUCAUAGUCAAUCUAUAAUUAAGAAAUUUCCCCCUAAUUUACCUUAUUGAUCCAUGGUUAACACCUAUUCCAAAUGAUGGUUUUUUCGUCAUUUUGUCUUUUUUUUUGGCAAAAUGGACAAGUUUACCCUUAGCUUAAUCACACCACAGUAAUGGAAUUUUGAUAUUUUCGUCUUUCUCGUUUUUUCCCUUGUUUUUUAGUUGAGACUACAGUGGUUGAUUAACAUACUAAAAAUGUAGUUUAAUAUGUCUACGUGGUAAACUACAUUAAAAUGACAUGCAUACAUGUCAUAAAUUUAUUUUUUACUAAACAAUUGGUUAUUUUGUUGAAGGGUAGUUUGGAAAAAGAAUUUUGAGAAGGAUAAAAAGGGUAUUUUUCAUGCUAAAUGCAAAUAGAGGGAGAUUAAAAACCUAAUUGUUUAAAUGGUCUAGGACAUAUGCAAUUUGUGGAGAAAAGAAACUAGAGUUAGAGUUUGGGUUUCGUUGGUGGUGUGAGAGGAAGGGAAAGUGAAAGGGAGUUACCAUUACUGGUAGGAGGUGAAGAUGUUUCACUGAUUGGGCUUCGUUUGUGCUCUGUGCAGAGGCGAUAUAGUGGUGUCCUAUGUCAUGAGUGGUUCUUCGUUUGGGCAAAUGUGAAAGUCAUGUCUUGGGGGGUUUUUUGGUGCUUUGGUGAGUAGGUGAAGUUUUAUCCUUUGUUGGAAUUGUUUGAUGAUUUAUGCAAAAGUUGAAGUUGUAUAGGUUUUUAUUACUCACUUUAGUUUCUUUGUAUUUUAUUUGACAUUUGGAGUUAUUUUUUGUUUGAGGCUAUUAUCUGCGAAUGCGAUAUUCAAUAAUUACAUUCACACGUAGUAUGUGAGAAAGAAAGUACUUAAUGUUGUAAUAAAUGAACGUAGUUAAUUUUUAUCUCAUGUUACGUGUUAUUUCUACUUAUGCUUAUGGGUUUUUUUACCUAGAUGAGUUUGAGUCUUGCAACUAAUUACCUUAUUAGUCUUUGGUUAAUCCAUAUGCUUAAUUAUCACCUUAAGUAAGUUUUCCACAUGAUGAAUAUACUUGGCCAAUCUGUAGCCAGUCAUGUCGCCAUAAUAUACCAGUUGGCUGACAUAUACUCGACCAUACCACUAUGGUUUGUGAUUAGACCAUAAGGAUUGACUACUCAUAAUCAUAUUUGACCAUGUCGUCUUUUCACGUGGUUCAAACCAUGAGAUUUGAGGAUGUUUAGGCAAGUGUAGACAUGUCCAUAAACAUAUAAAGCACAUUAUAAUUUUUAUUUUAGUAAUUUAAAUUUGAUUUUAGUUUUUACAUUAAAAAUAUUAAAAAAUAAUUAAAAAUAAUAAUAUUUUUGUAAAAUUAAGUGAGUAACCUUGUUUAAUUCAUAAGUUUAUGAUAGACUAAGCCAGACUUGUUUUUUUGAAAGAUCAAUGAUAAUCUAUUUUGUGAGUUUUAUCAUUAAAAUGAUUAACUAUCUCACAUUUUUCUUAUAUAUUUUAAAUUAAUAUUCAUACUUACUUUGAGUUAUACCUUUCUCAUUUAAAUAUAUAUAGAGAGAGAUAAAAGAAGAUAAAUUAUUAUAAUGGUAAAUAAUAAGUAAUUUGUUGUAAAAAUAUGGUUGAGAUAUUAAAAUGUAAUAUUAAUAUUGAAUCUAUGUAGAUUGAGUUUGGACAAAACUCUAUAAGUUGUAGAGAGAAAAUGAGUAAUAGAAUAGUCAAUCUAUGACUACUAAAAUUCCUCCACUAGGUAAUUUACCUUAGUGACCCGAUCUCCUUGGUUAACACCUAUCCUAAAUGAUGGUUUUUUCAUCAUUUGUCUUCUUUGAGAAAAUGGACAAGUUUACCCUUAGCUUAAUCACACCAUAACGAUGGCAUUUUGGUAUUAUUGUCCUUUGUGCAUCUUUCCUCAUUUUUUAGUUGAGACUACAGUGAUUAAUUGACAUACAAAAAAUGUAGUUUGAUAUACCUAUGUGUCAAACUACAUUCAAAUGACACAAACAUGUAUCAUUAUAAAUUAAUUUUUACUAAACAAUUGGUUUUCUUGUUAGAAGGCAUUUUGGAAAAAAAUAAUUUUGAGAAGGGUAAUAAGGACGUUUUUCAUGUUAAACGUAAAUAAAGAGGGAGAUUAAAAACCUAAAUGCUUGAAUGGAAUCUAGGGUAUAUGCAAUUUGGGGAUAAGCGAAACUAGAUUUGGAGCUUGGGUUUCGUUAGAGGUGUGAGAGGAAGGGAAAGUGAAGGGGAGUUACGAUUAUAGUAAGAGGUGAAGAUGUUUCCCUAAUUGGGCUUGGUUUGUGCUUUGUGCAGAGGCAAUAAUGGUGUCUUAUGUUGUGAGUGGCUUGUCAUUUGGGCAGACGUGGAACUCGUGUGUUGGGUCUAGUUUUUUUGUUGCUUUGGUGAGUAAGUGAAGUCAUGUCCAUCUUUAAAAAUGUUUGGUGGUUUAGGCAGAAGUUGAAGUGUACAUGUUUUUAUUACUCGAUUUGGUUUCUUUCUACUGUAUUUAACCUUUGGGGUUAUCUUUUGUUUGAGACUAUUGUGCGCGAAUGUCAUUCAUUAAUGUUGGUUGUGGUAGUGGUUACGCCUUUCGUAUAAGAGUAUUAGUGAGCAUCCAUGGGUACACCCAUGGUUAUGCCUUUUAAAAGGUAUAUUUUCUUAUCUUUAUCAAUAUUGUGUGUGUAACAUGUAAGCAUUCCUUUAGCUUUGAUAUUAACAUUUGGCAUUCCUUCGUAAUAAACAAAUGUUAGUUUUAGGUUUUAGUGUAUAACUUAUGAAGUGCAUAAAGGUACAUUAUAUUAACUCACUGAAGGUAAUAGAUAGGUUAUUAAAAGACACUAUAGCAUGGUAACUAUUAGUGGCAUUAGUAAUAAUAUUUGAGUCUGGUGGAAUUAUAAUUUUUAUUUUAUGGCGAUAUAGUAAAAGUAGAGACUUCCUUGCAAUGGAAAUUAUGGAGAAAGAGGUUUUAAUAGAAAUUAUGAUGUUUUUUUCAUUAAAUUUUAUUUGUUGAAGUUAUGUGUUUGACAUGUUGAAUUGUAUACUCUUAUAUGUAGGUCUAUCUAGGAUAUUUCUAUAGGACAAAAUACUUUGUCACGUAUGAAUAGACUAUUAACGUAUAGGCAAAAGUCAUGUAUAUAGUUAACUUCUUUUGCAUGGUUAUUGUCCAUUGUUGUGAAGGUCAAACUGAGUAGGAGAUUACUCCGAGAAUUAUGUAGUAAGUGGUUAGAGAAGAGGGGAGGAAUUCAAGUUAGAUAUGCUUUUAUUCCAUUUACAAAGUUAGAUGUUUGCUUAGGUUUGGAGGUUAGGGUUGAUGGGGAAAGGUUUGAGUUGUUUAAAGAAGAUGUUGAUAGUCAUACUAGGAGAUUGUUUAAUAGAACUGAUGUUUGCUUAGGGAAUGUUUAUGAAGAACUUGAAAAGUGUUUGAAAGGCACUAAAGUGGUUGGUGUUCGUAGAUUAUAAGUAUUAUUAGGGUUGAGUGAGCUUUUCUUCCCAAAUAGAUAUGGAAAAGUUCAUGUUGGGUUAUUCUAACUAUUAGAUGAUUUAACAUGUAUUGGAAAGUAUAAUUAGGGAAGUGUUAUAUAUGAAUAUUCAAUUUCUAGUUUGUGCGAUACUACAUUAUGCGUAAGGAAGAAACAAAGUAGAUCACAUUGUCAUGUUAUAGAUUGUCUUGCAUUGUAAGUAAAUUUGUAUGUUUCUUAUGAAAUUGAAUAUGAUAUAAUUUUGUUAGUGUUAGUUAUUUUACAUUUAUUAUUGUAUGUAAAAUAGAUUUGGGUAAUGAAGCAUGUUUUAUUUGGUCAUAAGAAUUUGGGAAAAAGAAAAACUUGUUUUCCUAGAAUUCUUGACCUAGUUGAUGUUAAAAUUGGUGAAACGGAACUUGUAAAAGCUUUUCUCGAUAAUAAAGUGAGAUAACAAUUACUUCAUUUUAAUUACUUUUUAUGAAUUGUUUGUUGAUUUCAACAUGAUGUUUGUGCCUAUUUUGAUUUGGAAAGGUGACUACUGAGGUGUUUGUAUCAAAUGAAGAUAUGUGUAAUGACAUUGUUAAAUAAGCCUUCGAUGGACAGGAUAAUGGUAAUGUGAAGAAAAAUAACCAAAAGGAAUGCUUGUUUGAUUUUAUUAUAGAUAAAGAAGCAUCGGUUUAUAUGGUUGUUGAACAAUAAGCUUCCAUUAUAAAGCUUGAGAAAUUGGUAGAGAUACUGGAAAUGUUUGUUGCACAAAAGAGGCAACAUAAGGGAGAAGAUACUUAUACUCUAUUUAACAAGUGAAAUUCAGUCAACUCACCGGAUGAAAGACUAGGUGAUGAUGUUGGAAGUAAUUAUGAUGUUGGAACUAUUGAUGUUUUAGUACAAAAAAACACAAAGAAACAAAAAUUUGACUUAUACAUGCAUCUAAAGGCUAUACUUAGGAAGCAUGUCAAAAGUGUUGUUAUGAGAACCCCUCAGACAACAUAAUCAUACGCAUAUUGAGGUAAUGAAUUUUGUUUGUCUUGUAAGAUAUUAUUUAAUUUGUAUAUAAUCUUACCAAGGACAUUUGUCAUUUUCAAUAACCUUAAGUGUUAGAAAGGAUAUAUACCUCAAAUGUAACUAAUAAACAUCUUGCUUAAAUACUUCAAGUGACGCAAUCUUCGAUGAAUAGAGAUGAAAUUCAUGGUCCAUUUAUCUUUAUUAGGCACCUUAUUCAAUUCAUUUGGUUUCAUUUCGCACGUUGUCUUGGAAGCAUCAUCAUUCAUCUAGCAAAAUUCUCAUUAUAAAGAUUUCAUUGUUUUUGGUUAUUUAAUUUCAAUGAAAUUGAUUUGUAAACCGCUUAAGUAUAAAUGGGUAUCUGUCCAGAAUGUCUACCUUAUGUAACCAUGUAACUCAUAACAAUAACCACCUAUAUUGAACAAUAUUAAAGUGACUAAUGUAAUUUUAUGUUAUUUGAGUAAUACUUAAGGUCCAAUUAGAGGAGAAUAUAUAUCAUAAACUAAAUUUCAAAAAUUUUACGUUUACUUGAAGAGGAUAUAAUUUAUUUAUUUUUGUUAAUUAUUUUUUUUAAUUAUCAAGGACCACGUAUUUGUGUUACUUAGGGUUUGGGUUGGCAAAAAAUGGUCAAGCCUAGUGGGUGAGCUCGUCAGCUAAUGGCAUACCCCUAGCCAUGGCCCAAGCACAUUCAAGAAGAGCAAGAGUUAUCUAUGCAAGGUGAAGCAAAGCUUUUUCUAUUAGGUCGUCAUGGAGCACCUUUAGUAGAUUAGGAGUAUUUAGACCUUGUAUUAAGGAUCAAGUAGUGUAGAACUUCUUUUUAGGUCUUGUAUUAAUUAAGGGUCAUGUAGUGUAGAGUUUCUGAACAAUCUUGCUUAAGUUGUAGGACAAUAUUUGCACCUAACUUAAGCUAAUCUUGGGUGAUUAGUUUUAUAACCCUAGCUCAGUAGAGGCUGUCCCACAUGAGACAUGGUGGCCACAUGCCAAGUUCUUAGUGAAAAGUUUUCUGACAAAAGUAGUGGUCAUGUGUAAUUUUCCUAGUGAAGAACUUUUGCUAAAGUAGUUUUCUACAUGGCAAGCUCUUAGUGGAGAGUUUUCUAACAAAGGUAGUAGUCAGUGUCAUUUUCCUAUCAGGGAACUUUUGUUGAAGUAGCUUUUCACAUGGAAAGUUCUUAGGAGAGAGUUGUCUUACAAAGGUAGUGGCCAUGUGUCAUUUUCCUAAUGGAAAACUUUUGUUAAAGUUUAUCUAAAAGUUAGAGCGACACAUGUCAAGCUUUCCUUCACUAAGAUAGGAUUUUUAAGGUUUAAUGCAAGAUCGCAUUUUAGGGUUCUAGUUUACUUUGGAGACAACAUCUAUAAAUAGACGUAUUUCUCCCUUUAUAAACUCACUUUGAGAUUAAUAAUAAAAUGCUACUAAAAUAUUAAGUCAUCUUAUUAGUCUUUAAAAUCAACAUUAGAACAUCAUGUAAUGUUCUAGAAACUAUUUUUGAAUCCAAAAAAUACAUUUUAAAACAUCCAAUUCGAAAAUAGUUUUCAAAAUACUUGUUUAAAAAAAUAUAUAUAUUCCAAAAUAAAUGUUGUAGGUUUGAGAAGAUAUUUCUGAAUGAGAAAAUACCUUUCGAAACAUAUAUUCUUGAAUACAGACAAAUUUUAAAAUAAAUGUUCCAUAAAAUCCAAAAAUACAUUCUGAAAUACUUAUUAUGGAAUUUUUUUCAAAUACAAACAACUUCUCCAACCAUGGUUCUCCUCCAAAUUUCCUUUCUCCCUUUUGUUUGUUUUAUUCCUUCUUCUUUUCAGCAUCAACGUCCGCAUGGAGGAGGGGGCUCGAAUAGCAGAGAAAAGCAAUGGAGGGAGGAAAAAGCUUAGGUUUUUUAAUAUAUUUUUAAUGAAGGGUAAAAUUGAAAUAUUAUAAUUUAUGGGUUGCAUAACGAAAAAAGAUAGGUGCAGAAAGAAGUAACCCUUCAAUACCUUUUCCAAAGCAUUUUUUUAAUGGAGAUUAAUUUUGAUAGAAAAUAAAUGGCCUAUGACGCAUGGUUUUAGAAAACGUUAAAAGUUGGAAACCAAGGUUAUACAGAAAUCACGAUACUCACUCUUAUUUGGAUGAGAUAAUGAGAAAAAUAAAAACAUAUUUAUUUAGUUGUUUAAAUUUUUUAAAAUAAAAUAAAUUAUUUAAAAUUAAAAAUUAAAAAUGUUAAGAAAAUAUUUUAAAUAAUAAAAACAAUAUAACUUAAAAUUCAUUAAAAAAAAGAAAGGUAUUGAAAUUUCACACUUUGUUAUUUCUUCUCAAUACACAUUUUACAUAUUAAAAAAUUAAAUCAUUAAAGAUUUAAGUUUAACUAAUUUUUUAAAUUUUAAUUUUGAAAUGCAUAUUUUUAUAAUGAAAGUUUAUCUUAAAAGUGAAAUUCAAUUACUUUAUCCAAAAAAAAAAUAUAAUAUAUUUUAAUGACUCUAUCCAAACAAAAUAUUUAAAAGUAAAAAGAAUUUAAUUAUAAAUAAUUCAAAUAUAAUGUAUUUGAAAUCUUUCAUCCGGAGUUAAUCAUUUAUUAAAGUUUGGACAAAAUUUAAGCUUGUAAAGAUGUAGUUUAACCCUCAACAAUUCUGUAAGAAACAUACACAAUCCUCAUAAACAACCACAAGCUGAUAUUAAGACUAUCUCAAUAAGAGGUGGAGCAAAUGUAACGAGAAAAAUAGCAUGAACUUUAAGCUUGGUCCAAACCAGUCUGGCCAAGACUUGACUUUUUGGCAUGAGGGGCAUUACUUCCAGGUACAUAAAUAUGACUUAGUCUUUGUCAUGAGUGACCUUACUACUGCAUAAUCUGUCACAGCCAUUAUUAACAUAAGUCAGCACUCACUCACCAAGCUGAGUAAGUUCAUAUGCUGAGAUACAUACUCUCACGGUUUUGACAGAUGAAACAUAAAUAUUAUUCAUAGCGUGGAAGUUCGAAACGGGUCUCCAAGAUUCUGUGAUUAUAGGCUUCCUUGGUUUCCUUGAUUAUGAUCCAUACAACUGACAAUAACAGAGAACUUUUUGCAUAACCAGUAAAUGCAUAUAUAAUCAAAUAAGGAAAGCAUAGCAAUAACUAAGGAAAUAAUAAAGGAAGGAAUUACCCUCCGAUUUAUUGGGAAUCCAUUUCUUCAUUGAGAGGCUUCAAGCACCUGAUCUCCGGCAUCAACUACCUCAUUGUCACAAGCAUUCUCUGAUGUGUCUAUGCAAUGACUGUUUUUAAAUGGCUCCUCUGGCAGAUGCUCAAGUCCUUGUGUAGAAAAUUGUUGAUUACCUGUUAAGUCCUCAUUUGGCAAGCAUUCCACUGGAAAGUUAUCCAGGUUAGCUUUUUUACUUUCAAAUUGUAUCUUCGCAGAAAUAGGUGACUCCAGUUUAUCAGAAUGAUUCUCAGUUAACUCCAAAGGCCUGUGAAAGAGCAAAUGCGCCACAGUUCGAUCAAUGGGAUUUGUCUUCGUUUCAACAUCAGUAGUCCUGCCAUAUCUGUGAAACGAUUCAUACAGGGAAAAGAUUUUAAGAGUCUCAAAAGGUAAAUCAUGAUAUUCAAUAACUAAAAGCCGAUUGAUUACUGGCGACAGUAAGGUCAUCUUUAAUACGGUUAACCAGGAAGGACAGACACCAUAAUUAAAGUCAUAAAUAUGUAAUUAAUUUCAAGACGUCGGUACAUCUCUAAUCUGUUCAAUCAAAAGCAGCGAUUUAUUUAGUCUAGUUCUUGCUUCGACGCAAAUCCUACCCAAGUUUCUCACUCUCUAAUUGAGCUUUGAACCAAAUCAACCCAGCAUUUCUUGCACGAGAGCAUCGGGACAAAAUGCUCCUUGCUUGGUCCAGUCGUCUUUCUCAAGUGUGAUUCUUUCUAGGGUUAUUGGUUUAUCUCAUUCCCAUCAAAUAUAGGAGAAAAUGUGUGCCUGUUUCCAGCAUCAAACCCAUGCCAAGGUCUUCAUUGUCAUCCAAGAAAUGCAUAUUCGGAAGUAUAAGCGCACGACAAACUGAUUUGGCCUCUAUCUACCUCACUCAGACUCAGUCCAGCUACAGGCAAUGCACGUACUACGCCUCCAAUACCUUUCGUGAGAUAAAUUGUGGGUAUGGUGGACGAUUUGGUCAAGGUUGAGAGUGUGGUGAUCGUUAUUCUACCCAAUAUCAUCUGUUCAAAGUUUAGUCGACAAUGGUUCUAUGUUAUCAUCGUUUUGACCAGCGAAUUCAACCAUUAUACACCCUGGUCAAGAUGCUUACCCAGCAUGACCUUAAGCACCUCUUAUGCGCGUUGGCCAAGGUCACUAUGGCCCCCAACUGCAGAUUUCACACUAAUAGCCAGCCAUAUCCAUCUUAAUAUUCUUAUUUUUGUUAUUCCCAUUUUUUUCUCACAUUGUCUCUCUAAAGCUCAUCAUACUACCAUAGACAGCAGUUGGACUUAUAGUUAUACGAUAAAACUUCUCUUUGAGCGUGAUACCUUUAUCAAUUUUAACCACUCAAUUUGUAUCAUUUGGGUAACAUCUCCACUAAUUUUUCCAUCAUUUUGUAAUAUUAAUCCCAAAUACUAAACCUUAGAUACCUAUGGUUUACAUCGUCUCCAAUCCCCCAAAUAGUUUUACUUGUUUCUCACUAAAAUUACAAUGCAUAUACUCUUAUCUAGAUUCCUAUAUCAAAAUUUUAUCAUCCAGAAAAAAAACACAUACAUUUAGGAUGAACACUAUGUAUCAUCUGUAUGAUAUAUUUGAAUAAUUUUUCUAGAUGUUACAAAUACAAUACACGUUAUUAUGAUUUAUGUAUCAAAACAUUUGCUCAUUGAUUCACAAUUCAAAUCUCAAUUUCAUAAUCUUGCUUAUAACAAUAAGUGUUUGAUGUUUGAAUGUAAAUAAACUAGUCAUCAUGAAAUUAAAGUAGCUAUGCAUCUAAGUAUUUUCCAAACCUGUUUUGGCUACUGCUUUCUUCUUCUCUGGCAACAGCUAAAAUUACUUCUCUGCUACUGUUGUUUGUACUGCUUGUAUCACUUGCACAAUUCCUUAGCAUUGCACUUUGUGCCAACCGGAACAAGCUAUCUCUAAUGCAGAGUCUUAUUUUGACAUCUAACUGUAAAAAAUGUUGGCCUCAGGAUUGUAGAUAUAUCUGUCUUUGUAUACAAGGAAAAAAUUAUACAACACAGCUUAAACCACUAUAAAACUCAAUUUCACCUUUGAUAUCACAUCCUGAAGCAUGUACAGAAUUGUGUCUUCAACAAAAUGAUCAGCAAUUGCCGAAGAUAUUGUACUACAAUCAUCUUGCUCAGUUGGUAGAUCUAGAGUUGGAAGAGUUCUUAAAUCUUCAAUCUCAGGAUCAGCUCCAUCAAAAUGUUGAUUAUUCAUUUCUAUGGCACAUCUUUUAUUAAUUGAUUUAUUAGUGUUAAGAACUUGAUGGCCAAAUUCUUUCUGUUGUUUCUGAAUAGCGAGCAUUGCCUGCAUUUGCUGCCGCCUCCUUAAUUUUUCAAUUUUUUCCUGGGGAGUCAUAGUGAGAGGCUUCACUAAGCCCACAGACUUGUUCACAGGAUUCAUUACACCAAGAGUUGCUCCAUACCCAGAAAGGGCAGGCUGUUGCAUAAGAACUCCUCCUGACUGAGCCGGUGGUUGCACUGAAAUAGAAGAAUAUGUAUUUGUAAGGCUCCCAUAUGCAGGGGGUGAUAUAUAUGUAUUUGUGAUGUCCAGGUAUAUUGUCUCGGGUCCUUGAAGCUGGUUUUGUUGCCCAAGUAUAGAAGCGGGGGAAGACUGCAUGACUGAAGACCCCAGCUGAUUCUGAAACUUUCCAGAUGUGGUCGAUGAGGGAGACCAGCUACCAUAAAACUCCUGGAAUGCUUUUCCAUCUUUUUUACCUUGUGAUUUUUUCCGAGCUUUCAACUGAUUAUUCUUUUGCCCAAAUUCCUGAAUGACAAGAAUGAAAAGAUCAAUCGGUUGGUUGACUUUUAAGAAGGAAAAAGACGACUUCCAAGGGCAGCACAUAGUUAUGCUAAGAAUGGGUAACAAACCUUUCAAAAUUUUGAUAUACAUUCACAUAGAUAGAAAGACAAAACAGCAGCGUAGUUCCAUAAAAAGAGCACACAGAAUAAAUAAUUCAAACCAGGAAACACAUCCUCCAUAUGAAAAUAAUUUGUUCCAAAAAAACGUCAAUGAAUUUAUGCCAAAUUUGCAAGUAAUUUAGAAAUAAAGGAAAAUUAGCAUCAUACACAUAAAUCUCUGACCUCAUAGAUUAGAUAAUAAAUCCUUAUGCUGCACAUACACAUCUAAAAUGUUUUGGCUGAGAACUUGAAACUAAAAAUUGGAGGUUGUACAGUUCAAGUUAUCACUAAAACAAAUACAUUUAUAAAAUUCCUUGUUUGGAUAAUUAAAUUUAGCAAAAGGAUGUUGCACUGCCUGAGAAGCUGUAUAGUUGAUGAAGGAUAGGUUACUAAUGGCUAAUCUGUCUAGAUAAGCUAGAGGCAAUAUUUCUUUUGUGCGUAAUUUGGGAUUUGAGGAUUAUUAAAAAAAUUUAGAAUUUGGGUUAAAAGUUUGGGUCUUGCUUGAGAUAAGUAAUUAUAGCUUUCUCUUAAAUUAGGAUUAGAAAAAGGAUUACUUUAGGCUUAAGUUUGGGUUACCUCACUUCCUGAAAUUUAAAUAUUUAGGGUCUCUGUCUAUCCCAUAAAAGACGUGCUAUUUAUCUUAUGGACAUCAACUUAAUAUUGAUAUCAAAAUAUAUUUUUCAUUAUUAAGAAUUUUUGGUUCUUUGUUUCCGUUUUACAUCACUAAUCAUUCUCUAAUAUGACUUGACAUACCUGUUGCUCCCUUUCAGCAGGAGUAAUUCUAUCUCUAGAAUAUCCUACAUUGAAUGUCUUUCCGGGAGCAUUUUGAAUGUCGUGAGAUGAAGCAUCGUCAAUCCUCUUAAAUGAAGGGGAAAAUGAUUGACCAUUCGGUUGAACAUAUUCUGUUUUAAUUUCCAAAGGCUCGGAGUUGUUCCUUAAAGCACUUGCUUGGUGCGGUGCUUCCAAGUGUAUGGGUACUGAACAGUUACUCGUGUCUUUGGAAGACCACAACUCAGAAGAAUUCUCAAGACUUACGUGGCCAAAUAUAGGGUCAUCAUUGCUGCAAAAUCAUCACUUGCGAUAAUAUUCAGUCAGACGUAUACUAUUGCAAACAACAAAAGCUCAAAAAACUGUAAAGAGACGCAUAAACAGAUGUGAUGAAGUUCAAUAAUAUGUAGUGCUAAAAUGGAAUCUUAGCAUUUACGUUAAUGUUAUUCAUAAUGAGUACAAUAUAAUUAUUCCCAGGAAUUGUAGAAUACCUAUGGAAAACGUUAAAAGUUGACAGCAUAAGGUCUAAGUUGUAAGUUUAAUAAGUGAAGAACAGGAGAUUUUCAUAAAUUUGACAUCAUAAUAUCAUUACUUUGUGAAUUUUAGAAAUGUUAACAACACAAGCUCUCUAAUAAAUUCUAACACUCUUUAUCCUUGGAUAAAUUUCAUCUAGGAAUUACUAAUAUGUGGGUUCCAAUGCCCAUUUCGUGCACCUUACUCCCAAUGUACUAUUGCUAGAAUUCCUCCUUUCAUUUUGGAUAUUACCUAUUAACAAUUAUAGCUGUUACAAUUAUACAUACACAUGGCUUCAUCUAAAUUUGACAGAAACAAGUUUAAGGGCACUUAUAUUCGGACUGAUCCAUGAGAAAGUCGUUGUGUAACUUAAUUUGCAAAACAAGUCUUCAAAAAGAGAGUAAGAGAGAGUAAUGUGAAAUUUUAUCCAGUAUAAUUACUGAUCAAAUUCAGAAAAAAUCUAACAAAAAUCAUAUUAACAAUUUCCUCAAAAUAUAUGUACUACAUAAGAAUAGUAAAGAUAAUAUACUUUACCUGAAAAUUCGAUCUAGAUCAUCAAAGCUUCCUAUGUUAUCCCAGGCUAUGUUGGCAAAUUCACCUUGCUUUUCUACGUCCUUUUCUAACUGCGUCGUCUCUUCUGUCACACCUAUGAAUACAUAUUAUUAGAAAUGAUAAACUGUAACAACAUAUAUAACAACAUACUUUACUGUUUUUCAUAUAAUGAUGGUGGAACAUGAAGAGAUACAACUGCACACAAACAAAUACACUGAUGGACAUGCUAUCUAGUCUACUCGUAAUUCCAAUAAUAAGUAAUUUUACCACCUCUUUGCUGAAAUAAAUUUGCUAAUUUCACCUAAAUUUUUCGAUACUUCAGCACCCCAGGAACCCUGAUCAGUUUUAGCUGCACUGGAUAAAGACAAGUCAGGCCAUGAGUUUGUGCCAGAUUCUGAGGCAGAUUGACCCUCAACAAUAUCAAAUUUGGAACUGCUUCCCAACUUUUCUUGAUAAAAGUCAGUUUUAGUCUCGUUCCUCUUCUGCUCAAUCAGUUUACUGGGAGAAGCUUCCUGAUUCCAUUUUUUCUCAGAACGAAGAUCUUCGCUUGCCUCUUCAUACGGCACAAUAUGAUCAUCACUCUCGCCAGCCUCACCCCAUACUAUGUUAGCAAGCUGAAAGCAAUCCAUUUAAAAAAAAAAAAAAAAAUACAAUAAAUAUCAAUGAGGCAAAACUCAACAAGAAAAACAAAAUACUUCAGAUGCUAGCAGCUAAAAAAUUCAUGGAAAAAAGAAAGUAAAUACUUUGGAAUCACUAUAAGAGCGUUUUCAGUAAUUUCACAUUUUGCGGAUGUUAUUGCCAUGGCAGUUUUAUGGAAGCCAUGAUUGACAUCGACCCUCUUUUUAUCCUUUAAAUUUCUUUUCAAAGAAUUUUCAAUAGGUUUUCAAAACCCUCAUCCAAUCUUCUGUGUUUUCCUCUCCCACUAUCUCUGUUGGGACAAUUACCACUCAUAUUCUCACGUUCACCACCCAACAGUGAUUCUAACUCCGGCAAACCCUCUUCUUUAAUUUUUUUUAUCUAUUGUUUUUUUCUCAAAUCUUCUUCAUUUUCCCUUCUAUUGUCUUCACAAUCUCUUCUUUAUCUCUUCUAUAUAUUUCUUGUUAUUACCUCUAUUUUUUUAUUUCAGUUUUUGCUGCCAUAUUUUUCCGGUUUUCCUUUCACCCCUACUCUAUCUUUUAUUCUCCUUUUUUCUGUUUUUUAUUUUCUCUAUUUUUAUUUAAUUGCUUACACACUUCAACCCAUUAUAAGUAACAACUUAAUCCUAUAACACUUUUCAAGAAAAACAAUUUUUACUAUUCUGUUACACCUUGAUUAAAACAAACGUCUGCUUUAGACCUGCGUUGUCCUCCAUUCAUUUCAUUUAAUUACCAUAAUUUUCUAUCUUCAAUACUUCUUCCAUCGUAGCACCCAGAAAUUUUCUUCCUUCUCUCGAGGCAACAAUUACAAUGUAAAUAAUUAGAAUUAUGCCAUCAUGCAUCAAACAUUUAUUUUCCCAUAAUAAAAUAUAAUUUCUGCCUUAUCAAAGCAAAAUUUACAGAGAAUAUGCAGACACAAAUUGGACUAUGGUACUCGUGAUCUUUAAAAGUAAUGCUUCAUAAACACAACUUGGAGAGUAAAAUGAAAACAGAAAUCACACCAGGAACUAUAACUCAAAAAUAUAAUUUCUAGCUAUUUUUUUACCCCAAUACAUGUUUGUCGUCAAUUCCUUUUAUUUCCCUGUGCAGUACGAUAAACAAAUGAAGCAAAUAUUUAAAUGCAGUCAUCUGGAAUUUAAUGUCUAGACAAUAUGGGAAAACUCAAGCAACCCUGAAUGCAAGAUUGCAAUCAUCAGUGCAACCAAAGAGAUUCUAACAACGGGUACGCGAGAGAAUUAUCAUAUCUAACUUUUUCAGUUUCCCCUCUCAUAAUUUAUGAAUAGGAACCAACAAUAUAUCAUAGGAAGACACCAUAUCAUCUUCACAUCUCCCUUGAAACAGUAUUAUUAUUGAAUCCACUCCUUCCCAAGCCUCCUUAUUGUGUCAAACCACAAAAAACCAUGAAUCCAAGUGCAGCCACCAGCUAUACCAAAUAUAGGUUAAUUUUUCUUACCUUUCUAGGAGAAAAGUACUACAAAUUACAAAUCAUGACAACCUUCUACGUCCAUUACUCCUCCUAAAGCUCAAACUUCAUUUUAAGGUGUCUGGCAGUGCUGUCAUUUUAAUUAUUGUUUAGUUGGGGAAAAUGAGUCGGAAGGGAGAGAUUUCGAUAAUGAUUUGUUCCUUGGUUCAAUUUUAGGAGGGAAAGAGAAGAGAAUGGAGGGAGCAGAAUUCCUACUAUCUAAUCUUUGAUUCCUUCCAAUACCAGGGGUACAAAGAGGGAAGGGGGAAAUUUAAAGCAUUUCUGUGCUGACUAAACUAUCCCCACUUAUGUUUUGAAAUUUAAAAUUUCAAAAAAGAAAAUUAUUCUUUAGCAUCCCUCCCUUUGUGAACCAAACAAGAACAAAGUUAUUUCCAGUCCACUCCUCUUCUUUUAACCAAACAAAAGUGUCUAAUCAAAAUCCCUUCCCUCCCUUCUUCUCUUCCCUCGUCUCCAUUAACAUCCUUCCCCUCCUUUGACCCAAACAGUACAUUAAGGUCCAGAACAAUUAUGAUAAGAUCUCUCAGAAUUCAACCAGAAUGCAGCCACAAGUUCCCUCUGCAGUGCACUCAAUUUUUUUCCAAAACACUGCUUACUGGAUCGAAUCCACAGUCCACUCCUCACCCUUCACCAAAUUUCAGACCAUCAACCAAUUUCUACCACAUGGCAUAAACUAUCACAAUCCACUUCUCCUAAAUUCCGUAUUGAAAUACUUUGAUAUCAAGCCUCAAACCAAAGCAAAGACAAACGAAGCACUAACACGUUUCUCAACAGCUGACAUAGCCUUUCAAAACCUAGUAACCAAAUCCAUACUUAAGAAGCCUACACUUCUAAAAUGGGAUCAAACAAAUCAAGAAGGCAACAAAGUCUUUCCUCCUUCCUUCUUGCUCACAUUUGAACGUCGAACACAAAAGCACAACCAAUUACACCAACCGUUGGUCAAAGUUCCCAACAAUAUUCAAUUUCCAAGAAAUAUUGUACUUUACUGCAAGCAUUUCACCCCAAAAGAGUAAAGAAAAGGCAACAAAAAAAAUACAACAUCCUCUCACCUUAAUCCCAAUUUCUUAUAAUCAUUCCAGACUCAAAUCUCAAACCACCAAAAUACACCUCAAUUUGUUUUAAACAAAAUAAAAAAUAAAAAAUGUUAUACACAACGAUAACCUAAGUAAAAAAAUUAUUAAAAACAAACAUCUAACAAACUAGGAUCUAAUAAUAGUAAUGAUAACAAAAAGUUGAGGAAAAGAAUUUGAAAACAUGACUAACCUCUUCGUCGUUCCAAUCAAACAUUUCUUACAUGCGAGACACAGAAAUUGUACAAGCGAAACACGUAAUCGAACGCCACAGAAUGAAUUACUCUACUCAUCGCCGAGAAAAAACAAACUCAGAAGACUUUCACACAGAGAGAAGCAGCAGAACAACAAGAAGGACGCGACCAUGAAACGAAACGACGACGUUGCGGACGAUUCGGUCGUGCUUCACAUGACGCGCGGCGCAAAGAUAGGUUGAAAGAGAGAAAUUAGAGAGAACAGUUUCAAGAGUCCAGAGAAAGUGUCUGUUUUGUGUGACACGGCGACGGAGCGAGUGAUAGAGAGAGCGCGUGAGGUGAGGAGGGAGUCGACACGUGUGAGCGUGCGUAUCUAAAGUAGUGGCUCUGAGCGAGUCUAUCAAAUGCCGAAUCCUCAUUGGUUGUUUACUUUUGUGUUUCCGUUCGGAUGAGGGACCCAGUUGGGCCAGUGGGCCCCAGUGAAAGGCCUAUGUAGUGGCUUAGAUAGCAUCACACGUUGCCUUCGUCGGGCCCACAGGUUCGUGUUUAUCAACUCACUCUUGGUCAAAACAAAAUAACGAAACUCAAUAUGGGAAUUAGGUUUUUUACUUUGCACCUUUGAAAAAAGAAGAUUUUUUUUGUUCCUCCUAAAAUAAUAGUUAAUUAUUUAAUAAAAAGCAAAAAAUAAACGACUCCACUGGGGAUCGAACCCAGAAUCUCUGGUUCCGUAGACCAGCGCCUUAUCCAUUGGGCCAUGGAGUCCUUGCUUGGUUCUAAGAUCUAAAUUAAUUAAUAUAUUAUAAUGUGUAAUCUAAAGUUUAUUAACUACACAAAUAAAACGUGGUCAGAUAUAGUUGCAGGGAUUUAAUUAAUUUUCUUUUACCAAUGGAAGGAAUUAAUUAAUUUUAAUAGAAAUUUAAUUAUAAUAAUACUUGCCCAAUCAAGAAAAUUUAAUAGAAAUUCAAUUAAAAUAAUUCAAAUGUAUUAAAGAUUUAAAUCUUAAUUAAACUUUAAAAAUAUAAUAAAGUGUGAAAUUUAAAAAUAUAGAAAUUAGAAGCCGUAAAAUAGAUUAAGUUAAUCAAUUUUGACCCAAUUGAAAGGGAAGAAUUAACCCACCUUAAUAAGAUGAUAAAAACCAGCCACUUUUUAAUUUUAUAAUUACUUUUAUGUUAAUACAAGUAAAAGAACAUGUUUGUCUUCAUUUUUUUUAUCAUAAUAAAAUUUUAAUUAUAAAAAUAAAUAUCAAUAAUUAUUAUAAUAAAAAAGAAUUUGUAUUUAUUUUAUGUGUUUUAUCAUAGAUAGUCAUUUUAGUUUUAAAAAAUAUUAACUUAUAAAAAACAGUAAUAUAAGAAAAGUGGUUAAAAUUUAGAAAGCGGUUAUUAAAGAUAAAAUUGAAAAUAAUUAUUUGAAUUAAAAAAAUUACUUAUUAAUAAUAAAAUUAAAAAAAAUGGAACAUUGCAUUAAAUGGUGAAUUAUUAUUAUUAUUAUUAUUAUUAUUAUUAUUAUUAUAUAAUUAAAAUAAAAAACUAUUUUUAUAAUAUUAUUUUUGAGUCUUAUGUAUCAAUAAUAAUUAAAGUGUUCGUCCUCUUUUAGUUGGCUUUGUCUUUGCCUGUUCAAAAAUAGGAGAGUGAGUUGAAAAUUGUAACUUAUUUUGUUAAAAGACAAACUUGUAGAUUGAUAUUGCAACUAUUUUUUUUAUAUAAACAUGAAGAAUAUAUAAACUCAAACUUAAUUAUCAUUAUGUUAAUUCUGUAUUUUUAAAAUUAUAUAUGUAUAUAUAUUGAAAGCAUAUUGUAAGUUUUUCUUAAGUUGUGAUGGAUUAAUUAAUGUCUUUAAUGAAUAAAUCAAAAUUAUUAUUUUAUAUGUUAAAUUAUUUUAUUAUAAUCAAUAAUUGAAAUUUAAUUUUAAGUAUUAAUAAUCUAAGUUAUAAUAUUAUUUUAUAUUUGCAUGUUUUGAAUAGUAUAAUAAAAAUAAUAUUUUAUAAAUUAUUGUUUAUCUUACUUUUAAUUGAAAAGAAAUUGAAUGAUCCACUGACAAACCAGAUGAGAUUAGUCAAAAGAAACCGAUCAUUUAAAAACUUGAACCCAACCACGAUAUCUACAAAUCAAUGCUUAAAACUUAAACAUAAAUUAAAUUUAAUUAUGUCUAUUUCAUAUGUUUUAUUAAAAAACACACUUACAUUUUUAUAACUGUUUUUAGUAUAUUUUUUACUAGAUAAAUUGUUUUCAUUAAAUUAAAAUAUAUUUGAUAAAAUAUAUAACUGUUUCAGGUAUGGGAUCUGAGACCAAAGACGCUUCAAGUUCUCCCUUCCUCCUCUGCCCUGUCGCAGUUCCCCAACACUUUUUUUGUUGUGUCGAAAGGUUACGACCUGUAAGUUAGUACCUGGCUAACAUGUCUCUAUUUAUAGGCCAUUAAUCAUCCUUCGAUAUUAUGUCUCCACUUCUUUAGUACUUGACCGACCGGUCGGGAACCUCGUCACACCACACAAGCACUGCCUUUCGCCAUGGACUCAACCGAUUGGCCCCAUCUUCAUUCUUCUUAAGUGAUUGUCAUUCAAUUCACAUUUGUCCGACUGGUCACCCCCACGCCCUUAUACUACAAUAACAAUAUCGGACAAACUUUUAACUAUACCUCUAAUAUCAUGUUAGAAGUAGAUUUUAAAUCUAAUUCAAUAUCACAAAACUGACUUAUAAGAUGAGGUAGAACUUUCAACCAUAUUAUAUUUUUAAAAUUACAAUUUUUAACAUAAAAGAAUGCGAACCUACGAACCAUGUUUCCUUAAGAUAAUAUAAGUUAGGAAGUGUUCCCUCGCUCUAUGUGCGUGCCUCGUGUUCAUAUGAAAAAUGCAAACUCUGUAAAGUAUUCAUAAAAAGGAACUUUCACUUUCUAACGUACACGACCUUCAUUUUCACACCAAUGGAGGAUUGUUGAUUGUUCGUUGAGACUAAAAUAAUUCAACUUUAUUUUUGAAAUUUGUUUGCUAGUUCAUGCCGACGUUCAAUUUCAAUCUUAAAAAUCGAAUGAAAAUGGAUCUCCAAUAUUAAUUUACUAAAAUUUGUAAAGCAAUAAUAUUAUUAAUAAAAUAGUAGUGAAUACUUUUCAAUUUCUGUUAUAUAUAUAUAUAUAUAUAUAUAUAUAUAUAUAUAUAUAUAUAUAUUAUAAAACAAAGACGUCUCUCACGCGGGUAUAUAAUAAAAAAAGUUUAUGUUAUAUUAUUAAUUUAUGAUAUAUUGACACUCCAAAAUUUAAAAAUAGUCAUCACAUAAAAUUUAUUUUAAAAAGGAUAGUGUUAAUUAUGUUUAUAGUCACUAAACUAGAAUACAAUUUUAAUUUUCAUUUCUAUCUCAAACUUUGAUCUUAAUAGGUUUCAUAUCCAAGAAAUGCAUAAAUAUAGUUUUUUUUUUCAUCCAAUAAAGUUAAUUGGGACAAAAUCAAAAUAUGUACACCUCAUGUGAGUAUUAUACAUUAAUGGGUUAUCUGAGAGCGGAUGAAAGAAUAUGUACAAAAGCUACAAAUAUUCCAGUAAGAGGUUUAAGAUGUAAACAUUCAAGUUUAACUCAACUCCACAUAACUGAUUUAUAAGAUGAGGUUUUCAUUCACUUAUAAACUCUAAAAUGACCUUAUAACUGGUUAGAGUAAAACGUCUAACAAAGUUUAAACCUAUUAACCAAUAAAUAUUAUGUUUAGUUACUUAUUAUGUUAAUUUUUAGCAAGCAAAGUGUUAAAAUACUUAUUAAGUAGACAUAAUUAAAAAUUUACAUUGAAGUUCAUGGUAGAAUUUUUACCCAUUUCAAUAAUAAUUAAAGUGGAGAUGGUAAUUACAUUAAUUUUCUUUAUAUUGGAUAUUCUAGGAGUGAAGUUGAUCUAAAUAUGUGCAUAACAAAAUAUCUGAACAAACCACUCCCAAACACAUCACUGUUCCUUGUCUUUUAAUGCAUUGCAAGUCAUGCCAGUUAUAGAAAAGAAUCGAAUUUUACCUUAUCUUUGCACAGUUCUAUGGCAGUUUCUAAAGUUUAAAAUCUGUUUCCUAAUGAGAAAGAGUGCUAUUAAUUACUUAAUAUUUAAUGCAUUUAAUUAAUAAAUAAUUAUCUCAUGAAAAGUAACGUUGAGAUUUAAUGACUGUGUUAAGGCGAUAACAACUAGGAAUCAAACGCAAUAUAAAUGUUAAUUCAUUUGGGACUCUAACAUCACACAUAGUUUGUCAAUUUCAGAGUACAGAAAUUAAGAGCUCAAUUUUGAAAGCUUCUAUGGCUACCCUUUUUGUUCCCAAUCACACAUCAACACUUGAAGACGUUGAGGCUCUACAGAAGGCUGUCAAAGGUAUCGUUCAUCAUACUCAACAAAAAUCUUAUGCUUACAUUAAAAUGAAACCAGAAAACAAAAAGUAGUUGUCUUCUUUGAAUUUAGAUGUGAAUAUAAAGAACGACAGAGAUAAAGUUGAAAGUCUAAAUGGAGUUAUGAGAAAAUCAUAUAUAAGAAAUAAAAUCUGUAAAUUUAUUGUUUUUAAGAUUUUGGAUUGAGGAGAAGUGGAUUUCUCAAUUGAGUUAGGUUAAUGUCUAAUUGAGAUUGUAUUGUGUAAAAUUUUACCAAUAUGAUAAAAAAAACAUUUGAAAUAGAAGAGAUAAAUAUAAUUAAAGGGAAUAAAUGUAAUGUAAUAAUAAGUUUUUUUUUUUACCUUUUUAAUAAAAUUUUGGAUUAAAUAUGUUUUUGGUCCCUUAACUUUCAACAAAAAUUGAAAUUAGUUCCUCUCCAAAACUUUGACUCAAUUUAGUCUCCAAACUUUAGAAAUGUAUGAAUUUAAUCCUUUUAACCACAUUUUGUUAACUUUCAGCUAACAUUGAAGCAAAAAUAUGUCAAAUAGGGUAAACAACCAAAUUGCCAAAUUUGGUUAAAAGGACUAAAUUCAUACAUUUUUAAAGUUUGGAGACUAAAUUAGGCCAAAAUUUUGAAGAGGGACUAAAUUCAAUUUUUACUAAAAGUUAAGGGACCAAAAAAAUAUUUAACCCUAAAAUUAAAAAAAAAUGAUUUUUUUUUUUUACUAUUUUAAAGUACAAGAAAUUUAAGUUCCAUCCAUUUCAACAAAUUGGUGUGGUACUUAAUACCAAUAAAUUGGAAUAAUGUUGCAACAUGAUUCUUCAAUUUCCCAUUGCUAUAAGGUCAAAAAAGACAGCACAAAUUGAAGAUUAUGGCAUUGCUCUUUAGCAAAUUAGACUCUGUAAAAGCACAGUACAUAGCUGUGUAGCUAUAGGUUAUUCAUUGUAUCAUAAGAAACUUCGUAUAGACAGUGACAGUCUCUUGUCAUUGUUCUAAAACAAACUUUUCUGGUAUAUUUUGUACAUUUUUAACAGAAAUAGGUAAAUUUUUCUCGGAGAUUAAUAAUUUGAAUUAAGAUAUUGUCACUGAAAAUAAAAUAAAAUUGGACAUUGUAAAAAGCAGAGUUCACAGCUAUAUAAUGUAAUAAUUAUACUAUAAAUAUAGGAGUUGGAAACCAAACUCUAUCUAACAUACCAAACACCUUUCUGAGAAAAUCACAAUCAACAAUGGCUACCCUCAUUGCUCCCAUCACUUUUUCACCUGGUGCAGAUGCAGAGGCUCUUCACAAAGCUUUCAAAGGUUCAUAUAUACAUGUGCAUAAUUUAUCUUCCCAUUUUCCUUAAAUUAAAAGAAAAAAAGUUUUCUGAUUUACCAGUUUGUUAUGGUUUUCUUGCUAUGGUGAAAAUCCAUCAAGAAUACUGAUUCUGUGAUGGAAAAACAUAUGUGCCUCAAUCCUUCCACCAUUUUUGACAAAAAUUCAAUAUAAAUAGAAGUGUAAGAAAUAGUUUGAUCAUCAAUAUGGUGUAACUGCUGGCAAAUACAGUAUUUAAUAUCUAUGGUUUUGAACUGUGCAGGAUGGGGGACUGAUGAGAAAACUGUUAUUGCAAUAUUGGGUCACAGAAAUGUUUAUCAGAGGCAACAAAUCAGAAAGCUUUAUGAAGAAAUGUACCAAGAAGACCUCAUCAAACGCCUAGAAUCUGAACUAACUGGUGACUUUGAGGUAACCAUUGUAAAAACAUGGUUUUUGUAAGAAGAAUUACGAUAAAAUGUAAUUAGAAUGGAUUUUUGUUUGAGUCAUGGCUUUGCAAUUACAGAAAAAAUUGGAUGAUUGAAAUCAUGGUUUUGUUUAAACAUAUUGAGAGAAAACUAGUUUUGACUGAAAACAGAGGGAUCUAAAACAGAAUUUAGUAAACAUCACAUGAUUUUGUGAAGUAUAGCCUCAAGAGUACUAAUGAUUUUGAAUCAUGGGGUCUGAACAAAACAAUAAAACAGAGAUCAGUGUACCGUUGGAUGCUGGAACCUGCAGAUCGUGAUGCUGUUUUGGCCAAUGUGGCAAUCAAGGAUGGCAGCAAGGGCUAUCAUGUGAUUGUGGAGAUUGCUUGUGUGCUUUCAUCUGAAGAACUUUUGGCAGCUAGACGUGCCUAUCACCACCGUUACAAACGAUCUUUGGAAGAAGAUGUAGCUACUAAUACCUCUGGUGAUCUUCGCCAGGUGAAUAAUCUUUUUAUAUUGUUGGAGAUAUGUUGACUAGAAAUAAGGUGAUUCUAUAAUAUAUAAAUAUACGUAAAUCUCAUCUUACAUUAUUUUGUAAAGUUUAAUUAGGUUUAAAGUUCAUUCCUUAGUAUUCAUCCGUUCUUAUCAUUAACUCUUUCAUUUCAACCUGGUAAUACUGAUUAAAGGAUUGUGUUGAACAUUCUUAUCUUUCUGAGUUACUGUGACUGAAAUUAAAGCUGCUGACUGUAUUUUAAAACUCUGAUAGCAAUCAAAUGACUCAUUAGAUCACAAUUGCAGUGACAGUGGAAACAGCAAAAGCUCUCUUUAGGAUCAUUUUUAAAAGUUUGGUGGUCAAAAGUACAUGCUUAAUAAAAUGUCAGGUGCAUGCUGAUGGUUUUGACUGUUGAGUUUGUGGUUGGUUGGCUUUAUGCAGCUGUUGGUUGGGUUGGUGACCUCAUAUAGGUAUGGUGGUGAUGAGAUCAAUGCAAGAUUGGCAAAAACUGAAUCUGAUAUUCUUCAUUCAUCUAUCAAAGAGAAAAAGGGAAACCAUGAAGAAGCUAUUAGGAUCCUUACCACAAGGAGCAAGACUCAACUUCUGGCAACUUUCAACCGCUACAGAGAUGAUCAUGGCGCUUCCAUAACUAAGGUACUAUACAAACAUUUUUCUCUCUUGAUUGCUGAAUAUUUGGAUAAAUAGUUAACAUGUGUGUAUAUAUAUAUAUGUACUUGUUACAGAAAUUGUUAGAUGAUGCAUCUGAUGAUUUCAGGAAGGCAUUGCACACUGCUAUUAGAUGUAUCAAUGACCACAAAAAGUACUAUGAAAAGGUCAGAUUCCCACUUUAUACCUGCAUUAAAUAUAUCGUUCAUCAUUUUAAAAGAACCGUGUUAUUUACUUGCUUGAAUCUUAGCAAUCCUAAACUUCAAUUGGGUAUACGCUGUAUUGUUAGAACUUUAACAUCAACCAAAUGAUAAAACUAAUUUAAAGUCGGUGUAAAUCUUAUACUUAAAAUUCAUUUCUUAACAUAUACUUUUAAAGUUUUUGUUAUGAUUCAUAUUUCAAAAUCUUCUGCAUUUGUGCUUCAUGUAAGGACUUCCAUGAAUAACCAACAUUCUACUAUUCAUUUAUGUUUAGAUUUGAAUAUAAAUAGCAAAAGUUAGAUGUCACAAGGGUUUGUUCUCCAAUCAAAACUGAAGUUUCAUCUUGGUUAUGGUUCUGAUAGAAAAGCAACAUUACUUUAUAGUAGUGUAUUCAAGUUUUGUUUACUAUAGUUCAUCUCAGUAAUAUGUAUAUAUUAUCAAACUCAACCUCCAAUUCUGACAGUAAAAUAACACCAACACUACCUAAGUAAUGUAUCUAUUUUACCAUGAUAUGUAGGUUCUGCGCAAUGCAAUGAAAAGGGUAGGAACUGAUGAGGAUGCACUGACCCGUGUGGUGGUUUCAAGAGCAGAGAAGGACCUGAGGAACAUUGCAGAGAUCUAUUACAAGAGAAACAGUGUUCAUCUUGAGGAUGCAGUGGCCAAGGAAAUCUCAGGGGACUACAAGAAAUUCAUCCUCACUUUGUUGGGGAAGGAUGUUUGAAGUGAUUGCACUAGACAACAACAUUGGAACAUUUCUUGUAUCUGUUUAUGUUGUUGGUUUCUUCUGCAUGAUUUGGUUAAUUUCUCAAUUCUGAGUGUGCUUUUACAGUUAUGUAUCUGUUGUAUUUGUUUGUGGGAGAAUGAAACAUUCUGUGUAAGAUCUCUGUUUGUGAUGUUUAAGCACUAUAAUAAAUUUGAGAAACUUAUGCUAAUCUCUUUUUCAACAUACUCAUGCAUUUUGCUUCUAUUUUUUUUUAAUAAAUAUUAAGAUUUAGUAAUGAAAUAGUAUGAACAUUACUUUUUCUUUUGUUUAGACACAUAAACUCCUUUAUUGCCAUUUCAUAUAUGUAAAUAUUAGAUUUUUAAAAAAAAACUUAAUUUAUGAUAUCUCUGACCAUAUAUAAAUGUGUUGAUUAGCAUUGAAACGGAAAAUUUUCUCCUCCAUCACGCGUUUUCAUGUGUAAUCCAUGCACAAGGGACAAAAACUAACAACUCAGGAUUUCAUCAGUUAACUUUUUGAACCAAAAGUUGAUCAUUCUUCUAAGGAAAAAGUUCUUUUAAGAACACUUUUACAAGACAGCUUGUGAUUGAUCCGUUUUAAACAUUUUUUAAAACAUAAAUUUAAAUAGACCAAUAAAAUGAUGACAUGUGUAUUAUUAUCAAAAAAAUUGUCAAAAAGUGUUGUCAAAAUAAUCCUUUAAAGCAUACAAUUAAUUAAUUUACUCAUAAAAAGUAACACCCAAUUUUCAAAAGCAUGAUAUUAAUUCCAAAGCUACUAUAUACCUAUAAAUCAUAACAUCACCAUCUUGACCCUUAACCAUAGUUAACAAAUCCAUCAACACAAUCUUCUUUUUUAGCUUUAAAUUAAUCACAGAGAACCAGAUCUGGUGAUCUACAAUGGCUACUCUUGAUUUUUCAUUCUUAAUAACUUCACGAAAGUGAAAGAAGAAAUAUAGUUAUUGUCACUCUAAAGGUAAGAAAAAAAAAUACUUAUUUAUAGAUAUAAAAAGAAUAUAAAUAAAUAAAAAUAUUUCGUGACUUCCAAAAACGUUUAAAAAUUAAUUAUAACAAUUUUCUUAUUUCAUAAAAAAGCACUCAUACAAAUUUUAUUCUGUGUUACAAUUAUAUUCCUUUACGAUAUAUUAAUUAUCACAAUAAUAUUUUAUUGAUAUUAUAUCUUUCAAAUAAUCCUCUAAGGACCAUGAUAUAAUUUGUAUAAUUUCAUCCUACACUAAAUAAUUAAGUUUCUCACAUGUUAUUAUUCAAUUGAAGUGUCUUCUUAAUUAAUCAACUAAGCUAAUUAAUUUGUCGACAAAGUGUCUUCUUGAAUAUGGAGGAGGCCCCAGUAAAAAAUAGUUUAUAAAAAAGUAAAAAGAAAAUCAAAACAGACAGCUCAAGAUUCCAUAUAUUUAUUUUUUCUCUUUUUAAAUAUAUUAACGUUUAUUAAGUUGAUUUUACAUUGUUUUUCUCUUAUAAUAAUGUCUGAUACACUGAUCUUCGAUUUAAACAACUCAUGUGACAAAAACAAUUGAUCCAAAAUUAAAAAAAUAUGAUUAAAUAAAUAAAUAAAAGUAAACAUGUGUUUAAAUUAACUACAAAGUUUCUUGAAAAUUCGAACAAGAUUAGUUGAACAAACCCAAACAUUCUUAAUUAGAAUACCUACCAUGUGACAAGUUUUACAAUCAAUGAGUGUAGCUGUUUUUCUUUUCAUUUCUUUAUGUAGAAUCUAUAAGAUUAAGUGUUCCUUUCAAUAAGAACGUAAUGUACAUUUAAAAAAAAAAUUACCUUUUUUUUAAUAGGCACGUCAUGCCAGAUUAGGUUCUGAGUUGUAAAUGUUAUCAUCAUCAAAGAAUUUUAAUGGAAAUUUUCUUAAAUUUAAGAGUUAAAUUUUAUGAAACUUGUUGAUAUGAGAUAUUUUGGAUUUUAAUUUUUGUUUUGCUUAAGAUUUCCAAUUUUAUUAAUAGAAAGUAUUUAAUUAUGUAAUUAAGUUAAAUUUUUAAAUUUUAGAAUACUGAACUGCAAAUAAAAUAUUAUAGAAAUGUAGUUCCAAUAAAAUCCUACCAUUAAAAUAAAACCUGAAAAAAAAGUUUUAAAAAUAAUGUAAUGUGGUAAAAUUCAUUUAUUGUAAUCAAGACAUGUGAAGAAAAUUUUACGUAAUUACUGAUAUUUUAAUAUUGUUAAUACUUCUCCAUUCACAUUAUACGCGGUCCAAUAGCUGAUAAGAAUAUAUACAAUUUGAGUAUAGUUCUAUAUUUUAAUAUUUAUUAAUAUUUUAGGAAUUUACUAGUUACUUUUUUAUACACUUUUAAUCUUUUAAGUACUUAAUGACGUGUUGAUAUGGUAUUGAAAUAAUAUUGUUUUGUUAUAAAUUUUAGUGACACUAAUUUUAAACUCAUGUCUACAGUGUUUGUGUAUUUAUUAAAAGAUAACUAAAGAUUGAAGAAAAAUAGUAAUAAAUAUUUUUAAGUUUGUAAUUAAAUUUUGAAUAAAAUUAAUCUAAAAAAUAAUUUAUAGGUUAUUAAAGUCAAUAUAUUUAUAAAAAUAUAAAUAAAUGGUUUGUAAAAAUGUAAAAGAUAAAACAUUUAUGAAAAUAGAGUAAAUAUUUUAAAAUAUAAAGGAUAUGUAUAAAUAUGGAGAGUUAACUCAUUAAAAAUAUAAAUUAGUGUCUAAAUAAAUUGAUAUAAUCAAUGUAUUGACAAAUUUAUUCAAUUUGUUCUUAGAUUUUUCUAAUUAGUGUAUGAACAUAUUCGUCUGAUGUUUAUGGUUAGAAUCGUCUAAUUAGUAUAUGAAUAAAUUUGUGUAUGUAUAUUAUAAGACUCACCUAAUUAUAAAUGAAUAGAGUGGUCUAAUGUGUAUUAAUAAAUUCAUCUACAGACUCGUCUAACAUUUAGAUUGGUAUAAUAAAUGUAUGGGCAAACUUGUCUAAUAUGUGUUACAAGUCUCAUUUGAUUAGUGUAUGACAUAAUAGUUCAAUGUGUAUUCUUAGACUUAUCUAAUCAAAGAAUGACUCAUCUAAUAUUUUUUUAUAUACUCAUCUCAUCAGUAUACAAACAUAUUUGUCUAAUGUGUAUUGUUAGACCUAUAUAAUUUUUUUGCUAUACUCAUUUAAUCAAUGUAUGAAUAGACUCGUUUAAUGUAUUUUAAGAUUCAUCUAAGUAGGCUCAUCUAAGUUAUGUGUUGAAGACUUGUCUAAUGUAUAUUAUUAGGUUUGUCUGGUAAAUAUAUGAAUGACUCGUCUAAUGUGUAUUACUAGACUCGUUUAAUCAAAACAUCAUCAAUCUCGUCUAACUUUUUUGCUUUGCUCACCUAAAUCAAUGUAUUUCCAAACUUGUUUAAUAAAUUUUGUUAUACUCGUCUAAUCAACGUAUGAGUGACUUGUCAAAUAUUUUUUGCUAUACUAAUUUAAUUAUUAUAUAGACAAUUUCGUGUAAUCUUUUUGCUAUAAUUUUCUAAUUAGUGUAUGAAAAGACUUGCUUAAAGUGUAUUGUUAUAUUUGUUAAUCAAUACAUCGAUAAACUCACGUAAUAUGUAUUGCUAGACUUGUUUAAUUUGUAUACAUGAUAAUAUGUAUUGUUAGACUCGUCUAAUAAGUAUAUAUUCAGACUUGUGUAAUGUAUAUUGCAAGACUCGUCUAAAAAUUGAGUGGACAAACUCAUAUAAUGUGUAUUAAUAAACUCGUCUAAUUUGUGUAUAGAAAAACUUAUCUAAUUUAUACGGUUAGACUUGUUUAAUUAAUGUAUAAACAUGCUUUCUAUUGUUUGUAACUAAAAUCAUUUAAUUAGUGUAUGUACAAAGUUGUCUAAUCAAUAUGUGUAGACUUAUUUAAUUGUAUUACAAGACUUGUUUAACCAGUGAAUGAACAAACUUAUCUAGUAUUAAUAUACUCAUACAAUUUGCAUAAGGAGUAAUAGACUUUAGCAAUGUAUAAUGACAAAAUUGUCUUAUUAGUGGACAAACUCGCUUAGUGUUUGUUGUAACUUGUUUAAUUAGUGUAUAAACAUACUGGUCUAAUAGGUGUUCAUAGACUCGUUUAAUCAAUGUGUGGAAUAAUUUAUUUAAUAUUUUUUUAUAUACUUGUUUAGUAAUUGAAUAGACAAAUUCAUCUAAUGUAUAUUAUUCAACUUGUUUAAUUAGUGUAUAAACAUACUGGUCUAAUAGGUGUUCAUAGACUCGUUUAAUCAAUGUGUGGAAUAAUUUAUUUAAUAUUUUUUUAUAUACUUGUUUAGUAAUUGAAUAGACAAAUUCAUCUAAUGUAUAUUAUUCAACUUGUUUAAUUAGUGUAUUGACAAAUUUGUUUAGUACAUUUUUAUACUUGUCUAAUCAAUGUAUGCUCAGAAUCAUCUAAUCAAUAUAUGAAAUACUUCAUCUAAUGUUUUUUUUAUUAUACUCAUCUAGUAAAUUUAUGAAUAAAGUUUUAUAUUGUGUAUUAUUAGACUCGUCUAAUGACUUUUGUUAUACUCCACUAAUCAAUAUAUGUACAAACUCAUCUAAUAUUUCAUAUAAUGUUCAUUUAUUAUAUUUGCUUAGUUUAUGUUGUUAGACUUGUUUAAUAUAUAUAUAUAUAUAUAUAUAUAUAUAUAAUAUUUGUAGACUCAAAUAAUCAUAAUAAAAAUACAUUAGUGAUAUAUUUUAAUAAAUGGUUAGUUUUUAUUAAUUUUUUGAUUUUAUUAAAGUUUUAAAUUCUAUACUUUUAAGUUAAAAAUAGUAAAAAGUAAUUCAAAAAAUAUAAAGCAAAAUUUAUAAUAUUAGAAAAUAUAUUUUUUUAUUACAAAUAUCUAACUUAUACAUUUGAAAUUGUAGACCCGAAAUUAAUCGAUAAGUUGUGAAGCCAUCAACACAAUGGAAAACAAGGAAAAGAGUUUUGAAGGAUGAAACUGGUUGUUCAGAUAACAAAAGAGAACUUUGAACUCAACUUUCUAUAUAAAUAUUAUUUUAUUAAUAACGUUCAGUCCUAUUAUCUGUUUUCACUUGUUCACUUUCUAAAACUGGCUUUUCUCCGUCUUUAUAGAAAUGAAUUAUUAAAUAUAAUAUUUAAUUUAUUCGUUACAAUAAAUAUAACCAGAAGCUAUAAUUAGUUUUAGGAGUUAGCAUGAAUAAUAAAGGAGAACAGUAGUGAAUAAGCAUGGAAGGAUGAGAGAGGUAAGAAAAUAUCAUUAAAUUUUUUUUUUAAAACUGUACAACAGUCAGAUUAGAUACAGUAAUUACAAAAUAGACCAAACGAUCUUAGAUGGAGUUCAUUGACCUAACGGUCUACAACAAAAGGAUUCCCUACACCAAACGGUUUCACAAACAAUAACCGGACGACUAGUUGACUAAAAGAAAAUAAAAGAAACUAAUCUAAGGGCCGGAUGGUUCUGCAUAACUUUCAGGUACGGCCUCCACAGGUUGCUCGGUCUGCAAAACAUCCUCCAGAGUAUCCUCCAAAGCAGCUUCCAAGGUAUCAUCCAAGGUACCCUCUGCUCACACCCAAAAGGAUGAUCAUUGCAAUGAAGGGAAUAACCGGAAGGUCGAAUACCGAACGACAACAUAGAUAAAGACAGAACAGAUAAGGGUAAGCUUAUGUAAAUUUAAUUAAACAUUUCAUCAUACAAGUAAACAUGCAAGUCAAAACCAAUCAACAAUUCAUACAUCAUUUCUAUACAUGCAAACUACGUUCAUCAACUUAUGACCGACCACUACGACACUGUCCGGACGGUAUGAACCACGUAGCCCGACGUCCCUAGCACCCGGUGUGGUGUAGUAGCUGCCUUUACUUAUCAGCUGCCACCCGAGGUUAGUCCUCAAACGAUCAUCUGUUCGAAUGACCACGGACCUCCCGCCAUUCCCACACAUGAGUAACCUUUCUCUACCUGAGAAAGCGUUAUCACGGAAUAUCAGGAUCAGGACGACAGCCUGGGUCUGACCAUGUUCAUACUUUACCAAUCAUCACCACUUCAUGAGAUAUUCCUCCCUUGGAAUUCUCUUACUUAGUCAAGUUCAAUCAAUGUUCAUUACCCCGUUCACAAAAGAAGGACAUCAAGAAGUGACCGGAUGGUCCAGUCAGAAGGAGAACCGGACAUCAAAGAAUGAAGUAUAAAUAGUUGGUCGGAUGAUCGGCUAGGAACAGAACUCAAUACCAAAGACUGCAAUAUAACCAAUAGUGACCAAAUGGUCCGACAAGGAAUAAGACCGGACACCAAAGGAUGGACUAUAGGUGAUAGUCAUCCGGACGGUUUUACAAAGAAUGUUAUAAAACAAGCACUAACGUGAUCAAAGGUUGGUCUAUGACCGAACACUUCUCAAACCGAACAGACUACGACAGGAGAAACUCUUUAAAGGAUUAAAAGAACUUUCGUCAAGUAACCGGAUGUUUUAAAUAAAUAAAGACUCACUAGACCGUUCAGUCAUUAAGUGACCGGACGGUUUCAAAGGAAAGAAUAUUAAAUUCAAUUGCUUUAUAGUUUAAGUGUCAGCCUAAGGCCGAACACUUGUAAGACCGAACGCUUGGUUUAUGACCGGCGUUCUUAAGUAACUAUCAAUAAACAGUUAAAGAAAACCAACUAAAUUCAGUAAACACACUAGGCCGAACAGACCGAACGGUAAAGGGAGGACCGAAUGGUCCUAAUGACCUUCGAUCUCAGAUUCAUAUUUUCUCUAAGUUUCAUAUAUUCAUACCAAGUACAGAAUUUAAAACUCAUACAAUUCAUACAGCAGCAUAUCAUAUUGUAUCCUACCAUUUAAAUCAUACAAUCAUACAAUAAUUUCAUACACUUCAAACCAUACAAAGAAAUUAUAAUUAAAUCUUAGGUUUAAUAGGUUCGGAGGUCCCUAUAUUUAGGGGUUUGUUUCAAUUGAGUCCUCCAAUUUUGAAAGUGAUCAAUUAGGUCUCUAAUUUUGUCAAUUUGAAUCAAUAAAAGUCUUUCUCUUAAAUGCAGUUAACGCCGUGAAGUUUUUGAACAUGUGGCACGCUGACGCUUUCAGGUGGCACCGUUUCAAGUGCAUAGGUGGAUUAUAAAAGGGUGAAAUCCCUUUGAAUUUAGGGAUUUCACCUUCAAAUACACCCUUUUAAUUUAGGGAUUUCACCCUUUUAUAAUCCACUUAUGCACUUGAAACGAUGCCACCUGGAAGCGUCAGCGUGCCACAUGUUCAAAAACUUCACGGCGUUAACUGCAUUUAACAGAAAGGCUUUUAUUGAUUCAAAUUGACAAAAUUAGGGACCUAAUUGAUCACUUCAAAAAUUGGAGGACCCAAUUGAAACAAACCUCCAAAUAUAGGGACCUCCGAACCUAUUAAACCUAAAUCUUAUAAGCUUCCCUUACCUCUAAUUUCCAACUAAGACUUCAAAGGUAUGCGAAUGGUAACUGUUUCUUCAAAGGUUUCCAAAGCUCUAGAGUUAAAUACCAAAAUGAGUUCAGAGAAAUGGUUUAAGGUUCACAUGCAAGCUUUUAAAGCUGCAUACAUACAUAAAGUAAGAAAACUUGGAAAAACAGGGAAGUCUUUGAGACUUACCAACUGUAACCCGAAACCGGACGGUUCAAGUGGAAGAGACGAGCACCAGGAGUCUUCAGGUGUGAUCUGAAUGGUGAUCGGAACAGUAAAUUGGUUAGAAUUUUAGAGAGAAGGUUGGGAGGCUUUAGAGAGAAGGAGGAGAAUUUGAGACUUUCAGAAAGUUGAGUUUGAGGAAGAAGAAGAUUGCAUGGGAAAAGUGGCGUCAGGUUUUGCAUCUCUCCUUAUAUACAACCUCCAAUUAGAACGUUCGGACCAUUCCUAGCUUGCCACCUGACUUCCACUUCCUGGAAGUUCACAAUUUUGCUGCUGUUGCACGGAUCACGAAGAAAGAGAAUUAAAAUUUGGCAAAGUUGGUCUCCCACCUACCAGGGAAGACCGGACGGUAUGACAAGUAUACCCCACUAAUGAAGGGUAUUAAAUGGGGUGUGACAUAUAUAUAUAUAUAUAUAUAUAUAUAUAUAUAUAUAUAUAUAUAUAUAUAUAUAUAUAUAUAUAUUUAUUUAUUUAUUUAUUUAUUUGACAAUUCUUAAAAAGUACAAAAAUUUAAAUUACGAUAAUAAAACGGAUUCAUGUUUGGGUAACAAAAUUUCUAAAAUAGUAGUAUUUAACCCAUAAAAUUAGCCUUUAAUUUUAAAAUAUAUGAAGUUUUCUUUACUGAGAAUUUAUUAAGUUUUUUAACGGCCAGGAAGCGGAAAAUUGAAGAAAAGAGCAACUUUAUAUUUUGAAUUACUUAAGAAUUUGUAAGAAUUAUAAGGUUUUUUUUUUUAUUGUGAGCAAAUGAAACAAUUUAAUGAAUUAAAGAUGAAACAAAAACUCGUGGCAUCCAACAGCAUUUUUUAAAACAUAAUUUGGUACAAUAUAUCCUCCUUUUGUUGAAAAAAUAAAUUAGAGAACUCUUCGGUUUCAUAUAUUUGGGUAUUUUUUUCCUCUUUUGGCACCUAACUUUCUAUGUACGGUCAGAAAAUAAGAAAAAGAUAUCAGCUUUUAUAAUUUUUUAUUUAAUUUUAAAUAUCAAGUAAUUUAUAAAAUGGGACUCCUACAAUAUUAUAUAUUUAUUUAUUUAUUUAUUUAUUUAUUUUAAAUAAAAGCAAUAUGCAAAAGCUUGUUUUGCAUUUGAGAAUGAAAAUUUGCGUAUGAAUCAAAGCAUAAUCUUGACCAGAUUCAUUGUACUGUUCAAUCAUUCCAUUCUUACCCAUGCCAUGCUUCUAAAUAUUAUUCAAUAAUUUCAAAUUUUGAUCUUUCAGUAAUCCCUUUUGUUAAGUGUUGCAAUUAAGGACAAUUAAGGAUUAAGAAAAGGUGGUAAUCAAUUAUGAAGGGUAUUAAUUUUAUUUCCCUAAUAAUAGUAAACAGCAAAUUAAGAACUUGAUUGCAUCUCAGAAAAUUCUAGAUGUGCCACAUCAUUACCAUGAUUACAAUUCUGCUUUAUUUUUCUUUGAAUCAGACAAUCAACCUUACAUGUGGCAUUGAUUUGAUCACAGAUGGGUCGGCACAAAAUUUUCACCAAUAAAUAAACUAUUUUUGCAGUUGAUUACUUAAUGGCAAAAUGGCCCUGGAGUUUGAAAAUAGUGUGAAAGAGAAGGGAAAGAAAAUCAAUGUAAUAAAUUAUUGUCUGAAAAAAGACAGAAACCUUAUCGGAUUUCAAGGCUUGGAUUGGUACUAAGUAGAUUUUACUCAUCCCAAAAGAAAAAUUACAGCAAAAACUAUAUACAUGUAUAAAGUAUUUGUCUACAUACCUUAUUAUAAAUAGAAAGUAUGUGAGCAUAGCUUUCUUCAUCAAACCAUCAUAAACAAACACACUUAUCAAUGGCUACCCUUAUUGCUCCCAGCAACCACUCUGCCCAAGAAGAUGCUGAAGCUCUCAGAAAGGCUUUUGAAGGUGGCUUAUCACCACCACCAUCUAACAAUCCCCUUUGUAGAUUGGAUCAUGCUUAUUCAUGACCUUGUUGAUUUUGAAGAGUUCAUCUAAUGAAAAUCUGGAUCAAAUUUGCAAUCUUGAUUAACCAUUUAAUUUCAGUUUGAACUAAAAAGUGAUUUUUUUGUAUCUCAGGUGUUGAAUCUGAUAUGCUUGUGUAAAUGUUUUCAAAGGGUCUUUAAAAUGAACGAGUUCGAGUGAUUUUGAACUCUGUAGGAUGAGAAAACUGUGAUCGUAAUACUGAUUAACAUGUGGUUUCAGUGUUGACUUGAAAGUACUGUUUUUUAUUCGAGGGUAAUCUGUUGGAGUGAUGAACUUGGUGUAUUUCUGUGUAUCUAUGAAAUGGGUGCUUAGAAUGACUGUGAUCGAUUGAUUUCAAUUUUGUAGGAUGGGGUACUGAUGAGAACCUUAUAAUAACAAUAUUGGGUCAUAGAACUGUUCAUCAGAGGCAACAAAUCAGAAGAGUUUAUGAGGAAAUUUACCAGGAGGAUCUUGUGAAGCGCUUAGAGUCUGAGAUCAAAGGAGACUUUGAGGUACCUUCAGUGUGAAAUGUUGUUGUUAGUUUUCCAUGUUCCUUUUGAAAUUCUUGUGUGCUAAUUGAACUCUGUCCUGUGUUACUGGUACUGAACAGAAAGCUGUGUACCGAUGGAUUCUUGAACCUGCAGAUCGUGAUGCUGUUUUGGCCAAUGUUGCCAUCAAGAGUGGCAAAAACUACAAUGUCAUUGUGGAAAUUGCCACUAUCUCCUCCCCAGAAGAGCUUUUGCUUGUUAGACGUGCUUAUCUCAACCGCUACAAGCACUCUUUGGAAGAAGAUCUUGCAGCACAUACCACUGGCCAUAUACGCCAGGCAAGUUUGUGCAUUGAAUACAUGUUUGAUCCACUCUAUCUUGAAAAAGCAAGGAUCUUUUUGACCUAUUUCUUAAGAGAUCACUUUUUGUUCAAUGUUUUCGAUCUGAUUACAUUUAAGAGUGAAGGCUAAGUAGCCAAAUCAGCUGUCAAUUUUUCUUCAGUUGCAUGAUGGGGUUUUUUGUUAGAGAUGUGGAAACAGGGGUUUGAUCCGAAGUUGUUAGGUAAGGUUUCUAUUAUAAGUGAAGGGAAUGUUAUGGUGCAUGUGAUCUCAGUUUUUACUUCUCUUUACUUUGGAAGACAAUGAGGAUUGAUUGUGUGAACUGCUAGUUUGUCAGAUACUCCAGAUAUUCACUCUUGUCCUUUGGAUGAAUUUUCCCAAUUGACAAGUGUGAAAAGAUAGAAAAGAAUAGCUUUUGACCAAUUUCUUGAUUGAUUACAUCUUUUAAGUAUUUCUAUUCUAAACAAAUAUCAGAUUAGAUGUGAAUUCUGCUUUGUAGUUUUUUGGGAUUUUCUAAUAGACAUGUGGCAACACAAGUUUGAUUUUGAUCCACUGUAGAUGUAAGUAUAAGCUUCUGACUUUAUAAGUAAAUGGAAUGUUAUGGUUCUUAUGAUCUUAGUUUUUGUGGUUGAUAUUGAGCAGCUUCUAGUGGGGCUGGUGACCUCAUUCAGGUAUGUUGGUGAUGAGAUCAAUCCAAAAUUGGCACAAAGUGAGGCUGAAAUUCUACAUGAUGCUGUGAAAGAGAAGAAGGGUUCCUAUGAAGAGGCCAUCAGGGUCUUAACUACAAGGAGCAAGACUCAGCUCAUUGCAACUUUCAAUCGCUACAGAGAGAUCCAUGGCACUUCCAUCUCUAAGGUACACAAAAAGGAAACACUAACAUAUCACCAAAAAUAGUAUCAUACUUUUCUAUAUAUGCCAUUCAUAAGAGAAACAAGUAAAAGUUUAGAUGAUUUACUUUAUGACCUUAUAUCUGAUAUUUCUUAUGUUUGCAGAAACUGGUGGAUGAAGGAUCUAAUGAUUUUGAGAAGGCAUUGUACACCACAAUCCGUUCCAUCAAUGAUCAUUUUAAGUACUAUGAAAAGGUUUGAUGUUUUAACUCAUUUUUUCUGAUAGUCCUAUCCAAUCUCACUGUAUUUCCAUCCUUGAAAUUUGGGUUUCAUCAAGACAAUAGUCCUAUCCAGUUCACAGCAUAUAACAUAUUUGAAUUUGUUGAUGUCAUGAAAAAUGAAAUCACUUGUGAAAUUGUUAACUUGGAUGUUGAAAAUCAACCGACCCAUAUGAAAAUAUCUACCAUGAUUCACAUUGAUUUUUGUUUUUGCAAUGUUAGGUGGUGAGAAAUGCUAUCAAGAAGGUUGGAACUGAUGAGGAUGCAGUGACCCGUGUGAUUGUGAGUAGGGCUGAGAAGGAUCUGAAGAUAAUCUCAGAGGUUUACUACAAGAGAAACAGUGUUAAUCUUGAACAUGCCAUUGCCAAGGAAACUUCAGGGGAUUACAAGAAGUUCCUUCUCACUCUGUUGGGGAAAGAGGACUAAGUUUUUUCUUUAGGGCAUUUGUGAUCAUGAGUUUAGAACACCCCAACUCAUACUUGUGUAAUUUGGUGUUUCUGGUGUUGCUUUCCCUUUAGUUUGCUUUUCUCCUUUCUCUUCCCUUAAGUAUAUUUCUGCAUGGGAACAUAGAUUUCUUCUAUGAGUGGUAAUGUGAGAGCUGUUUGGUGGCUAUAAAUUAUGAACAGACUAAACAAUAAAAGAUAUCAUGAGAAUGCCCUUUUCUGUUAAGAUUGAUUUUGAACUAUAAAACUGAUGAGAUCUGUGGCUAAUUUCAACUACAAACUUCACAUUGAAACAUGUGUAUUGUUAAUGGAACUGAUUCUGAUAUAGAACAUGUCAGGAUACAUGCAAAGUAUCAAAGUUCUUAUCAGAGAAAAGAAUAUAUACAUAUAAAAGAAUAUAAACGUAUAAGAUAUCAUUAUGCAGUAGAAUAUGACAGCAAAGAAAGUUACUAAAAGAAGCCAAACAAGGAAAGUCUUGGUAUAAAACUACAAAAUGAAAUAUACAGCUAAUGUUCAAAACAGAGAAGAAUCAUGCAUCAAACACUUUUAUCCAUAAAGUACAAUUAUUGGUGCUUUACCAAUGUACACUACUAAAAUUUCAAAACCUUUUUUAGAUUAAUGGAGGGAAAAGCAAGGGAAAGAGCACAAAUAUAUGGUGUAAUUGAUGAAAAGAGAAAAGUAAAAAAUAAAUUUAAUUAAUGGUGAAAUUUAUUGAACUAUUAUUAUUUAUUUUUAUUUUUAUAUUUAUCAAUUUCCUCAUCCUAUAUCUCUCUUCAAUCAAAACACCUUCAAUUUAUUUUUUGUCUCGUCUAUUUUCAGUUAUCGACUUAUUUGUAGCACAUUUGUUUGUUUGUUUCUUCUCUAGUAAAGAGGACAAACAUAAGACUAUGUUAGAUAAGAAUGGAUGAAAAAAGAAAACGAGUAAUAAAAUUAAAGUAAGAAAUAAUAGACACUUAAAGUAGAAAAAUAAUGAAUAAACAUAAAAGAAAAAAUGAAAAUAAAAUAAGAUAUGAAUUUUACAGCUUUUUAAUAUUUUCCUUUUUCAUCACAACCAACCAUUAAGUUUUCUAUUUCUUUUUCAAUUACCCACCUGCCAUUCUAUUUCUCAUGUACUAUUUGGUUGAGUAAAAUAGUAGGUGGAGAAAACAUCAAAAUUAAAAAGAAAAAGUGAUAAGAGACUGAAAAUUUUGGUUUGUGUAAAGAGGUGAUAAAAGGGUGGGACGAGUGUAUACAGCUAUUAAUUUUUUUUUAAAUAUCAAUUAAAUAAUUGAAAUUAUAAAAAAAAUAUAAUAUUAUCAAAGUAUCUAACGAAAAAAAAUAUUUUCAAGGUCAAGUAUAAAAAGAAAUAUAUUUAUAUAACGUGUUUAUUUUUUUUAAGAUAAUAAAAAUAAUAUAAUUAUUAUUGUUAUUACUAUAUUCUGUGUCGAUUGGAUUUAAAUUUAAUUUUUACUAUUUUAAUUUUAAUUAAGUUCAAUGGACUAGAUGUAAUAUUUUAGAAAAUGACAUUUUAGAAGUGAUAGUGGUGUAAAAAUAGUGUGACUCGAUUAUUUUAAUAUUAAAUAGUUUUAAUAUAAAUAAUUUCAUUAUAAACGAGUUUUUUUUUUAUUUUAAAAUAUAUUAUCUCUCUAGUAAUCACUUUUCUAGAGUUUUUUUAUUUCUCUCUAGAAGUUCUUUUUCUUUGUUCAUCUGAUUGAAGAACUGAAACCGUAGGAGUGAUCCUGGUGGCGAGUUCUUCAAUUUAGACCUAUCAGUUUCUCUGUCUGAGUAAGUUAAGUUUUAAUCCUUUUCUCAGGUCUUUUCUUUCUUCUGUUGUAUGUGGGCCCCGCUUAUUUUGCAUGUAACGCAUGAGUCUUCUAUAAGACUCUCUAUUGAUCAAUGGUACUAACAGCAUACGCUGAUUGCGUUUCUGUUAUCUAUAGGUACAGAUAGAGCUUCUUGAGCUAUGUGAGCGGAAUACGCUCUCUAAAGUGGUUGGUCUUCUAAAGAGGUAAGUGAAGCUAUUAUAUUCUCUAGGUUAUGUUUGUUGUGUAUGUUUAGUAUUUUCAUGCUUAAUUAUAUGAUGUAAUUGUAAUUGUGAAAAAUUGUUGUAACAUUCAUGGCGUUUAGAUGAUGAUUUUGAAUGUAUGAUAAUUGUAUAUUUGGUAUGGUAUGAUUUUGAAAUGGUUUCUGUCAUGAUGGUUGAUAAUUAUAUGGUAUUUGGUAAUUGGAAUUGGAUGUUAUUUUAAGAGGUAAUAAGUUGUCAAACACAUAAGUGUUGUGUUGAAAAUGGAGGUUUCAAUGAGCAAAUCGAUGAGUUUGGGAUUGGUUUAAGUAAUCUCAUUUUCUAAGGUUGGUUUGGUGUUGUUUAAGACUUAUUAGAGGGUGAAUAUGUUAAAAUCUGGUUUAGAAAUAAUUAAUAGUAAUUUGGUGGUAUUUUGGUCAGUUUUAAGAUUCAUUUUGGGGGUUUGGAAUAGUGAGAUUUUGAAUCAAUGGUUUUGUGCCCAAAUAAAAGGUUUGGGGUGUGUUGGUAAGUCAUUUCUGACUUGUUAGAAUUCUUAAAUUACUUAAAAAUGAACUAGAAUGAGAUUUUGGUCUCUAAGUUGAGAAUUUAGAGGUUUUUGAGUUGAUGCAUUGUUAUAAACUGCUGAUUAUGAGUUUAAGAUAGGUUAUACACUCUUUUUUAGGUCUAAAAUAGUUUAUAAUUCAAUCUAGAAGUGUUAAAAGUUGGUAAAAAUUAUUAGAAUAGGUUAUGGGUGGUCUAGAAGUGCUAAUUUUGCUGCUUUUAGUGUUGCAUAAUUAUGUAGUCUAACUAGGCGAGCAAAAUUGGCUAGUUGGAGUUAGUUCGCUUAGCUUGGAGAGCUUGUUAUUUUGGCUCUAGCUGGACGAGCUGAAUUGGCUACGGAGACUCCUGGUUUGAAUUCUCGUUAGGCGAGUUGUUUUUAUUCGUUGGGCUAGUGGUUUGCGUUUGUUUUGUUGUUUUUGCUUUCUAUUUCUCAUUUGUGUUUGGAUUUAUUUGGUGAAAUGUUUAUUUGAUACUCUAUGACAUGAUGGAAAGUGAUGACAUGUGAAUGAUGGUUAUAAGGAGUUCAAAGAGAAUUCCUUUGAAAUGAUUAUGUGUGUAAGUGUAUGUAUUGAUAUAGGAAGAUACAAUUAGAGACCAUUCUGACGCUCUCAAUAUAUAACCUUAAGUCUCAAGAAAAGAAGGAUGAUUGUGUGGUGGAGAGUAGCAAGAGGUAUCUAGUUUAUUUGUUAUUCGUUAGCCGUAAAUGCUUGAAAAAAUUAACCUUGGAGUGUGGUGAUUGAUGGAUGAGGAUGUUGUUGUUGUUGAUGUUGUUAUACCACCUCAAAGGCAAGACCUUUACAGUUCGAUAUCAAUACAUGUGUCCGGAUGGUCAGUCUAGAGUUAGAUAAUGAAAUGUGAAAGAAUAUUGUUUGGUUGUUGAUAGUUGAAUUAUAAGAACGACAUUUUAUAAAGAUUUUAUAUGUAUUCUUUGAUAAACUAGCUUACCCUUUCUUUUUUGUGUUGUUUGUCUGUUUUUGUUUUUUUUCUUUUGCAAUGAUCACCUAAAUGGUGUGAACUUAAGGUUGUGUUUACUUGGGGGUAACUGGGAGAGAGUGAUUGAGUGGAUUUGAGGGAAUUUGAGGGUGAUUUUUUUUUUUUGUGUUUAUUUGAGUGGAUUUGGAGGUAAUUGAGAGUGAAUUUGGGGGUGAAGUUUGUGAGAAUUAGUGUAGGAUUUGAUUGAUAUGACAGUAUUAAAUAAAUUGUUUAAUUGGUAGAAAUUAAAGAUUACCAAAAUGCCCCUAGGUAUUAAAAUAAUAUAAAAUGAUAUUUGUUAAUGUUAGAUUUAAUUGUAAAAAUGUUUAUUAAGAGUUAAAAAAUGUGGAAUAAUUAUUAAAAAUAAUUUAAAUAAUUUAAUUAAAUUAUACUUUAGUAAACUGAUUUGUUUUUUUAAUUUAGUACUUGUUUGUGAUAUUUUUUUUUAAGUAGUAAAAACUGAUUUGUUAUGGAACAGGUUAUAAUGAUUUUCAGCUAAACAACAGCAAACUUGUGAAUAUAUGGAACAAAAACCGUGUGACAAGUUAAUUAACAAAAAGGAGAAAAAGUGGUAAUAUCAUGCUUGAAAAAAUCAUAAGUUUUUUGAAUUCAUAAAAGACCUUCAACAAAGUGGUGUCAAAUGAUAAACCAAGUACAGAUUCCUCGUUCACACACUAUGGCGUGCCUUUAAUGAUUAAUGCCAAAACAAUGAAAAAAAAAAUGCACUGCAAAGACAACUAUCCUUCACACACAAUGACCACAUCCACAGGUCACCAACCACCCACCUCUUUGCUAACACCUGCAAAAUAGACGAAAUAGUUAACAAGCUCCCACCACUACGAAACUCAGGUAUGUUAACACCUUCAAACUUCGAAAUAUCCAUUGCCUACCUUCACAAGUGCACCGGAAAGCUCCUCUACGACAACCACAACGUUGACAACAGCACCUUCACGUACGUCGACGAUGCUUCACAAGUUGCAUGCUCGUGCAUCCUCACCUUCCUCACGCGUACUGCAUGCUUCACCCUCCAUGCAUCCACUAUGCAUCCUCCAUUAUGCGCUACGGCCCACGAGAAGAAGAAGAAGAAGUUGUUGUAUCCGGAUACAAAAGUGUGGGUAGCCGGAUAACUUUAUGCCUUUGUCUGAAGAAGAAGGUGUAUCCGGAUACGAGUGGGUGGUAACCAUGGUGGCUUUCACUGCUUCAUGGUCGUUGCGUUGUCCACCGCUGCGACUCCACCGUCUUCGAUUUGGCGCCCUAACGACGAAGCCUGCAACCAUGCCAACGUCGACAACCACGCUAACGUCGAACUUCAUCACCGUCGGCACGCAGCCCUGCGUUCUUCAGCUGUAACCGGAUACAGCCCCAUCUUCUUCUUCUUCAGCGUAACCCAAUACGCUUCUUCAGCUGUAACCGGAUCCAGCACCAUCAGGUUAUCUUCUUCACCGUAACCUUUCUUCAUCAUCCACCAACCUCAGCUUGUUCCUUUAACACUCCCCCUACAAAUAUCACAGCUUGUCAAUGGUGGCUGUGAAGGAACGAAUGUACACUGUGCCAUGGCUGAAUCAAGAAAAAAGUUCAGGAAUCUUCACUGUUCGUCAGCUCUCCUCACAGUAGAGCUUGUGAAUGCAGCAGAGCUCGUGAAUCCACAGUGAAAGUAAGUCUGCAGUGCAACCCCGACUUAUAUGUCAAUAUUUUAUGGUUUAUGAAAUCAGAGAAUUAUUUGAAAAGGAAAAGGGCAUUUUAGAGAAAUCAUUCUUCAUCUCUCCAAAUCUUCGCAUAUAUGCGAGUGAUGCUACAAUAGAUGAAUCUCACAAUUAACUGCAAAUCAUCUCUCGCUGUUACCUUCAAGCGAACACAAUUUUUUUGUAAUUGGUCGCUCGCGGUUCACCUUGAACAAUAAAUUACGUUCAAGUGAACACAGCCUAAGGGAUGUCUCUGGUGAACAGAUGCUAAGAAGAGGUGGAUCUGAGGCAUAAAGUAAAAUGAUGUUUGGUUUCAGGUUUUGUUUGUUAAUGUAAUUACCUUGUUACGUAUUUGGUUUAGUGUAAUACUUUAUAGUAGUCCAAGUUUUAGUAUAUAUUUACUAUUAUAAGUUAUUUUUUAAUUAUUUGUAAUAACAUAUUAUAUACUUUCUCUGAGUUAACUGUUUUUGAUUGAAGUAUAUACUAGUUAAAUACUAAAAAAAAAAUAGAAAUGUUUCACUAUAGGAGACUAACAACGUUGGAUUAGAUUUAAAUUUAACUUUUUAACUUUGGAAAGGAAAAUAGUUUGAAUAUUUAUAAACUGGUUUGAUAUACCAAUUUUAAAAUUAAUAUUUUUAAAUAUGAUUUUAAAUUCAAUUUAGCUUAAAAUUAAUAUGUACUUUUCAAGAAUAUUUUAAAAAAUAUGUUAAAUCUUUCAUAUUUCAUAUUAAUUAAUAAUCUAUAAAAUAAACCAGCAUUUGAUAUUUGAUAAACAUUUGAUAUAUUUGUUUAGAUCUAGAUAUACCUCGCGAAUGUGAAUGUAUGAAAGUUCUUAAUAAAACAAAAUAGUGUAUUACUUUAAAUUUUAAUCUUAAAAAGAAAGGAACAUAAUAUAUCAAUUAAUAUAUUUUGGUAUAAAGGGUAUAAAUAAAUACAAAAACAAUAUAUAUAUUUAAUAAACAGUAAUCUAUUUUUAGUUGGGUAAGUCCCUCAAUUUCUGUGUAAAUUUUUCUUUUAAAGUUUAUGUUAUAUAUUAUUAUAAGAGCUGAAAAUAGAAAAUAUAAAAUAGUUUUAUUAUAUAUUCGUCUUGUUUUCACAUUAGAUCAAAGACACAUAACGCUUUGAGACGAUGUGCAAAGGAAUACAAUAUAUAUAUAUAUAUAUAUAUAUAUAUAUAUAUAUAUAUAUAUAUAUAUAUAUAUAUAUAUAUAUAUAUAUAUAUAUAUAUAUAUAUAUAUAUAUAUAUAUAUAUAUAUAUAUAUAUAUAUAAUUGAUAUUAUUUUAUAUUUAAUUGAAAAUAACUAUAAAAUUGAAUUAUGUAAAAUAUAUAUUUUAUCAAAUCAUAUUUUUUAUAUUUUUAAUUAACAUUUAUUUAAACAAAUAGUAUUUAUUUGUUAUCAUAUCAUAUUUCCUAUUAUUAUUUUCAACAGAUAUUUUUUUUUUGUGUUUUCAUAUACCAGACGUGUACUAUCUUCAAUAUUUGUUAAAUAUAUCUAUUAUUUUAAUUUCAAAAAAUAUUUUUUUCUCCAAUCUAAAAUAUUUAUUAAUAUGUAACAAAAAUUCAAAAAAUAUAAAUUUAUUUUAAUUUUUUUUUUCAUUUUAGACAAUAAAUAAAUCUUUCAUUCUAAAAACUAAAUCAUAAUUCUAAAUAAAAUAUAGAUAAUUUCAAAAGUCAAUCCAAUAUAUUUUUCUUAAAACUUAAACCCGAUACAUCACAUAUUGACUUAUUACUCAGACUCACAUCACAUAUCAAUUUUCCCUAUUAUAUAUCUCCUCAAUGAACCCAUGAGAUUAUUACCCUUGAAUAAAGUAGGAUCACCAUCAACGCAUCUUUUACCAACUCCACAAAACUCCAAUCACCAACACACAUUUCUUAUUAAUUCUUUUAAAAAAAAUCUUUUAACAAUUAUUUUUUAACAAUUUUUGACAAAGCAUACGUGAUAACUUAUGAUUGAUCAUUUUCAAAUUUUUUUUAAAUAUAAAUUUAAAUAGUCUAAUAAAAUAAUAAUACGUGUUCGAUUAUCAAAAAAUUAUUAAAAAAAUUUAUUAGAAGUGGGUUUUAGGCCUAACUCAACCUCACAAAACCGACUUUUAAGGUGAGGUUUGCACCUCACUUAUAUAUUAUAAUUUGGCCUUAUCUCUAGUCGAUGUGGGACUUCCAACACACCCCCUUCACGCCGAGGUAUAGACAUAUCGUGCGUGAUAGUAGAAAUUGGGUAGCCCAAUAUUGGCCCGACAAUGGGUGGAAUAGAAACAUAAAUGCCCACUUAGAACUCGCUAGGAUAGGCUUUAACCAUGACUCUGAUACCAUAUUAGAAGUGGAUUCUAGGCCUAACUCAACCCUACAAAACUGGCUUGAAAGGGGAGGUUUGCACCUUACUUAUAUAUUAUAAGGUUGAGUUAAAGCCGGUUUUGUAAGGUUGAGUUAGGCUUAAACUCACAUUCUAAUAUGGUAUCAGAGCCAUGAUUAAAGCCUAUCCUAGCGAGUUCUAAAUGGGCAUUUCUGUUUCUAUUCCACUCAUUGUCGGGCCAAUAUUGGACCACCCAAUUUCUACUAUCACGCACGAGAUGUCUAUACCUCGGCGUGAAGGGGGUGUGUUGGAAGUCCCACAUCGACUAGAGAUAAGGCCAAAUUAUAAUAUAUAAGUGAGGUGCAAACCUCACCUUUCAAGCUGGUUUUGUAGGGUUGAGUUAGGCCUAAAACCCACUUCUAAUAAAAUUGUCAAAAUAUUAAAAUCCCAAAAUUUUUUCUUAUUCAAAAGCAUAGACACACCCACAUCCCAAAACAGAUGCCAAAACUCCAACUGAAAUAUUCCAACCUGUUCAAUCCCAAAGCAGCAAACUUCAACGAAAUGCGCAAUUCAUAUAUGUUGGGUAAAUGUGUCAGCCAUCGUGAAUAGUUAAUGUGUUAAUCUUUGUGAAAAAUUAAUGUAUUAGUCGUUUAUAAUCGUUUUUGUCUAUUUUUAAAUAUAACAUUCGAAAAUGUGAGUUUAUAAAUUAUAUUAUUGAUGACAUUAGGGAUGGCAACGGGUCGGGUCGGGUACGGAUAGCGCCUAUCCGCAAUCCAACCCACCGGAUAAAAACGUACCCGCCACCCGACCCGCUACCCGUCGGGUAUCCGUUUAAAAAAUAUCCACGGGUAUUUUAAAACGCGGAUACCCGUUGGAUACCCGUUUUCAAUCCGCGAAUAUUUAAAAAAAAAAUAUUUUAUAAGUUCUUAAAUGAAAUAAUCCAAAUUAAAUUGAAAAAAAAAAAUUGAAAUGUUUUAGAUUUUAAGUUAAAGGUACUUAUACAAAGGAAACUAAGGACAGAGGUAUAAUUUUAACUUCUAAGCGGAUAACGGAUAUCCACGGGUACGGAUAGUGCAAAACCCGAAUCCGACCGAUAAGAAGCGGAUAUUAAAAAACCCACUACCCACUACCCACAAGUACCUAUUAUCUGCGGGUACCAACUAUCCACAACGAGUUUAAUUCGCGAGUAUCCGCGGACACGAGUUUUUUUGCCAUCCCUAAAUGACAUGAAUGAAACAACAAGAUUACAAAGUAAAUAAGUUGAUUCAAAUAUCUUUAUUUGCUAUUUACCUAAAGGUUUAUUUGUAGUAUUACAGGAGAGAAAAUUGUUGUCAACAUCAUAACCCUCCAACAACUACCACACCUGUCAAAGGUUGGAAAAUGUCUAAAACUUUUUAUUAGAAUCUCUUCUGAGAGGUAUUGUCUUGGAAGAAAUACCAGAAUGAUUUUAUUUGAUUACACUUUCACUUUUGCUUUUGUGACAAUGAUAAUAAAAGAUGAAGAAGCAUCAUGCAGUGAAAAUGAGCAGCAACAACAACCAAAGGAAAAUUGGGAGGAAAAACAAUACAUUGUAUAGAAAUUAAAAACAAUUUCAUCUUCCAAGGUUUUCUUCUCCUUUUAAUUUCUUCAAUCAGCCUCCUCUGACGAUCAAGUUUAGCAAGAAAUCCUUGUAGUUUCCUCUAGCAACCUCUUCAACUUUCUGGGGCAAAGAAACUCCAUAUAGGUUAUGGUACUCUGCUUUUAUUUCCUUCAUAUCAAUUUCAGCUCUAGUAACAAUCACACGAGUAAGAGAUUUCUUAGUAUUCUUAUCCACAUCAAUUCUCAAUGCUGCAUUCAAAACCUGGACAUAAAAAAAGAAUUCUAGUUAUAACAAAUUUCAUAAUUGUCAUCAUGGAAAAAAAGGAAACAGUUUCAUCUAACCUUGCUGAAGUAUAUUUGUGGGAUACAAAGGCAUUGCACAGUCUCUUUAAAUCUUAAGUCAUCAAGAUCCUACCCACAAGCAGUAAAGCAGUGAAGGUUUUGUCAGAAAUAGAAUCUCAUCAUGUUUGAAGUAUACAACAGAACCUCAAAACUAUAGAAUCAUAUGAAGAUACCAUGAAAGAACUCAAAUGUAAUGGUGCAUCAGUAGUGUUCCUUCUAAUAACUCAAACUGAUAUUUCUUGAAGUUUUCUAAGAUUGAACAUAAUCUCUUUGUUUUUGUAUCAUUUACAACAAUGGCCUCUUGUAUUGAUAGAAAAAGAUGAAAGAUGCUGUGUGUAAUCUGAGAAAAUUUUAGCUACUGCCAAUAUAAUUUACUCUAGUGUUGAAUACCUCAUCAAGGUUUUUGCCAGAAAUCUCAUUGUAGUGCUUGUAAACUGCCUGAAGAUGUAGCUUGCUUCUUGUUGACAAUAUCCUUAUCACUUCAUCAUCCUCAUUAAUAGGUUUCUUAUGAGCAUUCUUGAUUGCAUUAGAGAGGACUUUGGCCUCUGAUUUUGCAGUGUCAUCUUUAACCUUGGAUCCUUCAUAUCUAUAGGCACUUAGUAGAGCAAUCAAUAGCUGUUCACACAUGUAAUAGGUGUUAAUUUGACUUAGAUAUUGUGCUGAGAUAUAUAUAUAUAUAUAUAUAUAUAUAUAUAUAUAUAUAUAUAUAUAUAUAUAUAUAUAUAUAUAUAUAUAUAUAUAUAUAUAUGAUAUGAACCAAUCACAGAAUGACACGCAGUAUAAGUGUAGCUCACCUUUCUUUCAAUGGCAUGGAUGUGAGAGGCAACAUCUUCUUCAAUGGAGUGGUCAAAGAGGGAGUGAUAAGCCUUCCUAGCUCCUAAUAGCUCUUCUGAGGAUCUAGUGCAUGCAACCUCAAUCAAAACUCCAUAUGCAUUUUGGCCCUUCUUUAGGGCCUCUCUUACUAAACGGGCAUCUCUUUCCCAAGGGUGCAUGGACCACAACACCACAGCAUUCUGUUUAAGGGACCACAUAUCAGAUCAAUUUUUCCAUUCUAAUGUUUGGAUCUUGUUUUCGAAAGUAUUAUAAAUUAAUAAAGCCAACUGAUAUCAGCCAGAAAUUACCAUUGUUUAUCUUCUUUGAUAUUGAAAAAGAGAAUUUAAUAGUAAUAAUAAUAAUUAAGAGUUUUUCUUCCAUGAGUUCCUUAAUCUAACAACAGCAAAGUAUACAUUAAUGAAAAUAUAAAAAGAAAAAUACAAGAUGGGAAGUCUAUUUUAUGUAAAAUGUGAAGAUUUCUUGUUACAUUAACAUAUUUAUUGAAUUCAAGAUUAUAAAAACCAUCUAGACUCAAUCUGUUUAUGUUUUCUUUUUUAUUGAAAAUGUAAAAAAAUUAAAAGUAAUUAUUAUUGUCAUUGUUUUUGUUUGAACUUUGGGAAAAGAAAAGAAUCUAAAAAUUAAAAAAUAUUCCUAAUUAUCUUGAGAAUUUAUAUUUACAUUGAAGAAAAUGUAAUUAUAUUUAUCACUGGCUUUAAAAUGGAAAGUUCGUUUUAUCACUAUAAUAUAUAUAAAAAAAAAAAAAAACCAACUUUUACUUUACAUAAAACCUCAUAUUAGUACAUAAUCAAACUCCUUUAGUACAUAAUCAGAUUGAAACAUAAGCUUGUGAUCCAAAAUUAACAUUCUUUAUAUCAUCAUCAGAUAGUCUUAUUCUUGUAAGAACAAUUCAGCUUUGACUUCAUCAUCAAAUAAACUAAAAAAAAGUAACAUCAACAUCAGGCCAUGGAAGCACAUUUCACAGUUUCCAAGGAUAUUCAACUCUCAGAUUAACCUAGAAGGAAAAAUGUACCUUAAAACGCACGAAUUCAUGCUUAAGAAGAUGAACAUAGUGAUCAUCCCACCUCUGAAAAUGGCGUUCAUGAUCCUCAGUGAACAAAUGUGGUGUCUUCUUCCUGAAAGAUUCUCUCUCCAGAGGAUCCCAUUUUCCCAGUAAUGUUACCAAUGAUUUCUCAUCCACUCCAUGCCCUGAAAACACCAUCCACCACUCAUCAUAAACCACAUGGUUUUCCCAAAAAAUGUCCCUCAGAAACAAUCUUGGUCAAACAAAAUUAUUAAUUUGUGCCAUGCCAACCACCACAUUAUAUAAACUUAUCAGUAAAUAAAAUAAAUUUCUGAUUCAGUAUUGGUACCCACAGCAAAUUUACACUGAGUAUAAGCAUUUUAACAAAGAAAAAACUAAACUUUAUUAUACCCUUUGAUUAAUUCAGCAUGUUUGAUAAUAUUAAAAGUGAAGAGAAUGAGAGAACCUGAGAAAGCUUGGGUUAUUGCUUCUAACUCUUGAUGGAAAGCCAUUGUGAUUGUUCUGUGUGCGAACUUUGAAGAUGAUAGAGUUAAGACGGUCGCUUUAUAAGACCCUACAAGGGUAUUAUCGUCAUUUAAAGUUCAAUUCACAAAAAAUCAAGUGAAACUUCUUCUGUUCUUACCACCUUUGACCAAUGGAUGAACCCUUGAACUCUUAAAUAAGAGAGAGUUACAUGUCUGUACCUAACAGAGGACUUAAAAAGACUCAUUUGUCCUUGACAAUGUAUAUAUAUACAUUGUAUUUCUGAAAUUAAUUGUAUUUUUUUAUUCAUAAACUUAAUAAUUAUAUGGCAGUGGAAUUCAUAAAUAAGAGUUUUUUUUUUUUUUUAAACUGUUGAAAUUAUGCUAAUAUGGAGUUUAUUCUGAAACUUUAAUGAUUUUAAUGAACUUGAAAUGUUAUUGUAAAUUGAGAUAACAGUAAAUAUUGGUAAAAUUCAUAACUCAAAAUUAAUACAAUAAAUAUAGAUUUCAGUUAUAGAUAAAACCAGUUCAACAAAUGAUAUAAAGUUAUAGAGAAAGAGAGGGGGGAGAGAGCAAAAUUAUUAAUUAUUUUUAUAAGUUAUUGAAGUGAUUGCAGUUGCAGACAUGCCCUUCUUUUUUUGCUGUAUACAACUAAGCCACUGGGUUAAUUCAAUUUCUAAUAUGACCAUUUAAAAUGCUAAUAUUUAAAUAUAAUGCAAUCAUUGAUGUUAAUGGAAAUAGUUGAACUGAAUUUUAUAUAAGGGAACCAUUGAAUAGACUUACUUUUAUAGCUUUUUCCUUCAUCAAGGUGUUUUCCUUUUAUAUUUCAUUCUGUUCUUAUCAGAAAAAAAAUUAUAUUUAAAGAUUUCGCGUGUUGGCUUAUUUAUUAAACAUAUCAUCACGUUUUACAAUAAACAAAAAAAUAAUGUGAAGGAAUUUUGUAAUAAUCGAUUUCAUAGUUAAGUUCAUAAUCAAAUAUUUAAUUCAAUUUUGACUUUCGAGAAGUGCAACCUAGAACUUUACAAUGAUAAGUUGCUUACAAUCCUUAAUUUAACUAUUACCUUAGAAGAAAACUAAUAUAUAUGUAUAUAUAAAGACGUGUUAGUUUAAUUAUAUUAUUUCAUUGUUAAAGAUUCCACGUAAUAACAAAAAUUAUUAUUUAUUAAACAUACAUUAUAUCAUUCAUUAUUAGAUAAUUUAUUAAUAUUUAAUUAUAUUUUCAAACUUCAACAAAAUGAGUUAAAAAUGUUAUAAAAAAUAAAACGAAUUUAUAAUAUAUAAAUAAAAUAUAAAUAAUUCUAUAAAUUUUAGUCAAACUUAAAAUUUAUUUUUAAUUUUAUAUCUCUAAGAAAAGAAUGUGAAUUUAAGUUGUAACAUAAAGAAAAAGUUAGAUUAUUUCACUGAAAAUGUAUGUUAUGUAUAAUUAUAGUAGGAUAAGCACAAUGAUUGUAAGAUGCAUUCUGGAAUGAAAUAGAGGUAUAGUAGGUAGGGAAUAGAUAUAUUAAAGAAUCCAUGUGAGAAACAUGGCUUUAAAUUUUCCAAACAUGAUUGUUGUCAUGUCCAAUCUGAGUACCCGAUGAGAAAGCUUUCAAACAUGAACCAGACAUUUAACACUUGUUUGUUUCCACAAAUUUCAAAGAAAGUUUGGAACACAAAAAAUAUAAAAAAUAAAUAUAAACAUAUAAAAAAGUAUGCACAGAAAACUCUUUAAAAAAACAAAAAUUUUUUAAUAAUUGUUUUUUACAAUUUUUUUAAUUGAUCUGUUUGAAAUUUAUAGACGAAUAAAAUAAUAACAUAUAAUUUAUUGUCAAAAAAUUGUUAAAAAUAAUUGUUAACAUAUCAUAAUCUUAAAAAAAUCUGGAUAAUAAUACUUAAACAAUAUUUUUUUAACAAUAUUUGAAUAUCAUCUAUAUAUCAUUCUGUGAUUAGUCCAUGAUGGUGUUUAUGAUUAUUAUCAUUGAUUAUAAAAUAAUUUUGGACUAAUAACAAAAUGACAUGUAGAUAAUAUUUAAAUGUUGUCAAAAAAAAAGUUCUCUAAAUAUCAUUAUCUAAAAAAUUUAUACAACCAAAUUUGAUAGAUUGAAAAAGUUUUAAAUACUAGUUUUAAAUAUUUAUUUUAAAAACAUAAGGUUUAAGUGAUUAUAAAAUGGAUCGAUUUGUUUAAUUUAUAGUUUAUAUAUAUAUAUAUAUAUAUAUAUAUAUAUAUAUAUAAUGAAGUUAAAUUAUUUUGACAUAAAUAUUUGAUAAGAAUUUUUAGUAGUUUUUCGUUGUUGUUUGUUGAUUUUAAUGAAAUUCUUAAUAACUAAAAUUUCAUCAUGUUGAUCAUUAAAAAGUUUAAAUCAUGUUAAAAGAUUCGAUUUUUGUGAAUAAAGGAAUAUUUUUAAAAAUGUAGUAAGAUAAAAAGAAACAUAACAUAUAAAAUCUAAAUAAGAAAAAGAAAAACAAUUUUUUCAUUGACCGAAUAAUCUUAAAAUCAAUAUCUCAGAAAUUAACUGGUAAAAGCACUUAUUUAUAAGUAAAAAAAAAGUUUGAGAUUGGAAAAAGUAGCUCUAUUAUUGUUACUUUUAAGUUAGAAAAAAGUUUUAUAUAUGGAUUGGAUUGCUUUGUGGAAUAAAAAGUCACACAAAUAUCAUCAAAAUCCGAACAAUAAAAUAAUAGUCGAAAUAUAUCUUAUUUUAAAUAUUAAUGAUUCGUUGUUGUCUUUUAAAUUUUCAAUUAAACACCACCGUAUUUUGUUGUCCACUUAAAAAAUCUUGAUAUACUUAAUUGAAUAGUAUAUUUACUUAUUUUUAUUUGGAAAAUUAUCCAUGUCAAUCAUUUCACUCUUUCAAAUAUCUAAAAUAGUGAGAAUGCCUAUUCUCAAAGACUUAUUCAUUUUAUUGACGAACUCAAAAAUUGACCCUAAGGCACAAGGUUGGCAAUUAUUUAAAUUCAGCAAUUAAUAGUUUUCACUAAUUUUACUUCUUUAAAUUUACUAUAACUUUUUGCAUGAAAUUUAAGAUUUAGAGCUAAAAACAAACCAUCUCUUUGAUUCCAUCUUUUAUUUUAUUAACCAAAUAUUUAUUGAUUACCGAUAAUUAAUCCAAAAAAAAAAUGAAAGAUUUUUCUUAAAUAUCUCAAUCAUAAUUUUUCAUAUGCAAUAUUCAAAUUCAAAAUCAUCGUUAAGGACACAAACUUGAAUAUGACUCUAUCCUUGAACUUGUGUGGUUCCACACACAUACAAACACAGCCAAGGUAUAAAAUCUUAGAACAUAUGUUCACUUUUUUUCUAAUGUUUUGGUGACAUGUAUGUAACAUAUGUUUAUAGUUUUUGGAGUGUCUAUCAUGGGACCCGUGUCCUGUUGAGCAAAACGUGGUCAGAAAUUUUACCUUAUAAAUUAUUCAUGCACGUCAUUGUCUCGACGAAAGCAAGCUCUUAUUUAUUUGUAACAUUGAAGGUGUUCAUAUGGAUUUGAUUGAAUAUUUUAGCAUAGUCAAUAAACGAGUGUAAAUUUGUGUAAGAUAAUCCAAAGCUACGCUGAGAUAAUUAUGUAGUGGCAUAAAGUUGGUCUACAAUUGCCAAGGUCAUUGCAAUUUUUUUUUAAGGAUAUUGAUAUUUUGACAAUACUUUUUGACAAUUUUUUGAUAACGAGACACAUGUCAUUACUUUAUUGGUUUAUUUGAAUUUACGUUUAAAAACAUAUUUAAAACAGACCAAUCACAAACUGCCACGUAUGCAUUGUAAAAAAAUUGUUAAAACAAUGUUGUUAAAAGAAGUUUUUCCUUUUUUCAAAUAGAAAAAAACGUGUAUAUUCACCUAGUUAUAGGAAAAGGAGUUAAAUUAAUAUAUUUUUUAAUAAUUUUAUUAAAGAAAUACAAUUAUAAUUUUUAAUUAAAGCAAAUAUGUUCAAUAUAUAUAUAUGGAUUUGUUAACGUGCGUAUGCCUGUUUCUUAGUUGGUACAUUUUAACAAUGUAUAUUGGAUUAUAGUAGACAAAAAUACCCUCAUAUAUUAUGGAUUAUAAGUUUUAAAGUUAAGGAUAUUUAAAUAAUUUUCAUUCUCAAAACUAAGAAAAGAAAUUGUUUAAUAGCGAGUGUUUCUGAUUUUUUUCUAGGCGAAUUACCAAUUCCUUCAUAUGUCAUUAUGCUUGUGAAAAUGAAAUAAAAUUAGAUAAGACAAAAAUUAUAAAAUGAAAACUCAUUAUAAAAUCAUUUUUUUGUAAGAAAUUGUUUAACAGCCAGUGUCUCUGAUUUUUUUUUUAAUUAGGGCUACAGUAGAGAUGACAGAGAAAAGGUUUGGAGUGAGAGAGAUGAAAGAGAAAGGAUUGAGAGAGGUGAGUAAGGGUUUGGGGGUUUCUUUUUUUUUUUUUUUAGUUUUGAAAAUGAAAAUUAUUUAAAUAUCCUUGACUUUAAAACUUAGAAUCCAUAAUAUACGAGUAUUUUUGUCUACUAUAAUCCGGUACACAUUGUUAAAAUGUACCAACUGAAAAACAGGCGUACGCGCGUUAACAAACUCCAUAUAUAUAUAUAUAUAUAAUUGUUUAAUGACAUGCAUUUACUAAUGACAACAUGAUCUAUUUUUAGAAAACUUAUGUGUUGAAUAGACUUAAAAAUACAACAUCCUUCAUAUGACUGUUGUGACUUUGGCAAGUGUACCAAAUCGUUUCAAGUAAUAAAACCGGUAAGACCGGAUAUCGUUUCCCAAGAGACUCGUUGCACUAGACAAUCGUAUAAUUUCUAAUUAACCUAGACUAAAGAAUGCUUCCAUAAAUUGGGUUUUGGUGCAAUUAAAGUAAAUAUGAAACAUAAAUAGUAAAAGUGAUCUUUGACACUCAAACACUUGGAAAUGGUAAGAUGAGAAAUGAUAUGAAAUGGUAUUGUUGGGGGUACGAUUUCACCUACUUCACUCUUAUGCAUAGAAAAUCACUUCCUCUUCAUUAAUAUGUCAAUAUCAAUCUACUAGUUUACUCAAACCCCAAUCCCUUGGUAGAAAGAGCCUAGACUUCCUCAUUAGUCUCCAAUCCCUUGGAAAACCUAAUGAUUAUUUCCGCAUUAAGAAAUGAGAUUUUAAGACAACCAAAGGUCCUAGUUCUAUCCCUAGAUACUAUUUCCUUUAGGUGUUUAACCCAAGUCAAGAUUUACCCAACAUUUCCCAAUAUCAAGUAAACCCUAAAAUCAUGUCAUGGGUAGCAACUUCACAACAAGCAUUAAGAGAAGGAAUUAAACGCUAACAAUCAAUGAAAGAGGCAUAUAUUCAUUCAAACCAAAAUGAUUUACGUAAGAGUUUAGUGGCUACAUCAAUCCCCCAACAACAAUGAAACUAGCUCUUCAUGAAUGAAGAGCUUAAGCUUACAACAAUGGUGGAAAUGGAAGAAGAAAGAAGACCCAAGGGUGAAGAUGGACUGUUCCCACANCUCCAAGCUUGCCUCCAAGAGCUCCAAUAGAGAGAAAACGAGUCUGGGUAGCCAAAGAUGCAAAGCCCCUCGCGUUUUAGGUCUAAAAAGACCUAAUUUUUCCAUAUCAGCAUUGCCACCGCUCAACUGUACCCCAGCUGCACCCCAGCUGCAGACUUCCAGAGAGUUGGGCGCUCAGCUGUACCCCAGCUGCACCCCAGCUGCAACCUUCCAGAGAGCAGGGCGCUGAGCUGUACCCCAGCUGCACCCCAGCUGCAGCCUUCCAGAGAGCAGGGCGCUCAACUGUACCCCAACUGCAGCCUCCAGAGAAGAAUGGGGCUCAGCUGCACCUCAGUUGUACCCCAACUGCAGCAAUUAUCUUUGCUCAAUAUUUUCUCUUUUACAUUCAUUUAAACUUUGUGAUUCUUCCAUUCCUCGGUUCAGCCAACAAGCUUCAUGUAUGUGAUCUAACAACCAAAAAGUGGGGAUUAGUGAUGAAAUUUAAAUUAAUUCAACUUAAGGUGUAGCUACUUACAAACUUAACAAAUUGAGGCAUAAAGAAGGUGCAAAGUUAAGAGAGAGUUGACAUUUUCUCUCAAUUCAAUACUGAAAUCAUGGUAAAAUAUGUCCUUAUUAAUGACCACAACAUUAAAUUAUGGUUUACACUUUAUCUUUACUUGGUUUUAGGAACUAAAUUCUUCUCCUAUGAUAUGAUAGUCCAAUGAAGCUAUCAUUUCAUCAGUAUAUUCUCCAAUCAAUAACUCGAUUCACUUAGCAUCCAAUUUUCUUUGAAUUCUUUGGAACUCAACGAAAGAACUGACUCAUCCAAUGAACAAAUACUAAAAUAAAAACCUCAAAAUUCAUCCAAUGAAUUUUAUCUUGUUCAAUGACCCAACUACUCUAAAAUCUUUGGAUUUUCAUAAAAGACAUUUCUUGCUUAGUUACAAUGUCACUUGUCCAACGACUCAAACUCUUACGAGCUAAAUCCUUUAAACUCAUCCAACAAAUGUAUCGUCUAAAGAUCUCUCUAGAGUUUUAAAUUGUCACUCUUGUUUAGUGAGUAAUGACUCGUCUAGUGAGUUCAUAAUGUAGCAAAUAUUGUAUGUUUACUUAGAAAAUUGAUAGGCAUACCAAUUUAAUAUUAUUAGCUUCCACUUACAUUUUUUUUCUCUCUUAACAAUUAAAAAGUAUCUUCUAAUUUUAAGAUAAGUUAACUCAAGUCAUUAAUUUCAAAUUCACAUACUUAUCUUAUAUCGUUUAGAGCUUUCUUUUCACGAUUAUAAAAAUAUCCCAAAUUUAUCAGCAUAACCUACAUUUAGUUCAAAAUUUUACUUCAUAUAAAACCAAUUGACUCAAUUAAUAUAUUUUAAGGAUUUAAGCUCGCUUAACAACAUCAAACACUUUAUAUCUCUUUUUUAACAAAAAAAACCCAACCACACUUAAUUAUUUAAUUCACUUAAAAUAUUCACAAAAAUAACAAAACAAGUAACAUACACACAUCUUAUUCAAACAACCUUUCAACUUGUUAUACCUUAUAACUUCAAUUUAUCCACAUAACAAUCAUCAAUUAUUUUUAUAGACGAAUAUAAUAAUCUAUUUAAUUCUAUUAUAGGGAUUCAACUAUCAUAAAAUGUUCUAUCUACAAAAAAAAAAAAAAACCAUACCAAUGAUAUAAACAUGUCCUAAUGAUGAUUGAUGAUAGAGAUAUUUUCUCUGAUUUUUACCGGACGGUUCCUUAAUAGAGAUAUUUUCUUUGUUGUUACCGGACGGUUCCUUAAUAGAGAUAUUUUCUCUAUUGUUACCGGACAGUUCCUUAAUAGAGAUAUUUUCUCUAUUGGAUCUGGACGGUUCUUUUAUUGUUAUUCAGUUGCCGAAAGCUGGUACUUAUCGUAUAGUUGCUGUCAGAGUGACCACCGAACGACCCAUUCGGUCUCACCGAACGAUCCGUUCGGUCCUAGUGAUUUUUUAGUUUUUUUGUUGUUUCUUCUUUUCUCCUUUUAUAUAAAUUCCUCGCUUCUGCUGUACUAAAUAUUAUUAUCCUAUCAGUAAUAUUCAUUCAUAGUUUUUAUGCUUUCUGGAAUUCUCGUUUCUCUCUUUCAAACACACUUACAUGGUAUCAGAAGAAAGACAAUAAUUAGGGUUCUUCGUUUGCCUUCUUUUUCUUCAUCUUCUUUCUUUUUCUCUUCUAAUGACUUCCUCUGAUGCGUCCACCACCGCUACUGCCUCUACCACCGCUGCCACCGAUCAUCUCACUAAUCCCGCCCAUCCUUUGUUCCUUCAUCCCGGUGAAAACCCAGCCCUCAUUCUUGUCAAUCUGCCACUCUCUGGCACCAAUUAUCAACAAUGGAGGCACGACAUGCUUGUUGCUCUUGAAACCAAGAAUAAAGAUAAAUUCGUUCUUGGUACUAUUUCUUGCCCUCCUCCUACUGAUGUUCUUCAUGACGCCUGGAAAAGAUGCAACAAAAUGGUGAUUUCCUGGCUGACGCAUUCUAUAACUCUACCCAUCAUCUGUUAUGUGGAUGGAUUCUGCCUCCGAGAUUUGGAAUGAUCUCCUCCAACGCUUUUCUCACGGUGAUAAGUUCCGUAUCGCUGAUCUUCAAGAGGCUUUUCAAUCUUGCAAACAAGGUGACUCCAACGUUUCUCAAUAUUACACUUGUCUUCAAAUCAUCUAGAAAGAACUUUCUCUAUAUCAAACCCUUCUUGUUUGCACCUGUAAAUCUCCUUGCACUCGUGGCUUACUGAUCAAGAUUCAACAAGAACAAAAUGAUGAUUCUGUCAUCAAGUUUCUUCGUGGCUUAAAUGAUGAAUUUUCCCAAGUCCGUUCUCAAAUUAUGCUUAUGGAACCUAUGCCGACUCUCCCUAAAACCUUCUCCUUGGUCCUUCAACAAGAACGGGAGUUUCAUCAUUCUUCAUCAUCAACUCCUCAUGAUUCCAUGGCCAACGCUCAUUUUCAGGAUUCUCAGAACAAGACUUUUCCCAGUUCUCGUGGUGUUUUCUCUGGUCGUGGACGAGGACAUACCACAAAAUUUGGUGGUCGUGCUAAAUACUGCGAUCAUUGCAAACAAACUAAUCACACUUCUGACAACUGCUGGAUCAAGUAUGGCCUUCCUCAAGGCUAUAAACCAAACAUCAAAACGGAUUCUGCUCAAUCUAAUCCUUCUGCCCACCUGACUGAUGGCGUUUCUAUCCCUCUCACUGACUCCCCUGCUGAUGCCACCCAAAUCCAACGCAAUUUCACUCAAGAACAGUAUGACGCCAUUCUUGGAUUGCUGAGACAUUCUCAACCUCAUACUCCCAGGAUGGCUAGUGUCAAUCAAUGUACUCCACAUUCAUCAGGUUCUUUUUUUAACCCCAAUUUUUCAUCUUGGAUUAUAGACAGUGGAGCUACUGAUCAUAUUUGCUCUUCAAAAUUUCUUUUCAAAUCAUUACAACCUAUCACUCUUAUUUCUAUACGUUUACCAAAUCAAAGUUUUGUUACUGCUGCCUUCUCUGGGACUGUCAUUCUAGGCAAUUUAAUUUUGCACAAUACUCUUUUUGUUCCUAAUUUUUCUGUUCACCUCAUUUCUAUUUCUAAACUGCUACACUCCAAUAAUUACUUUGUUGUCUUUCAUUAAAAUAGUUGUCUCAUUGUGCAGAUAGACAUUUACCAGACGAUUGGAGUAGCUAAGAAAUACCAAGGACUCUUUUAUCUUCUUAGUAAUAAUACAAUAAACAAUUCAGACUUACAUGUUUCCUCUGUUUUUCAUAACAACUCUAGUGAUUCUUGUAAUCUGUGGUACAUGAAACUUGGUCAUCCCUCAAAUAAAUUUUUACAGACAAUAGCUUCUCAAUAUUCUGAUAUUUCAUUUCAAUCCAUUGAUGCUUGUGAUGCUUGUGCUUUUGCUAAACAAAAACGUCUUCAAUUUUCUGUUAGCAAAACUAAAUCUCCUUGUUUCUUUCAUCUCAUUCAUGUUGAUAUUUGGGGCCCUCUUUCUAUAACUUCAAUUGAUGGAUAUAAAUAUUUUUUUAACUGUUGUUGAUGACUAUAGUCGUUUUACAUGGCUUCUCCUUUUGAAAAAUAAAUUUGAUGUUAAAACUUUACUUCAAAACUUCAUUGUUUUAACUGAAAACCAGUUUUCUUGUAAACUUAAAAUCCUACGAUCUGACAAUGGAAAAAAGUUUCUUCUUAAUGAAUUUUAUUCCACCAAAGGCAUCCUUCAUGAAACUACUUGUGUUGCUACUCCUCAACAAAAUGGUAUUGUUGAACGGAAGUAUCAACACAUUCUUAAUGUUUGUUUGAUUGUUGGCAACGAGCUAUGUAUUCUGAACUUUCUGCACUUGAAAGAAACCGAACAUGGACUUUGGUGCAUCUCCUUGCUGGCAAGAAACCCAUCAGUUGCCGUUGGGUUUAUCGCAUCAAGCACAAAGCAAAUGGUUUUGUUGACAGAUAUAAAGCUCGUUUGGUGGCAAGAGGUUUUACUCAAACUGAAGGACUAGAUUACUAUGAAACUUUUUCUCCUAUUGUUAAAAUUACUAUUGUUCGUCUUGUUCUCGCUUAUGUUGCUAGCAACAAAUGGUUUCUUCAUCAGUUAGAUGUUGAUAAUGCUUUUCUUCAUGGUGACUUAACUGAAGAAAUAUACAUGAAACCUCCUCCUGGUCUUUGUCCGUCCACUUCUGGUCUCGUCUGUAAGCUUCACAAGUCACUUUAUGGUCUAAAACAAGCCAACAGAAAUUGGAACCACACACUCACAUCUGAACUGUUCUCUCUCGGUUAUACCCAAAGCACUGCUGACCACUCCUUAUUUGUCAAGCAUUCAGCCAACACUAUCACCAUUAUUAUGGUUUAUGUUGAUGAUAUACUUUUAUCUGGAAAUAAUUUGUCUGAAAUUACCACUGUCAAAGAUCAUUUACACAACAAGUUUCACAUAAAAAAUCUUGGUGAUCUUAAAUAUUUUUUGGGAUUCGAAAUUGCUAGAUCUCACGCUGGAUUAUGUCUCAAUCAAAGAAAAUACUGUCUUGAAUUAAUUUCUGAAGCUGGAAUGUUAGGCUGCAAACCUGCUCCCACACUUGCCGAUCCUUCCAUUAAACUUCAUGCUGAUGAAGGGAUCCCUCUCACUGAUCCUUCUUCUUAUCGCCGACUCAUUGGACGCUUACUUUAUCUCACUCAUACACGGCCUGACAUUACUUUUGUUGUCCAACAACUUAGCCAAUUUGUCCCUACUCCUCGUCAGCCUCACAUGCAACAAGCCAUGAGGAUUAUUAGAUAUUUAAAGAAUGCUUCUGGUUCCGGCUUAUUAUACAUUGCUGAUAAUUCCUUUCGCUUUCAUGCCUACUCUGAUUCUGAUUGGGCCACUUGUUCCACCACUAGACGAUCCGUCCCUGGCUUUUGUGUUUUCCUUGGCAAUGCUCUUAUUUCUUGGAAAUCAAAGAAACAAACAAUCAUUUCUAAAUCUUCUUCUGAAGCCGAAUACCGAUCCUUAGCCUCUUUAACUUCUGAACUGCAAUGGCUACAAUAUCUCUUAACAGAUCUGCAUAUCUCAUGCCCAACUCCUUACUCUGUCUACUGUGACAAUAAUUCUAACAUUCACAUUGCCAAGAAUCCCACAUUUCAUGAGAGAACCAAGCAUAUAGAUAUCGACUGCCACAUGACUAGACAAAAGCUUCAAGAUGGUCUUAUAAAGCUUCUUCAUGUUCCUUCACACAACUAACUUGCAGAUGUUUUCACCAAGUCUCUUUACUCUUCUCCCUUUCAUAUUAUUAUUUCCAAGCUCAACAUGCAUAAUAUCCAUGUUCAGUUUGAGGGAGGGUGAUAAAGAUAUUUUCUUUGAUUUUUACUGGACGGUUCCUUAAUAGAGAUAUUUUCUUUGUUGUUACCAGACGAUUCCUUAAUAGAGAUAUUUUCUCUAUUACCGGACGGUUCCUUAAUAGAGAUAUUUUCUCUGUUGUUGCCGAACAGUUCCUUUAUUGUUAUUUAGUUGCCGAAAGCUGAUACUUAUCGUAUAGUUGCUGUUAGAGUGACCACCGAACGACCCGUUCGGUCCUACCGAACGAUCCGUUCGGUCCUAGUGAUUUUUUAGUUUUUUUGUUGUUUCUUCUUUUCUCCUUUUAUAUAAAUUCCUUUCUUUCGUUGUACUAAAUAUUAUUAUCCUAUCAAUAAUAUUCAUUCAUAGUUUUUCUGCUUUCUGGAAUUCUCGUUUCUCUCUUUCAAACACACUUACAAUUGACAUGUAGAUAUCCAUCUUAAACUCAAAAGAGUCCCAUGCAAAUAAUUUUUUCACACAUACAAACAUCUCACAAAUUAAUUUCAAAAAAAGUAAAAUCUGAACAUACCUUUAUUUAGAUCUUGAUCGGACAUGAUGAUUGUCCUCUACACAAAACUUCUAUUGUAUACUUUGAUUUUCAAGUAAAUGGAUAAAAAGAAGUCUAUAGUGAUAAAAAAGAGAAAAAAAUUAUAAAAAAUAAAAUUUUUUAUAAAAUGAAAUUUGAUUAAUCAAUUUUUUAUUUAAUAUUCUAAAUUUUUAAUAAUAAAAUAAUUGAAUUUUACAUAUAAUAUUACCUUGUUCAACGAUCCAACCACCAUAAGCUUUCUGGAUUUUUGUAAAACAUUUUUUUACUUAGUUACAAUAUCUUAUAAACUCGUCUAACAAAUGUAUCAUUUGAAGAUCUCUUCAUGAUUUUAAAUUGUCACUAUUGCUCAGUGAGUAGUGACUUGUCUAGCAAGUAUAGAAUGUAACAAAUAUCGUAUGCUCUACUUAGAAAACUAAUAGACAUAUCAAUUUGACAUUAUUAGGUUCCACUUACGUUUUUCUCUCUUAACAAUUAAAAAGGUAUCUUUUAGUUUUAAGAUAAAUUAACUCAAAUCAUUAAUUUUAAACUCACAUACUCAUCUUAUUAUUUAGAGCUUCUUUUACGUAAUCAUAAAAACAUGCCUAAUAUCUAUCAACUUAACCUAUUCAAUUAAAAAUUUUACUUCAUAUAAAACAAAUUAUCUUAGUUGCUAUAUUUUAAGGAUUUAAGCUUGCUCAACAAAACACUUUAUAUCUCAUUUUUAACCAAAAAAAAAAAAAACCCUCAACCACACUUAGUGACUUAAUUUACUCAAAACAUUCACAAAAUAACAAAUAACUAACAUACACGUAUAUGAUUCAAACAACUUUUCAACUCAUCAUACCUUAUAACUUAAAUUUAUCCACACAACAAAUAUCAAUUAAUUCCAUAAAAAAAUAAAAUAGUUUAUUUAAUUAUAUUUUAGUGAUUUAACUCUCACAAGAUAUUCUAUCUAAAAAAGAAAGUAAAGUUCAUGUCAAUGAUGUAAAAUUGUCCUAAUAAUCAUUGACAUGUAAAUAUUUAUCUUAAACUUAGAAGAGUUACAUACAAACAAUUUUUCUACACAUGCAAACCUCUAAAAUUGAUUUGAGGAAAAGUAAAAUAUGAAUUUACACUUAUUCAGAUUUUGAUCCAAAAAGACGAUUGUCCUUUCUAUCAAAACUUCUAUUGUGCAAUUUGAUUUUCAAGUAAAUGGAUAAAACGAAAGAUGUGUAGAAUCACAAAAUAAAGGAAAAAAUAAAUUAUGAAAAAAAUAAUAAAUUUUGUAAAAUAAAUUUGAUUAAAUCAGUUUUCUAUUUAAUAAUAAAAUAGUUGAAUUUACUUAUAAUAAUAUACUUUUAGACAUUUUCCGGUCCUUACAAUUAAUUACAAUAUUUUUCUGUAAUUAUAUUACAAUUAUCUCUUACAUGUGGUUGUUAAGAUUUUUGUGAAUCUUGAGUAAUGUGUUCCACAAGUUUUGGUAGAUGGUAGGUGAUAUGAUUAUGAAUUGUGUCAUUAAUGAAUUAUUUUAUUUGUAGACAAAGAAGCAAAUCAAUUCGUACUAUAAAGUAAAUUGCUAUCAUUGCUAGAAGUCAAAACCCAUCAAUAAUACUUAGUAAUGGAAGUAAUUAAGCAUAUAAAAGUUUUUUUAUAUAUUUUUGUUGCAACAAGUGUUUCACAAAUUUUUAGAUCAGUCUAGGUUAAAAUCAUUUAUCAAAAUAAUUUAUUAUCAAGCAUAAUCUUAGAAUGUAAUGUGCUCAAUUGGAUUUUUGAGUAUUUUCUAAAAUUUUCCCUGCAUUAAAGAAAUACCGUUAAACGAAAAAUAAAUCCAUUUAGUACUUUUAACUGUAAAAAGUUCAAUUAUCAAAUUUCACAAUUAAAAACCGAUCAAAAUAAGAAAUUUUUGAAAAAAAUCGUUUCUUUUGGAUAAUCUUCUGACAUUUUCAAAAUAAUGGAAAUGAAAAAAGCAGUAUUUUUAUGUCAACUUCCUAUGUCAACGUGUAGAUUUAUUUUUUAAUCAUAUAGUUUAGACUUUCCUUUUUUAUUUUAUUUGUUUUAAAAUUUAUAAAGUAUUUUUUAAAAAAUUUAAAUUAAUCAAACAUAACUUUUUGAUAUAUUUAAUUAAUAGUAACAUGUUUUAUUAUAACAUUGUUGAAAGCGAAUUCUUAAAAAUGAAACAUCACAGAAUGCCAGUUAGAAGUAACAUAUGUCAUAAUAAUGACAACCUGAUCAGUUUCUCAGGAGGUCCAAAAAAUAAAUAAGUGAAAAGUGUGGGGUGCUACCCAGAAAUUCAAGAGAAUGAAGAUGCGCAAUACAAUUUCGUAAAGUAAAGGCCUUUAGUUGGAAUUUCCUUCCGAAGUUGAAAACCGAGCAAUGGCAUUAUGGCAGGGACAAAAUGGUAAAUCUAAAGGCUUGUCGAAAUCUUAAUUUUAGCUAGCUUUGUUGAGGAGGGAACAAGAACUGAAACAUUCAAAACACGUGUGAACUGUUUCUUUUAACGUGGAUUUGUUGUAAGCACUGAAAAGCUCACCUUCGUUGUCUCAGGGAAAUGGCGUCAUUGAAACUGCCAGAGGUUGUUCCUUCUCCUACCCAAGACAGUGAAAGACUCAGAAAGGCUUUCCAAGGUUUCUCUCUACCUUUGUCUCAAAACAUUGAAAGAAAAACAAGUGUUAAAGCUGAAGAAAUUUGAAAAAACGAAUUUUGUCAUGAUCCAAUUGAUGCAAGAAUUUAGGAAGAAAAAUUGUUUGAAAAAAUAUCAAAUUUUGCAGUUUUUAAAUUUUGGGCUGAUGGGUUUUCCGCAGACAUGAUUUUGUCUGCAAUUGUGCGAGUUUCUUGGGUUUUCUAUCGUCCCAAUGGAGUCAAAUGUUUGAGUUUAUGACAAAGUUUUAUACUUUGAGAAUCUUUUUCCUGCAUCUAUAAUGUAUAUAUAAUGAACCAUUAUUAACAUUUUCUCUUAGCCUUCAUCUCUCAUUUCUAAUACGAUAUCAGAGCAUCAGGCCUGAACUUUUUCCAGCACAGUCUUUGUCACUGGAAAUUUGGUGCAGGAUUUGAUAUUAGAAGCUUUAUGAUGAUUGUGGGAAAUUUGGUGCAGGAUUUGGGACAGAUGAGAGAGCACUGAUACUGGUAUUGGGACACAGGAAUGCUCAACAAAGGAAGGAAAUUGCAGAAACUUAUAAGCAGCUUUACAAUGAAUCACUGAUUGAUCGUCUCCAUUCAGAAUUGUCUGGUGAUUUUAGAGUAUGUCAUGGUUUCUGCACUUGGUUGUUGGCUUUUAAGAAAAUAGUUCUUCGUCAUGAUGUUUUUUUUACUGGCGUAUGUGAUAGAAUUCAAUUGAAAAUAUUGGAUUGCAUUUUUUUUUUAACUUUGUAGAUUUCUGGAUUACCUGAAUGCCUUUUCAUUUUUUCAAUUUUUUCUCUUGAAAACGAGCUUAAAGUCACAUAAGUUUAUGUCUGCUGUCAUGGAUUGAUACGUUGUUUUUCAAAAGGAACAGAUGUUCUGAAGAGAGAAUAUGCCAUAUAUGAUUCAAUCUUACUAUAGUUUGGACAUGAUAUUGAUAUUUGCAGUAACAAUUUUAUAGGGCUUUUGUCCAUGGAUAAAGUUGACUUUAUUGUUGAACUUCGAUCAUAUUCCAAAAUCAUGCCAUUUUCUUUAAGUGAUAAUGUGAUCUAUGACUGACACUUGUGAUGAGUGACAGAAUGCUAUAAUUCUUUGGACUUACGACCCUCCAGAAAGGCACGCAAGACUAGCAAACAGUGCAUUGAAAGCUAAGAAAAAGGGGAUUAAACAACUUCAGGUUCUGGUUGAAAUAACAUGUGCUUCAACUCCUAACCAUUUGGUGGCUGUGAGACAGGCUUAUUGCUCUCUCUUUGAUUCUUCACUCGAGGAAGACAUUAUUGCCAAUGUUGCUGCACCUCUCACAAAGGUAAGAACAUGGAAGUUUCGUCGACACACAGAACAAAAACAUUUACCUGAGUUUGUCUAGUCAGGCUCAAGUGUGCAUCUAGUAAGAAGUAGCUGUUUCUUAGGUAAAAUAGAAGUAGCUGUUCCCUGAAUCUCAGUUUAAGGUUCAAGUUGUUAGAGAUCCCACAUCGCCUAAAGAUAAAAUAGAUUUAUAGUACAUAAUUGAAUGCAGACCUUACCUUCAAAACUGAUUUUGAAAUUGAAUUACUUAAAGUCUACUGCUUAACAUAGUAUUAUAGAAACAAUUAAUUAGUUUAUUUUCAAGCGGAAUUUUGUUAUAUUAAGUUAUGAUAUGAGGAUGAAGAUACAAAGAAAAAAUAAAAUUGAUGGUGGAAGUGGGGAAGGACCAAAAAUUAAGUUUCAAACUGUUAGUUUUUAUGCAGUUGAUAUCAUUCAUGAAGAAAACUCAAAGACAAUGAACAUGGUUCAAAGCUGAAAGCUGAGGUUUGAAUUGUCAGAGUUAAUAAUUAGAAAUUCAGUUUCUUAAGAAUAUGAACUCUUUGAGAAAGCUACUAGAGUCAGAAUGUAAUGUUGCAUUAAUGACUCGCUUCACUAUCACAUUUAAUUUCCAAUUUGUUCUAUGGUUUGUUUUCUCUGGAAAAGUGAUUGCAUAAUGCUGUUUUACAGCUUUUAGUGAGCCUGGUAAGCUCAUAUAGAUAUGAUAAAGUUGCUGUAAAUUUGGAGGUUGCCAAGUCAGAGGCAUCAAAACUGCAUGAAGCUAUCAACAACAAAAAAUUAGAUGAUGAUCAUGUUGUAUGGACACUUAGCACCAGGAAUCUUUUCCAGCUUCGGGAAACUUUUGCAUGCUACAACAACCUCUAUGGGAAUACAUUGAAACAGGUUUUGCUUUCAAAUUUUCUGUUCUUGUUAAGAUUUUGAUUUUUUUUCCACUGACAUUGCAACUGAUCUAUAUCUUGUCACUUGUUGAAACAAGUAUACUUUUUCACCUUAAGUGAAAACAUUAGCUACUACAAUGUAUCUUGGUAAUUAACAGUUUAGAAAAUUUCACUGAUAUUGGAUUAUUUUCUUGACAGGGCAUAAAAAGUUGUGGUAAUGGUGAUUUGGAAGCUCUCUUACAACUGGUAAUAUUGUGUAUAGAUUCCCCUGAGAAACAUUUUGCAAAGGUAAACGCUAAUUUCUUCUACUAAGCAGUGUCUUAUUAAAUUAACACAUUAUUAUCUUGAAACUUCAAAUGCUAAAGCUUUACCACAAAAUCAGAAUAAUCUCACCUAAUCAGAUACUACAUAUAUUUUUCUUCUCAGACCCUUUCCAUUGUCAGUGUUUAAUUUUCAAACCAAGUUCAAGUUUAUCUGCAAUCUAAACUGUUGGAAGUCUCACAUUAACUAGAGAUAAGACUAAUUCAUAAUAUAUAAGUGGAUGCAAAUCUUACCUUACAAGCUAGUUUUGUGAGGAUGAAUGAGACUUAAAGUCCACUUUUAAUAUCAAGAGUGCUUGCUGCAUAGACAUUCAAGUGACUUGUGAAGUUCUUAGACAAUUAUUGUAUAAAUGUAUCAUUCAUUUUGAGAAUACUGAAAAGCAAGAAUUGAUUCUAAUCUCAUUGUUUUUGGCUUUUAUGCACUAAAAGGUGAUAAGAGAUUCAAUUGUUGGUCUUGGAACCGAUGAAGAUUCACUGAGCAGAGCUAUCGUAACUCGAGCAGAAGUUGAUCUGUUGAAAGUAAGAUUUGAAUAUUAUAACAUGUUCAAGACCAAUCUUGAUGAUGAUGUUACAGGGGACACCUCAGGGGACUACAAAGAUUUUUUGAUGACUUUGUUAGGGAGAGGUCCAGAAGGAGAGUGAUACUUUAUAACUACCAACAAACACUUGUCUUAUAAUCGUAUUAUUCUAUGAUUGAUUGUAUGAUUCUAGGAUGAUAUAUAUAUUUACGUUCAUUUGACACAGGUAAAAUAAUUAUAAUGAAGUAAAGUUUAAUAUUUUUUGUAAGAAAAAAAAAGUAAAGAACGAUAAUAUUAAAUGAAUGUAGAAAAUUUAUGUGUCAAAAUAUUAUUUAAAUUUCUUCUUUGGAAACUUCUUCGUUUGAUUUGUUAAAUUGUGGUUGUUUUUCUUCAAUGUGGUUCAAACUAUAACCAUUUCGUCAAGUUUAGAUAGUGAUAGUGUUUGUUUGAUAUGAAAGUUUUUACUAUUGGGAGAAAAUAUUUUACAUUACUUUUAUAAAAUGAAAUAACAUUAUUUUUUAUAUUAAUUUAAAAAUAAAUAAAAAACAGAUUUUAUUCUUGUUUCUUUUAAUGAUUCUCAAUCAUCAAUUUCAAAAUAUACAUAUUUAUUGAAAAAAAAAAUUCUUCUGAAUUGGAGUUUCAGGAAUGUUAGUUUUGACUCUAGAAAGCACGUUCCAAAAUAAUGAUAUUAGUAUUUUAGAUUGAAUAUUCCAAAAAUUUUAGAUUUUGAUCUCUCUGUUUUUACUAUUGGGUGCUUAUAGUAAUUCGGAGAUGGUAGGAAGCAAAAGCCAUAGCCACAUUUGUGAAAAUCCAAAACUCUAAGGUCCAAAUGAUAAAGCAAGCCAACAAGGGUUACUCCUACACCACCCCACCCCAGGUCGCAUCACUACAUUUUUUAAAAAUUCCAAAAUUAUCUUUAUAUUUAAAAAAUCUUACACUCGUAUUUUUUUUUAAUGGAUUUUAAAAUUUAUUGAAAAAAAAUUUCACAGAUUUCGACAUUUGUUAAAAGAUUUUUAAAUUUUUAACGAAUUAUUAAAAAAAAUUUCUUUCAACAGACAUUGAAAUUUGUUAAAAUUUUUUUGAAAAUAAAUUUUAAAAUCCGUUGAAGAAGGAUACUUUUAGUAUCUACUAAUACAUGAAGCAAUGUAGAAUGGUGUAACCUCCACGCUAACAAGCAACAUUAUUUCGUGAUGUUUUCCGCAACUUAUGGGUUAUGAAAAAAAUUCAAAAAUAUCUAUAAAUAUUGUUUGAUAAAAAAUGUUAUGACACCAACAAAAGGAAAAGAUUUUUGAAUUGUACAAUUUAGAUGUAUUUAUAACAAUUUCUUUAUAAAUCUUAACUAAACAAUUUAAAAUGUAUUUUUUAAUUGAGUGUUAUAAAUUGUUCGAAGAUGGAGUGUUCAAGAAAUUAUUUUAAUUUUUUAAUUUUAAUUAUUUCUACUAAUGAUGGACCCAUUUUACACUUAUUUAUACAUAUCUUGUUCAUGUAUUCAUAUUUUUAUUUGAGAAGAUUAAUGUUAUUUUUAUUGCUAAAUAUAUUAAAUUAUUAAAUAUUUCACACAGAUAUAUUAUUUUUAUUUUUAAUUAUUUGUUGUAAUUUUUUAUUUAUAUUUUAAACUUAGUUCAUGUUUAUUGUAUUAUAAAUAAUAUAUUCUAUGAAUAUCUUCAACAUAAAGAAGAAUUAAUCCUAUACAUAAAUUUUAUAAUAUUAUAUAUAAUUUUUACUAUAUUGAUUAUUUAUGCAUCCAAUUAUUAUUAUUUUUUCAAAUGUACCACAUUCUUAAAUUUAACAAAUCUCUAGAGUUCAUAUGAUUGUACUUUUCUUUAUGUUAGGUUUGUAGAUAUGAAUGCUUCAUAAACUCUGUCCCAUCUUUGAAGUUUCUUUCACAUAUCCUUUUUUCCAAAGUUUUCUAAGAAAUGAAGAAAAUAAUAAUAACUAGAAAUGCAUUUUGUUAUUUAAUUACAAGUAAUAUAUAUUUUAGGUACAUCCACCUGGAUGAAGUCUGAUCUUUAUUAAAAAUGGCAAAAGCCAGUUUGAUCAUGUAAUGAAAAAAGAAGAUUUAAAAUUUAGAAUUAGUGUAUAUUUAUUUGUUAGAAGUGUUGAUGAAAAAGCAAGAUGUUAUUAAUGUUGGAAGAGAAAUGCACCUCCCAUACAGUUUAGUGGUUUUGAAUGAGAAGUGAUUGAAAGUGAGAGAGAUGGUACAUCACUUUCUUUCCAACCUGGAAUUCUCAGAAUGCCACAUGCUUCAUCUCAUCUCACUUUUAAUGUAUGCCAUACCACAAUCUGCUUUUUCACUUCAUUCAUCUUCUUCUUCUCUUUCUCAUAUCAACCUUCUUACAUUUAUAUAUAGCUCAUUUUUUCACCUCACAGUCACAAGUGUUCAAUGAAACAAAAGUAAACUUUUUUUUUUCUUUUUCUUCAUCUUUUUCUUACGUGUUUAUAGGGUUAUCCUAUGUUAAAAAAACAUCAUUCUUAAUUGCAUUAUGUGGUUCAGUUUUAUAUCUUACAUACACACCUUAAAGGAAUAAUGAAAUUAUUUUUGUUAAUGGUAUAUUUUUUAACAUUAUAAACUUUAACGUUUCAAAUAUGUUCGACAUUUCAAAAUUUAUUAUAUGAGAAUUUAUUAAAAAAUAAAAUAAAAAAAUAAAUAAAAGUACAUCAUAUUUAAAAUAAAAUUUACACUUUGCGAAUCAUAAACAAAAUAUAUAUAUUAUGAAAAAAUUUAAAUAAAUAUGAAAAAACAUAACAAGAAACUCUAAAAUCCAUAUACUUAGAACAUGUAAACAUCAUCGCAUUCAUAGCACACACUCAUUCAUAGUUAGAAAUAUAAUAUUGAAAUCUAAAUCUUUGUUUUAAAUACGAAAGUUUAGGUCCACAAUUUAAAACCAUGCACAAAGGUUUUAUUUUAAGGUAUUAAUCACUUUGGUAUAUAGGAUGGCAAAAAAAUCCACGGGCAUAGAUAUCCGUGGGUAAAAUCCAUAGCAGGUAAUUACUACUUGCGAAUAUUUACUAUCCACGGAUAAUGGGUAACAGAUAUUUUAAUAUCCACUUUUAAACAAGUCGGAUACGGGUAGUAUACUACCCGACCUAUGGGUACCCAUUAUCUACAAAAAAUAAUAAUAAAAUAAUAAUUUAUAUAUAUUUCUAAUUAAAGAUAAAAUAAAAUUAUAUUUUAUUAGGUUAAAUUUAAUUAAAAUUAAAUUUUAUAUUUAAUUUAAUUUAUAUUAUAUUAUAUAUAUCUUUUGUAAUUUUAUUUAAAUUUUAUUUUAAAAUGUAUAAAAUAUAUUUUUUUUAUUUUUUGCGGGUAUCCGCUGGUACCGCGAGUUUUAAAAUACCCAUAGGUAUUUUUUAAACGGGUACCCUACAAGUAGCAGUCGGAUAACGGAUAGGAUUUUAUCUAGCGGAUCGGGUUGCGGAUAGACACUAUUCAUGCCUGACCCGACCCAGUUGCCAUCCCUAUUGGUAUCUCAGAUGAUACAGUUUUAAAAGUAAAUUAAGUGAGUUAUUAUCGGAAAAACAUAUACAUAAAUUAUUCUUGAUUUCAAAUAAUUUUAAGAGAUUUGUAGAUGUAUUGAGAUAGGAUAAAAAAAUUUAAGGGAUAGAGGGAUUACUUUUGAAAUAUCUUUUUUGUGUUUCAUUUUCAUUUUUUUUUAACAAGUAUUCGGAUUAAAAAAAAUUGAGAGAUAGAAGGAUUACUUUUGAACCUCUCUUUUAGUGUUUCACUUAUUUAUUUAUUUAUUUAUUUUAACUUUCAACAAAUAAGUGGUAGCUCAACUUCAAAGAAUCCAAAACUAGGAAAAUAAUAAAAACUACACUUCUUCAUAUCUUAGAUAAACACAACUCUUUUUUUUUUCUGUUAAGAAAGAAAAAAAUAGUAGGCAUUCUUAUAUAAAAAGAAGCAUAUCCAUUGUUUGAAUAUGAUUUAAACAAUAAUUUCGUCCCACUAUUAAAUUAAAUGACCAAACUUAAUUAAGUAGAAUAAGGAUCUUAAUUACUACUAUAAGUGUUUCAAUAUUUAAUUCGAUGUACAUAUCAUAAUAAUACUAUCACCUAAUUCAAUGGUUAAUUUUUUAGUAGUUAUCCUACAUUAAUAAUCUAAACAUGAAAAUAAAAAAAAUAAACAAAUUUAACGCAAAAAAGGAUAUAUGAUAUUCAGGAGGUGGGAGAAAGAAGAAAAAGAUUAUUUUCUAAUAAACUUGCAAUGUUCGUCUUAAAUUGUACAAUUUUUGUUUUCUGAGACUCUAUCAAUUAAUCCAAGUUGAUUGAACUGAUAUUAAUUUAAUGUUGAUAUUAAAUCUAUACAUAAUUUGUACUAUUUCUCUUUUCACUUAGCAUCUAAUUAAUUAAUUAAUCAAAUCAUAGGUUAUGUAAUAUUUUAUUACCCAUGCUCCUCAAUCCUAACAAGAAUGAAAAAUAUCUACUUUUUAGUAUUUACUAUAUUUUAUUAAAAAUGAUUAACAGAAAAAAUAAUUAAAAAACUUAUAAAAGGAACAAAUAUUUUAUUAAUUAAGGGUCAUAUAUUCUUACAUAUAUACAUAAGAGGCAGUAUUUGUACCUUUUGUCAUGUUCUUUCAUUAAAUUUACUAUUUGAAAAGAAAUAAAUGACUUAGUUAAAUGAUUUUUGAACUUUUAGUAAUAUUACCAAUUGAAGAACAUUAAUUCAUGACAAAGAAUUGUCCUCCAUUUCAUUACCAAGAAAAGACGUACAUCAAUGUUGUUCUAUUUUCUUUUCAUAUGCUAAGAAAUUCUAAAGCUUCCCUAGUUGGAUGCAAAAAUAUUCUUCUAAAACCCCAAUAUAUGAAAAACCAACCUAAUUUAUGAGGCUCAUUUAUUAGAGCGAACAACGAUCAUACAUUCUCAGCUACAAAAACGGUGUUAAACUCUAAAAUCUUGAACACACUCCCAACUACCAAUAAUGUUCACUAACUAAAUCUAAACUCUCACAUUCACACACAAAAAUGCAGUUCAAUACUUAAUGCACAAUGUCAAUUCCUUUAUACAAUCUAAUCAGUCACCUGAGUUUUAAACUUAAUUCAACCCUACAAAACUGGUUUGUAAGAUGAGUUUGUACUGAUAUUAUAUUAGAAAGAGAGUUUUAAUUUAAGCUUAAGUCAACUCCACAAAAUCGGUCUGUGAGAUAAGGUUUACACCUCACUUGUAUAAUAUAAAUUGGUCUUAUCUCUAGUCGAUAUAGAACUUUGAAGAAUUCAUGAUUAGUCUUCUUGAAAACCUAAUCAGUCACUUUAUUAGGGUUUCUUUCUCAACCACAUUUUCUCAUGAUCUUGUCUGAAGAGAUAAAAGUCAAAUCAACAACAUUGUUGGAUUGUUAUUGCAGCAGGCUAAUCACAGAUGUGAAAAAGUAGUAAAUAAUAGUCAUUUAAUGCAGAGUGAAACCAAACCAGGUAUUAUAAAUAAUGAAGGUAUGGGGCAAGUGUAACUCAAGCCUUCACACCAUUUUCCAUUUUCAGCAUUCAUUGGCACAAGGUGGUGUGGCUCAAUGGGAAAACAUUCUCUUCUAAACGCGAUUUUGCAUUUUGGGCUUGUCAUCACCUUCUGCUAUGCUGUGGCUGCUGCAGCAACAACUCAAGUUUCAGGUUUCUGGUUUUUCCUUUUCAGUAAUAAUAUUCAUAACCAUCAUACGAACAAUUGUUUUUAUCGAGUUUAAGAUUAAAAAUCUUUGGAAUAAACCGACUUGAUUGUUAUUGUGUAAUCGAAUUUCAAAUUACCACGAAAGAAAGUUCAUCGAAAAUUCUGGUAAAAAAUCUAUUAAGGUCAAAGAGUUUUUGUAGAUGAACUUUUCGAUUCAAAACUCGAUCACACAUCAACAAUUAAGUUAAUCUAUUUCAAAGAUUGAUCAUUCAAAUCCGGUAAGAACAAUAAUAAUUGUCAUUGUAAUAAGUUUGUUUUUAAUUUUUAUGUGGAUAAUAUCCAUUCUUAAUUUUCUCAUGAAUAAUUUUAAACUUUUGCUGAUAAUCCUUCUACUUUCUUUGUAUGACAAAUGUUAAUCAAUAUUUACCGGUUAAAAGAUCAAACGAGAAAGUCUUUUUAUUAAAAAAAGUGUUAUAGUAUUAGAUUAUCAUGUUAAUCUUAAUGUAGAAUAAAUACAUUUUAUAUUCUAGACAUCAGAUAUAUUACCUUUUCUUUUUUUUACAAAGUAAUUGCUUUUUUUAUAUCUACAUUGAGCAAAUGAAAAUUAAAACUACUAAAUACAUUUCCUUUGACUGAUAUUAUAUUCAUUAUUGUCACCAUUCAAUUUAAUUUUGCACCCGAAUGCAUGUGAUCAUAGAGAAAAACAGGUCCUACUUACACUUUUUCUUUUAUAACAUUUUACAGAUUCAUUUUUUCUUUCUUUCUUCUAUCUCUCUUUAUCAUACUUAAUUAAUUUAUACAUGUACUAAUCUUGUUUACUUUGUGUUAUAAAUUUAAUCAUAUAGUUCCUGAAUGAUUUUUUUAAUCUAUUAAUUAUUUUAUCACUAAUUAUAUCAUGUGACUUCAUUGAAUAUUUAAUGUAUUUUAUUCACCCACCUAUAUGAAAUUUAAAUUGAUUAUUUCAUAAAUAUUAUCCCUGUUAAUUAAUUUUCUCAUGUUCUUCUGCAUUUUUCUUAUAUAUCAGGAACUGAAGUUAACACAAAUGGGAAACUUGAAACUGAAGAGCUGACAAAAACAACCCUAAAUGAAAACUAUGAAGAGGAAAAGUUCCUUUUUCACCAUCACAAACCAUUAUUCAAGAAACCUUUUUUUAAACCUGUUCCGGUUUAUAAGCCUAAACCAGUUCCAGUCCCGGUUUUCAAGCCUCAUCCUAAACCAGUUCCGGUUUUCAAGCCUAAACCAGUCCCAGUUCCGGUUUACAAGCCUCAUCCUAAACCAGUUCCGGUUUACAAGCCUAAACCAGUUCCGGUUUAUAAGCCUAAACCAGUUCCGGUUCCUGUUUUCAAGCCUCAUCCUAAACCAGUUCCGGUUUACAAGCCUAAACCAGUUCCGGUUCCGGUUUACAAGCCUCAUCCUAAACCAGUUCCGGUUUACAAGCNCCUAAACCAGUUCCGGUUUACAAGCCUAAACCAGUUCCGGUUCCGGUUUACAAGCCUCAUCCUAAACCAGUUCCGGUUUACAAGCCUAAACCAGUCCCAGUUCCGGUUUACAAGCCAAUUCCAGUUUUCAAACCAGUUCCAGUUCCAACACCAUUUCCAGUGAUUAAGCCAAUUCCAAAACAUGUACCAUUUUAUAAGCCAAUUCCUGUUUUCAAGCCAGUUCCAACACCAUUUCCUAUCAUCAAGCCUGUGCCAAAACCAGUUCCUUUUGUUAAACCUAUUCCAUUUUUCAAACCUAUUCCAAAACACAUCCCUUGAAAACCAUUGUCAUGAUUUUUUAUGCUUUCAAAAACCCUAGUUUAUAAGUUUCCACUUCAACCCAAAUUUGAGAAACCACACCGCAUAAGAUUAUAUAGAAUCUUAAUUCUAUGAAACAAUGUCAUGGUUAGAAAAUGUUAUCCAUUCUAUUAUUUCCAUUAUGGUCACGCCUGUUCUAAGAAAUCAAUGGCGUUUCUGUAAAAACCCUAUCCCACCCAUGUUGUGCAGUGUGCUAGAAUAUUAUAUGCAGUAAAUGCAUUUGUUUCAAUAAUGUUGUAUAUCAGCUAUCUGUAUUAUUCCAAGAAUAGAAAUAAUAUGUUUCUCUAUUUUUGGCUUACAUGAUGUUUGUAUUUCCUUUUCAUAUUUUUUGUGAUUCCCUUUUCAGCUUGAUCACCUGCCAUUAAAAAAUUGCAGCAAUCCAUAAUUUUAACACUUUCAAAUUAAACUAAAUUUUUAUUUUUUCCACAAAAAAGAAUAAAAAAUAAAUAAAGCAUGAUACUUGUAAAAUUAAAUUAACUUAAUAAUUUGUUAAUUUAAAAUUAUAUUAUAUUAACUUUAAGGUUUGGAUAUCGGUUUAUAACUUCACUCUCUAAUCGUUUUGAAAAUGCAGAGUAAUCAAAUGCUUUCUUUAUGAUAUGUGUUGAAGGUUAAAAAAAAAAGUUAUGUCUAGGUUAGGUAAUGCAGAAUGAAAUAUGCUCGCAUGCACAUAGAGUAUGUAAAUCUAAAACAUUUGUAUAAUUCAUAAUAUCUUUGGAUGCACAAUAUAUUUUUUUUUUGCUUUUGUUUUUAAAUAUAUAAUGGCAUCAAUGAUGAAGAAAUUCUUGGUCAAUUAUACAGAAAAUUUUCUAUUAUCAUCUAUAUCUAAAUAGUUUUUUUAAUAAGCACAUGAAAUAUAUUUCACAACGUAUUCAACAAAUAAUAAAGUACUCAUACACUCAUAUGCUUGAUUUCAAUGAAUUAAAUUUGUUUAUCUUUUACAAUCUAUCAUACAUAAAUAGAUAGAUUUAGAAUGAUCUACAUAGAUAGAUAUAUUCUCUGUAAUUUAUGUAUUUACUUUUUAAUGUACAGGAUUGAAACACCUCAAAUGAUUAUUUAAAUUCACGUCCAACAUUAUAAACUACAAAGAUAUUAAAAAUAAAUAGUAACAAAAGUCACUUUAAAAAUAAGUUAUAUAUAAGAAGUGGGGUAGAGAUUAAUUAAUAUGAAAAUGUCUACCGAAUGCUUUUCUUCCAUUCAUAAUUUUUUUGGAUGAUAAAACAAACCAAAUAAUUUUAGUGGCCAAAAAUCACAUUCACAAUCACUUAUGAGAUUCGAGACGAGCUUAAAUUAAGAGCAGCUAAAGGAAAAAUCCAUUUUUUAUUUAUUAAACUAAAUAAAUAGUUUAUAUUCUAAUUAGGUAUUUAUGCUUGCCUCUCAUUGAAUAAUAUCACAACAAUGUUUUUCGUACGUUGAUUAUUUUCAAUAAUAUCAUGUAGACAAUGGUUUUUCUAUUACUGCACUUUGACAACUUCAAGUUAAUUUGAUAUAGUGUAUAUUUGACAACAUUUCAAAACAUAACAUAGUAAUUUUCUAUACUUGUUGUUGUUAAUUUAAUGAGCUUUACUAUCCUUUAAUUUUAACUUUAUUUGCAUAAAUAAAUCUGUAGAAUUUUAAUAUUUUAAUUUUGAUAUAUUUAAAUUAUAAAUUAUAUAUAAAUACAUUAGAAACAUAAUGAAUCUUGACAUUUGUUUUAGUAGACUUACACCUUCAAAGUUUAACAAUGACAACACUUAUUGUCAUUGUACUUUUUCUAAAUGAAAAAUUAAAAUAAAAAAUAGUUUAAAAUAUUAAUUCUUUAUAUUAUUUUAUUUGAAAAGUGUACAUAUAAAAUAUUAUUAUAAUUUAAAUUGUUAAUAUUUACUAAUUGAAUUUUAUUUAUUAGUUAUAGUAAAAUAAUUUAAUGUGUGAAAAUAAUAAUUCUUUUGAUUAGAGAUGUAAAUUAAUUAAUUAAAAAUUAAAAAAAAAAGAUAAUUAAAAGUAUAUAAAUUAAAAUAAAAAAAUAACAUUUAAAGAAAAAAGUCAACUAAAUUUUUUAAGCCAUCUAACUAUAUGAUAGUGAAGUCCCUCCUACUUCAUUACUCUCUACUAAACUAAUUGAUUAAAAGAAAAUUAUAAACACACAAUCUUCAUAUUUUUACACUUUUAUAAGAUCUAAUUUUAACUUAUUUUAUUUUUUAAAAUGAAAAUAUCCUUUUUAUUAUUGUUGAAUAAGUAUCGUUUCACUUUUUCCUCCUUCUCCUACUCCUUUUUAUCAUCCAUCUAUCUUUAAUAUAUAGAAAAACUAUCAUAUAAUAACUUGAUAGAAAAUCAAUUAUUUUACCGAUAAAUUUAUCAAAGAAAUUUUUUUUUAUCAGUGAUGCAAAUUAGAAAAUUAUCAAUGAAAAUAUAAAUUAUAAUUUAUUAACAGAUUUUAUUAAUAAAUUUAUUACUGAUAAAAAUAUCUAUCAAUAAUUUAAAUUCUAAAUCCUAUCAGUAAAUUUAUAUUCACCAUAAAUUUAUUUUUAUGAGUAGAAAGUAAAAAUUAAUCCAUAGUUACAAAAUUUCUUAUAAUGAAACUAUAAUAGAAAAUUAAAACAUAUUUAUGAUAUUCACCACAGUAAUAAUCCUAAAUUAUUGUCUUCCAUUUUGUAAACAAAUCAUCGUAAAACUUGUUUUCUCUUAGCAAAAUCGCAACUUCCCAAAAAAUUCCAUUCUAUAAAAAAAAAAACCAUGUUCUUCAUAUACUUUUGAUGUAUUUUUGCACUCCUAUUAUUUUGCAACAUAUUUAUAAAGUAUCAACCCCAUCAAAUGUGAAAAAAUUAAGACUGUCAGUAAAGAAAAGAAUAAAAUUUAAGAACCCUAAAUGAAAAUGACAAAUUGAGACCAAGGGUGAUGCUCCAUUGUGUAAAGGAUAUUUAAUGCACGCAUUUUUUUCUCUUGACUUUUGCUUUUAUAAAGUAUAUAAUAAAUAACGCAUUUUGGAGGGCAUGAAGUGCAUUUAGAUUUAAUUUAUCUUUAUUGUGUUAAUAAUUUCAACAAAGUUCUCUGUACAUGGUACGAACUCGAUUCUACAUAAAAAUACCACUUUGAUAUGUAAAUGGAAAUGGCAAACAAUUUAAGUACAUAAUAUGUAAAUCAGUCAGAGUAUUUUAAGUUUUCUAUUAUAUAUAUAUAUAUAUAUAUAUUUUUUUUUUUUUUUUUUUUUCUAAUAAGUUAAGGUACGUAUAUUGCAUUAGUGGAUUGGGCUGUGUUAACUUGAAAAAAAUUAAAAUACUUAACUCCAUAAAACAAUGAAUAAAAUAAUAAGUUGAUCCAAACACUUAAAAUAUUUCUACUGAUUCUCUCUUUUGAAUAUAUUUUAUUUUCAAUUUAAUCUUUUAAGUAUUUUUAAAUUGAAAUAAUUAUUUUACUAAUUUUAUCUUUUAAAGUGACGUAUGUUCUUUUUUUUAAAUUUAACUUUUUUUUAUUUGCUCUUGUAUUUAUUUGCAGGAUUGAAGUAUCAUAUAAAAAAUAUUCUUCCACUUCACAAACUUUUUCUAAUUGGUACUCGUACUUCAAACUUCUUUUGUUUUUCCGAUACCCGUCUUCAACACUCAAGUGAGUGUUUAGAGUUAGAGAUUUUUGUCAAAGUGUAAUUAAAAAUACAAAAAGUAAAAUGAAAACUCGACUAAAAUUAUAUUUAUAAAACUAUUUUAAUAAUCGUGGAUCCUUACUUAGAUGGGUCUUGAUUAUGGGUUAAUUGAUUCUAUAACCAUUUUACCUGUGACGAUGUGUAGCCAAUUUUGAUUAAAUUACAUGACAUAUUGAUGUGUUUGGCAAACAAAGAUAAGUAUCGGUGGGACCCGACUAUAGUGAGGAACACAUCCAUCACAGAUGACACCUAGACUUUGGUUGGGAGAACAUGAUACUCAACAUCUGGGUAAUAGUAUUAGGUAUACAAUGUAUUGUGCUUACUCCUUGAGGUGAAAUCCUCUAUCUUCAAUCAAUAAAAAAUAAGAAAUAAUAUAAAACAUUAUAUUAAAUAAAAAUGAAAAAUUAAUUAAAUGUAAUGUAAAAAAAGAGAGUAUAAAAUUUAUUAUCUUUAACUUUUAACGGAGAUUAUCUCAUAUAAUUUCUUUUAUGGUUGCUUAUUACUUGAGUAAUUUAAAAAUAUUUCACUUCAAGGUCAAGAGAAAUGAAUGUGAUUUGUGGAUUCAGGUUUUCACUGGAGCUGAUACAACAAUUCUACUUGGCAACAAUGUCUUUUAUUUUUUUUAAUUUUUUUUUCGAGGGAUGGGUGACAUUUUUUUAUAUCUAUUCAACACUCAAAGAAACUUAUCAUAUUUACUUUUCUAUUUUAUUCUUUUUAAACUGAAAAUAAAAAUAUAAUUUUAUUACUGAUAAGUGGUUGAGGAUUAAAAAGUGGAGUGUAUGUAUCAUUACCUUUUUAAUAAACCAUAUGUUAUUAUUAUGAAAUCUAGUACACAAGAAGGUUACAAACGGAUCAUGCAAUCAUUAUCGAAAUUGAAAUGUGGGGUAUCUCCAUGUGUAGAAGGUAGUAUAAUAUGUGAGGUUUAACCUUAAAAUCUGAGAAUUUAUUUAUCAUCAUGGAUUAGGAAUUUGCAAUGGUGUAGGUUUAAGAAUUGGAUAACGAUAUUUCACAAUAUUUUUUUAUAAUAUUUUAAUACUAUUUACGUGUUAUGUGAUUGGUUCAUGUUAAUAUUUAUGAUUAUUAUUAUUAUUAUUACUAUUGAUUGUAGAGUAAUUUUGAACUAAUCACAUAAUCACUAAAUGAUGUUAAAAUAUUGUAAAAAAAAAAUGUUACUAAGUAUCAUAAGGUUUUUUAAUUUCGGUUCUUGAUGAUGUCUUUGAAUACUUGGUUUUGCAAACUCUUAAUUUGUCAUAUGUAUAUGUUUAGAGAGGUCAAAAGUGUUUAACACCGUUGUUGUUGCUGCUCUCAUAAUGCAUGGAUUCUCCCUCCUUUAAAUGAGCCUCCCAAAUUAGAUCUUCCUUUUCUUUUUCAUUGUUUCCAGAAGAAAAAUGCUGUACAGAAAAAAAAAAAAAACUGUGGCAAGAAAAAUACUAACGUAAGAAUCUGUGUUUGUGUAAUUGUAAAAAUGAUAGAAUUUCUAACGCUUAUAUUUCAUAUUUAUAAGCUGAUAGCCUGCAUCCAUCAUUAAUUAACACACCAAAAACAAAGGUGUUAAACGCUAUUGACCUCUCUAAACAAACAUCAAAGCUGCAACCACCCACAUUAUCAUCCUAAUUAACAUUAUCUAAAAUUUCGUACCAUAUUUCAAACCAAGAAAAUGACUACUGACAAAUAAACUCAAAGCUUGUAGGUGCUGUUAAGAAAAAGGAAAUAUUUCUUUUAACAACACUUUUUUAACAAUUUUUUGACAACGCAUACGUAGCAGUUUGUGAUUGGUCCGUCUUAAAUAUUUUUUAAACAUAAAUUUAAAUAGGCCAAUAAAAUGAUGACACGUGUCCCGUUGUAAAAAAAGUUGUCAAAAAGUGUUGUCAAAAUAUCAUUAUCCUAAGAAAAAUCCUGAAAGAGAGACAUUAUAAAUAGGACAAUGAUAUUAACCAAUAAAAAAUUGUUAAAAGAAGUUUUUCCUUAUAAAUAAUGUGAUUAUGCAGCAGCUUGUGACUCAAGCUUUCAGACAUUUCUCCUUUUAGCUUCAUUAGUUGUUUUAACAAUGAGAAAACUCUUCUUCUGCUUCUUCUUUCCCUUGUUGCUCCUUCUCAACUUAGCUUCUGUUCUUUCCACAACUCAAAUUUCAGGUUUGUGCUUAUUAUUCUUUUUUAGUAAGUUUUCAAAAUAUAUUAAACUAGACACUAAUCCCUCAUGAACUUCAUUCCUGUGUUCGUUUUNNNNNNNNNNNNNNNNNNNNNNNNNNNNNNNNNNNNNNNNNNNNNNNNNNNNNNNNNNNNNNNNNNNNNNNNNNNNNNNNNNNNNNNNNNNNNNNNNNNNNNNNNNNNNNNNNNNNNNNNNNNNNNNNNNNNNNNNNNNNNNNNNNNNNNNNNNNNNNNNNNNNNNNNNNNNNNNNNNNNNNNNNNNNNNNNNNNNNNNNNNNNNNNNNNNNNNNNNNNNNNNNNNNNNNNNNNNNNNNNNNNNNNNNNNNNNNNNNNNNNNNNNNNNNNNNNNNNNNNNNNNNNNNNNNNNNNNNNNNNNNNNNNNNNNNNNNNNNNNNNNNNNNNNNNNNNNNNNNNNNNNNNNNNNNNNNNNNNNNNNNNNNNNNNNNNNNNNNNNNNNNNNNNNNNNNNNNNNNNNNNNNNNNNNNNNNNNNNNNNNNNNNNNNNNNNNNNNNNNNNNNNNNNNNNNNNNNNNNNNNNNNNNNNNNNNNNNNNNNNNNNNNNNNNNNNNNNNNNNNNNNNNNNNNNNNNNNUACCAUUGAAUCAGAGGAAUUCUUAAAACCAAAGCCUUUCUUGAAGAAGUCUAUUCCUAAACUACCAUUUGAUCCCAAAUUCAAGAAACCAUUUCUACCACCAUUGUCUUUUAAGAAGCCAAUUCCAGCUCCUUAAAAUCAUAACACUCUACCUCUUCAAAAUAUAAGGAUAAUGGUUUUAUAUAUGUGGCACCAUCUUUAGUUCAACCUCAAUCAUAAUUUGGAUAAUCCUUUGGUACCCCUCUUGUGUACUCCAUUCCAAUUAUAUAUGUACUUUAUGUUUUUCAUUAAUGAAUUUCUCAAUAUUAUAUUAAUUAAAAUAACAAAUGUUACUGAGUUUGCAUUUUUAUUUAAUUAGUAUUUCCAUUUGACAUAUUGAAGAAGUGGGCUAUUUAAUUGUAAUUUUGGGUAAAAGUGAUAUAACUAUUUUUACACAACACUUCAAUUCUACAAAUUGAAUUAAUAAUCUUAAUUUGAGCACUUAUAAUAUUACAACCAAAUAACACUAAAUUAGGUCAUAGGGUGUUUGUAGAUGAAAAUGGUUAAAUAAUUUUUAAUGAACUUUAAAACCAUUGGACUCAAUUUGAACCAUUAGAGGAAGUGAAUGUUUGAUGGAUGACUACUAAAAUAUUUUCUUUAAGAGAUUGCAUGAUAAAUGUUAGUCACAACUUAAAUUUAGAUAGAUGUACUAUCUAAGAGCGUUUUCCAUAAUUUUUUUUUUCAAAUUUCUUAUUUUACUAAUAGUUACAUAUAAAAAGACAUGUAAUCUGAGAAAAAGGAAAGAAGAAUUUACACUGUUUUUAUACUAACUUGUCUAGACUACAUUUAGUUUUCAAUUGAUUGAUUAAGUUUCAUUAGGAAGACUACAACUACAUGAUACAAAUGUGUACUAUUUGGAUCUCAGUCAUUUAUUUUAAAGCUGAGUAUUAUUUAGUCAUUAGUCACUUUUGGCUAAGAUUGGAUAUCGUUUAUAACACAAUCACUCUUGAUUAAAACUAAGUACUGUUUGGAACGUAGACAUUCCUAACCAAAGAUAUAUAUUAUUUGAAAUGUAAUCACUUCACCAUAAGAAAAAAUAUUGUUUGAAACAAAAACCUUCUUAACUAAAAUUAAGUAUUAUUUUAAACAAAAAUUAGGUAUUAUUUGAAACAUAAUCACUUCUACCUAAGACUAAACAUUACUUUAAACAUAAUCAAGUAUUAUAUAAAACAUAACCAUUCUUAGCUAACGUGUAUAAGACUUACAAAGGAUGUGGUUUAAAAGAUCACAAGUUCACUCACUGGAAAAAAAGAUAACAUCGUAUUAUGUAUGCAAAGUUUAAACACUCUUCAACAUUGCUAAUGAACACGAACAAUAUUCUUUCUCAAAACCACUUCCAUUGUUGUCAGCCUUCCUUAUUCAAAGAGAUAUUUUAUUUAGAAGAUACGACAACCUCUAGUUGUUCAAGGAUGGAGUACUUGGAUUAGAGAUAGGAACUUGUGGUCUUUGUUGAUGUAAACAUAACUUCAUAACUGAUUUGUGUCUCUCAGUUACUGUGUGCUCAUGCACACCAUAUAUACUUCAUUUUUCGUUUCAUUCAAUAACACAGUUCUAGUAUUCUUCUUUUGUAAUACAUCUUUCUUCUUUGCAUAAUCAUAAUAUUAGCUGCGCUAACAAUGGUAUUAGUAGUUCUGGUUUGAAACUUGGUGGGUCAGCUCAAGACAAUCAAGAAGAUGGCCGGCAUAUUACACAACAACCUUCCCGUGUUUGACGGAAAAAGGGUUUGACUAUUGGUGCGUCAAAAUGGAAGUCAUUCUUGGCUAUCAAGAGGUUGACGAGAUUGUCAAAAGGGGCUUCAAGGAACUAGUGAAGGGUGACGUCGAAAAAACAAAGCGAUAUAAAGAAAAUAAGCGAUUAGACUGCAAGGCCCAUAUGCUCCUACAUAAGUGUGUGUCGGUUGCUAUCUUUCAGAAGAUCUUGAAAGUGGCCACGACAAAAGAAGAAUGGGACAUCUUGUAGGGGAUAUGGUAAUUCUGGCAAGGUGAAGAAGGUUCGUUUGCAAUCCUUGCAACGACAAUACGAACUUCUGUGCAUGGGCGAGCAAGAAAUCGUUGUAGACUACAUUGGAAGGAUUCAAGUCAUUGUAAAUGCGAUGAGAUCAUGCGACAAAGUUGUGAAAGACAAGAAAAUAGUCGAGAAAAUUCUCAGAACCUUGACACCCCAGUUUGACUAUAUCAUCGUUGUGAUAGAAGAGUGCAAAAAUCUUGAAGUGAUGAAGGUGGAGGAAUUACAGAAUUCGCUAGAGGCACAUGAACAAAGAUUAAUCGAAAGAAGAAAUGCAGAGAAAGAAGUGCAUCAGGUAUGAACCAAGCCCUACAGGCCAGAAGUAGUUAGAAAACCAAAGGACGUGGAAGUGGAAGAGGUAGAGGUCGUGCUCGAGGAGGUUGAACAGGAGGGAGAAACUCAAGUGUUUCUAACCAAAAAGAUGAAGAUGAAAGUAGUGAAAACAAGAACGACAGCAAGAGCAGCGGAAAACACUCAAGAGGGAGUGGAAGAAGUAAGGUUGACAAAAGAAACAUACAAUGUUACACAUGCAGUAAGUUCAGACAUUAUUCAUCCGAAUGCUGGCAUAACAAAGCGGUGAAGAAAAGCAAAGGAAAUGAGGAGGCUAAUCUUGCGCAAGAUGCAGAUGAUUUUGAUUUUGAUCACGUGUUAUUAAUGAGUACAAUCGAAGAUAACGAAGAUGGGUGCAAGAAUGGUGAUUCUGCAUGCGACAACAUGUGUAACGAGUGCAAGAACGAUGACUCUGCAUGCGACAAGUGUUGCAAGGUUGAACACGUGUCGUUAGCUGACGAAACAAAUCAUGCAGAAGAUGAAUCCUGCUGGUACUUAGAAACAGGUUGCUCCAACCAUAUGACUGAGAAGAAAGAUUUAUUGUUAGAUUUGGACCCGAGUAUCAAAAGCAGCGUGCAAUUCGUUGAUGAUAGUGUGAUCAUGGCUGAAGGAGCUGAAAGAAUCAUGACCAAACAAAAAGAUGGACAAUCGGCCUACAUGAAUAAUGUCUUGUAUGUUCCAAACAUGAUUGCUGAGUUUGGGGCAACUUCUCGAAAAAGGCUAUACAAUGACGAUGCGCUAGAAACACAUAGACGUAUUCGAUGAAAAGCAACAACUUGUUCUUAGAGCCCCACUUUCCAGAAAUAGAACAUUUAAGGUAAAUCUUAAUGUCAUUGUCGUUCAAUGCUUGACUGCUAUUGAUUCCAGGGAAGAAGUUUGAUUAUGGUACUACCGGUUCAGGCACUUGAACUUUAGAAGUCUAAAGCUGUUGAAGAGCAAAGACCUUGUAAAAGGAGCUCCUGAGAUACAAAUCCCUGACAAAGUGUGUGAAGGAUGUGCUGUUGGGAAGCAGACCAGAACAAAGUUUAAACAAACCAUGUACAAGAGAGCAAAGCAACCACUUGCUGUUGUCUACUCAGAUGUAUGCGACCCAUUUGAUGUGGAGAGAAUAGGAGGUAAUAAAUACUUCUUUCUUUUCAUAGAUGAGUGGACUAGGAAGAUGUGGGUUUACUUGAUCAAAGAAAAUAAGAACAUAUACUUAUGCUUUGUAAAAUUUUGUGCUAUUGUGGGGAGGGAAUCUGGUUUGCAGGUGAGGAUUUUCAGCACAGACAGUGGAGGAGAAUUCAACUCACUUGAAAUCAAUGAGUUUUUUCACCAACAAAGGUAUCGUGCAUGAAGUGGUAGCACCGUACACACCCCAACACAAUGGUCUUGCAGAGAGAAGGAAUCAGAUGCUGCUUGACAUGACCAGAUGCAUGCUUAAAGCAAAGAAGCUACCACACUGUUUGUGAGGAGAAGCCAUUGAUAAAACAACUCAUUUACUGAAUAGGAGUCCAACCAAAUCAUUGCCUAACUGCACUCUAGAGGAAGCUUGGUCAGGAGUUAAACCUACAGUUAAGAAUCUGCGUGUUUUUGGGUCUACAUGUUACAAAUAUACAUCGGAUGAAAGAAAGAAGAAGUUAGAUGAUAUAAGUGAGAUGCUUAUCCUCGUUGAGUAUCACUCAGCUGGUGCUUAUAGAAUGUAUGAUCCGAGGAAAAAUCAGAUAAUUAUGAGUAAAGAUUUUAUAGUGGAUGAAGAAAACAGUUUUGAUUGGAAGACGACAGAAGCCGAACCAGACUUUGUUCAAGGUAUUUUAGAAGACAAUCGUGCUGAAAAAAAACAAGUAGUUGGAGGCAAUGAAGGAAACAACAGAAGGUCACAAAGAGCUAGAUUUCCCUCAACGAGGUUGUCAAGGCAUGAAGUGUUUCCAGACCGUGAUGUUUUAGAUUCUGGAGACUUUGCUCAUCUUGCAUUUCUGGUAGAUGCAUAGCCUAUUACUUGGAGGCAAAACAUUGACAUGAAGGAGUGGAAGGAAGCAAUGAUUGAAGAGUUAAGGUCCAUUGAAAGGAAAAGAACAUGGGACAUGGUUGAACUACCUCAGCAUAAGCGAGCAAUUGAGGUAAAAUGGGUCUUCAAGACCAAGUAUAAAGCAGGUGGUGAGAUAGCUAAGCUAAAGGCCAGACUAGUAGUGAAGGGGUUUCUGCAGCAGCAAGGAGUUGAUUAUACAAAUGUUUAUGCACCAAUUGCAAGGUUUGAGACAGUGAGACUCGUGAUAGCGGUUGCUAGCCGGAAUAACUAGAGAAUUCAGCAGUUAGAUGUGAAGAGUAUGACGCGAAUACAAAGGUAAUAUCGUACUAUUAGUACUUGUAGAUAUCCAUUACUAAAAAAAAUUAAAAUUAUAUUUAUAUUAUAUUAGGUUAAAUUUCAUUAAAAUUAAAAUUAAAUUUUAAUUUAUGUUAUAUUAUAUAUUUUUUGUAAUUUAAUUUAGAUUUUAUUUUUAGUUUUAUAAAAUAUAAUUUUUUUUUUAAAUAUCUACGGGUAUCAAGGAUACUUGCAUGUUUUAAAACAUGUGGAUAUUUUUUAAAUAGGUAUCGGACAAGUAGGAAAUAAGUAACAGGUGAAUUUUCUUGUUGCGGGAUCGGGUAAUUGAUAGACACUAUCUUCAUACUUAGGGAUGACAACGGGUCGGGUCGGGCAUAGAUAGUGCCUACCCGCAACCCGACCGUUGGAUAAAAUUGUAUCCGCUACCUGUCCCAUUACCCUCUAGAUACCAGCUUUAAAAAAAUCUGUGGAUUUUUUUAACUCGUGGAUACCCGUUGGAUACCCGUUUUCAACACGCGAAUAUUUAAAAAAAAAUUAUUUUAUAAGUUUUUAAUGAGGUUCGCUUACGUGCACAAGGUUUUCGGGGCCAACAAUGUGGCCAAGCUUCUCAAUGAACUCAGCGUCUCGCAGCGAGACGACACCGUAAAGUCGCUCGCUUAUGAGGCUGAGCCGCGUCGACCCCGACUAUGGCUGCGUGGGCCUCAUCUUCGUCCUACAACGCAGGCUCAAGCAGAUCCAGGUGGAACUCAACAGUGCAAAGAAGGAACUCGCAACAUACGUCGGUCCCCAAGCUUUUCAGGGCUUACCCGCCCCCAUUUUCCAGCGACACCCAAACAACCCUUUUUCCGGUUCCCUGUAUGGGAGCAUGGCGAGGGUGAUGACAGCCGCUCACGGUGGGCAACUGAUGAUUCAUGAUGACCAUUCCCCGCAAUAGCAUCAGAUCUUGGAGGCCCAGCAGUUCGCUGCGGCUGUGGUGGCGAGGAAGCUGCAGGAGAUGUUCAGGGGUUACGAGCAUCAACAGCGGCAAGAGGCACGUUCUGCGUAGGGGUUGCAAAGAGGCACGUGGGAUGUAGAAUGAGGUAAAGAAGGAGAACUAAAAUCAUAAAACCUAAUUUAAAUUGAGGAUAAAAAAGUAAUUUAACUUUUUAGCGGGUAACAGGUACCCGCAGGUAUUAAUAAUGUAAUACCCGAACUCGACUCGAUAAUGAGUGCGUAUUAAAAAAUCUGCUACUCGCUACCCGUGGGUACUUAUUACCCGCGGGUACUUACUAUUCACAACGGGUUUAAUCCGCAGAUACCCGCGGGAACGAAUUUUUUUGCCAUCCCUAUCCACUUGACCCAAACUCAUUGUCAUCCUUAUACUCUACCUUUGAUCAAUCAAGGACUAAAUCCAUCUUAAAUAAAGAGUACCAACUUCUAAACACGAGGUCUAAGUUGUUCGAUCCAAUCUAAGUUCAUUAAUAUUUUCAGUUACUAUUAUUUUUAGGGUUAAAUAUGUUUUUGGUCCCUUAACUUUUAGUGAAAAUUGGAAUUAGGCACUCUUUGAAACUUUGGACUAAUUUAGUCCCUUAUCUUUAAAACUGCUUGAAUUUAGUCUCUUUAACCAAAUUUUGUUAAGUUUAUUUGAGGUUUCAAAUGCAUUUCUCAAUUAACAUUGAAGAAAAAAUGUGUUAAACAGUGUAAAAAACUCAAAUGCUAUCAUGAAAUACGUUUGAAAUGUCAAAUAAACUUGGCAAAAUUUGGUUAAAAGGACUAAGUCCACAUAUUUUUAAAGUUGAGGAACUAAAUUGGGUCAAAGUUUCGAGGAGAGACUAAUUCCAAUUUUUACUAAAAAUUAAGGAAAAAAAAAUAUGUAACCCUUAUUUUUAUUAUGUUAGUUAUAUUGUUAUUAUUAACAGAACUUAUGUGUCUAAUAAAUUUUAUAUAUAUAUAUAUAUAUAUAUAUAUAUAUAUAUAUAUAUAUAUAUAUAUAUAUAAUUUAUAACAGAAGCAAGUACACACUGUUCAUUAUUGAACACUCUUCCCAUUUAUGAUCCACACUCUUUUAGUGACUAAAAUAUCAGAGUUUCUUUGUAGGUACAUAUCUUUUUUUUUUUGCUCAGUUCAAACUAACUAUUUAACGGCGACAACCUAGUUUGGAAAGAUUGUUGACUCUCCUCAAAGAUUCGGUAGACCUCGGUAAGAACAACAGCGAAAAUAAACUUCAAGAUAACUCAGUCGUUAAAGUUACUGGUUUUAUAUAGUUAAGAUUGUUGAAGUGUAUGAUAUUGGUGAUGUAAUGAACAAUGGUUGAGUACCUCAUAUCAAUAUUAAUGUAAAAUCUACAAAAUAAAGGAAGUAAGAAGCUCCCACAAUAGUAUUACUCUAAGUGUAUACAAUAAUAAAAUAUAUAAAAUCUGCUUUGUCAUGUUGCAUUUGAACCUUCUGAAGUUAUGCAGUUUUGAACACACAAAACCCAGCAGACUCAUUUAUUGAAGACAGCAUUCCUCAUUAACACAGCUACAAUAACGGUGUUAUUAAACUCUUCUCACCUCUCCAAACAUAGGUCAAAGUUGCAACCACCCACAUUAUAAUCCGAAACCAAAUCUAAAAUUUCGGAGUGCAUUUCAUAGCAUGUAAUGACCAAUGACCAACUAAUCCCAAGCUAAGUAUUAUAAAUAGUAUGUUUAUGCAACAACUAUGACUCAAGCCUUCACACAUUUCCCCUUUUAGUUUCCAUCAGUUGUUUUAGCAAUGAGAAAGGGUUCUAUUCUCCACUCUGCACUUUUGUGCUUCUGGGUUCCCUUGUUGCUCCUUGUCACCUUCACUUAUGCUACUUCUGCUUUCGCCACAACUCAAAUUUCAGGUUUACACAUUACUCCCUUUUAGGCUUUUAUACCAGGUUUUCUUUUCUGUAACGUGUCAAUAAAGUUUCAAACACAUUGAAAAUACCAAUUACAAAUCAUUCUCAUUUUUGUAUAUGAUGUUUGUUUGUCAUUCAUCCUUAAAAAAAUGUGUUUCUUUUUUAUAACCACAUUUUCUAUACUGUGUUCGUUUUUGUUAUUUAAUAUAACUGCAUUUUUUAUGCAGGAAAUGAAGUGAACGAGAAUGGGAUAGUUGUGAAUGAAGAUUUAGAAAAAGUAAAUGCAGAAGGACAUGAUGAUGAAGAAUCAAAAUUCAAAGGAUUGUUUCCUAAACCAAUUCCAUUUGCUAAACCUAUUCCAAAGNNNNNNNNNNNNNNNNNNNNNNNNNNNNNNNNNNNNNNNNNNNNNNNNNNNNNNNNNNNNNNNNNNNNNNNNNNNNNNNNNNNNNNNNNNNNNNNNNNNNNNNNNNNNNNNNNNNNNNNNNNNNNNNNNNNNNNNNNNNNNNNNNNNNNNNNNNNNNNNNNNNNNNNNNNNNNNNNNNNNNNNNNNNNNNNNNNNNNNNNNNNNNNNNNNNNNNNNNNNNNNNNNNNNNNNNNNNNNNNNNNNNNNNNNNNNNNNNNNNNNNNNNNNNNNNNNNNNNNNNNNNNNNNNNNNNNNNUACCAUUGAAUCAGAGGAAUUCUUAAAACCAAAGCCUUUCUUGAAGAAGUCUAUUCCUAAACUACCAUUUGAUCCCAAAUUCAAGAAACCAUUUCCGCCAAUUCCAACUCCAUAGAAUGAUGAUAACACCCAUUGCACCUAAUAAGCAAUAAAGCUAUUAUAUCUUCCAUUACUGAGUGUGUUGAUUUAUAUUCCAAUCACAACCAUUAGUUUCUUAAUCCUAUUGUAUCCCUCUCCUUAAUAAAAUUUACAUCACUAUUACCCUUUGUAAAAUUAGUAUCUUAAAGUAAGAAAUGAUAUUACUGAUUUCUCAUUUUAGUUUAUUGUUUUUGUUCUUUAGAAUUUGUUUCCUAAUGUUUUGAACGUUCUCCAUUUAUCAUCUCUUGG